rnacentral:lncRNA from 1 species
CCGUUUUUUGCCCUCCAAGUAGUCAAAAAGCGACUGAGAUGCUCUGACUGAGCACGAACAACACUAUGUACAGAUACCAGAACCAGUGUACCCCAAAUGGCUAGGAUUGUCAGGUAAUAGUACUGAAACAUGUUAACCAGAAACAUGUAAAGAUACCCUAAACAGUUCAACAGUGUCCACGUACAACUCACUCUAGACUGUUGACCGGGUCUUGGCCCAUUCCUCAGACACAACUUUUUGACAAACUUUAUUCAAGCCCUACAAUAAGCCUGGUACGCAGAGUCGACCAAGUCACCUUCACUGAGAUCAACCCAAAAUCAGUCUUUAUCUCUCGAGUAUCAAGUCCAUGCGUGUCUGCCUGGAAGGAACAACAUCGUUCCGCUGAACCAGAUGGCCCCGAGGCCGCCUUGAACUUCAAAACCAGAGUGGAACCAUCCACUACAGCAACCACAGACCUCUUUAAAUGACGUGACUCGCCAACUGUACCAUUGAAGAGCCGAAUUCCUUCGUUAUAACCACNNNNNNNNNNGAUAAAACAGCGCAAGCGCAGAUGAAAACUGCUCUGCACUUCUGACACGGCAACUUCAAUAUUCGCCAUGACUGCGUCAUCAACACGUGCUAUGGUUAAGUCAACCGCACCACAGUCGCCUUGGAUGCGAUUUUUCAAUGCACGAUUCCAUGGGCCCAGGUCGUCUAUGUCUGUUACACCAUCAAUCAGCUGGUAAUCAUCCCUUUCUUCCUCACCUACCUUGAUCCUCAUGUCAUAUUCCACUAGAAUACUGGAAAUCAAAUCUAUCCCUCGCUUAGGGCCAGCCAUGUCGAUGAGAGAACCCUACAAAUUUGUUACUGUUUAGUAGCUCUCCAUAUGGAAGUAAGAAACAACUAAAGCUUUAUACUACCUCUGUUUCUAAAUGUAAGACGUUUUGGCAAUUCAAAAAUUGAACUACCAAAACACAUCUUACAUUUAGGAACAGAGGGUGUACUUCUCUAAGCUGUUUUACUUGCAACAUUAAUUUUGUGAUACUUUACAAUUGCUGACCAACAUCUUUGCCACAUAUCAAACUGACUGGUUACAUAGUGUACACCAGUGUUUGGGAGGGGGGGAAAUUGGCCCUCGGUAUUUAUUUGACAUUGUUCAGAUCCCAAUUUUUACAUAAGCAUGUCGAAAUGAGAAGAGAAAACAAAAUGACUUAAUAGUGAUGCAAUGAUUCAUGCUGGUGUGUUAAGUAGCAACUAAGAGCCCGAACUAUUCUGUUUGAUUUUGUUUGGAAUACAUGAUAUACUCACUCAGUUCCAUAUUUUAUAAGUUUCUCAUAGUAAAUCACCUUUCCACAAUAUAAACUUGGUGUAAUGGUGGCCUAAACAAUCCAAACUACCAUUCUGCUAGGUCUGUACAGAUAAAUCACAAGACUUGAGAGUGCUUGCUGUUCCAUACAUACACUAGGUUUGGCCUUACAAUGUGAAAUGAAUAGAUUUGACAUAAGUCAGGUAUUUGACCCCNNNNNNNNNNNNNNNNNNNNNNNNNNNNNNNNNNNNNNNNNNNNNNNNNNNNNNNNNNNNNNNNNNNNNNNNNNNNNNNNNNNNNNNNNNNNNNNNNNNNNNNNNNNNNNNNNNNNNNNNNNNNNNNNNNNNNNNNNNNNNNNNNNNNNNNNNNNNNNNNNNNNNNNNNNNNNNNNNNNNNCCUCAGAUGGUUUCGCCCACACUGCAACAUCCACCUAAUGUGAGAACUUCCCCAGUGGGUACUUAAAACCAUAUGGAAUGCUUCAAGGGGACAAAUACAUUGUUUUAUACUUGAGGGGGUUAUUAAGUAGACUUAUUGCUUGAAAUAAUCGUAGGUAAGUAUGGAUUCGCACCUGCUUCACAAUGAUGGGAUCAUCCCUGCUUAUAUUGACAACAUAAUUACGCAAUGUAUCCAGAUAAUCCCGCACUGCUAUGUAUCCAUACAACUCUACUGGGCCAAGAUCCAGAGUAAGUUCAGCCAACUUUAAUGAGAAAAUUUGUAACACGCGAUUAGGUUGAUGCCGAAUGCAUUCUCCAUUGCGGAUGUCACAAUCUGUGGGAUCUGGUAGCCGAGCUUCAUAAAAGAAGUAAAGAAAUAAGUUAAAUUGUAAUGGAAAACAAUACAGGAAAAAAAUAGUCGUCAUACAAAAAGUAAGCGUGUCACUAGAGGAUUCCAUGGCCCUAUUGGAAGUUUCCUUUUCAUCCAAAUGAAAAUUAUCGAUGUUCUUUCUACUAUGAAUUUCACUCCAUCAAAGGUUUUUGUUUUAGGAAACCCAAAGAAAAGCAGGUAACAUUUCAUCAUGUCAGCAAGUAAAGGUCCAUUUCACCCUCCCAGAUUAUUUCAUAACCCCCUAAACUUAUUUAUUUGUUAUGUCUACCCGAAGAAUUACUAAAACAAAUCAAUUCAGCCCUUGAUGAAAAUAUUCUAUUGUUUCACUUUCUAGAAGUCUUAUUGUAAGUUAGUUUUUUUAUUUUGAUGGUAGAUAACAUCAGUCUGUAUAAUAAAAAAUCAUAAUUUUCGAUCCUGCAUACUUGGGAGCAACUAAACCUACUUCAAUGCUCAUGGUACAAAAAUAUGUGCUAAAAAUGCGGUUUAUGAACAUAUUUCUGUACGGUACAUGGUGACAACAAAAAGGAUAAAAACCAGUCAUGUGGCGAACCGGGGUGGGUUGGUGGAGGCCCAGGAUAACCAAACUAAGGUAAUGCAGGAAUCUGAAGAAUUUCCUCCCCUACUUUUGCAAAACCUAACAAAUGCAACUCCUGAAUGCCAAUGCAUCUACAUUUAACUUGUAAAAUUAAGGAAAGUAAAGAAAAAAAGCCAGAUGAUUUCAACAGAGAACACAUCAGUUGACACUAUAGCUUGAAAAAGGUGCUUGUAACAAAUUGAAAUAGGUAAAGAGAGAUUAUUUACUUACUCUCACUACAGUCAUCAACAUUAUACAUCCUUUUCCACGAAUGAGUGUUCCUGUAUAAAGAACCAUCACGGUGUGUGCUUUUUGGAAGAAAUCCCAGGUCAAGAAUAUCAUCUUCUUCGGCAUCGCUUGCUACCAAUGCGCUCCUUCUAUUGGUUGCACUCCUCCCGUUUUCAUCACAACCAGAGAUGUCCACAAUAUUCGAAGAUGCAUCAUGUUUGCCGGCUAUAGUAUUCAUAUCUUGCAAGGUUGUCCCACUAGUCAUGCUCCGAGAUCCAGGUGGAAAUCUAUCACGAAAGAGAAUAAAGAGCAAAUCUGAGCACCCGACAGAAAAUUCAAUUCUUUUUCGGUUCCCCUUUCAUUUUCGUCGGAUUAACUAUAAGACCCCACACCCCCUGCCUUAUUUACAAAAAUCAACACAUAAGGAUAAUUAAAAGGGAUUUUUCUCGAAUACGCUCGGAUAAUUAAAAGGGGUAAAAAACCACAGUCGGUCAGAAUCCAGAUCCAAAACUAUAAUAAUAAGAAACUAAAGGCGAAAAUUUUGGCAUCAGAUGAUGAGAGCAUACCGGGAAACACGACGGACAGGUAGAUCUGGAACCAUCAUGAGAGGGAAACUUCGCCGUGCAAGCGGUGGUGGCGACCAGUAAGGCGGGGCAGAGGCCAUGAAAGAGAGGAGAGGUCGCGAGGUAGAGGAGAGGCGGCGCAGUGGGUCAUGAGAGAUGGCGACGCCAGGUCGCCGGAGGAGACGAAAAAUCUGACGGAGGAUUGGCAUCUGAGCGCGCGGCGGCGGCAGAGGUGGGGUGUGCCGGUGUGGAGAAUGGGGAGAGGAAAGGGCUGAACGCACGGGGCCGGUCUUCUUUACUCUCUUAUAUCUUAUAUCAGAAUAGCACACAUAUGCCCGUGCGUUUCAAGCAACGGGAGAGAUAUUUUAUUUACGACAAGCAACAAAAAGAUAAUUAAUUGUGUUAAAAAACGGUCUCCACAAUGGUAGGCGAGAGAGCAAGGAGUUGCGGCCUUCUCACUGGACAUGUUUGGCUCGUGAAAUCUUAAUAGUGGUGGAGUUGGUAGGCGUGGUGGCGAGCACCCAACUCGUCCAUUUUUCUUUUGCAUGCCUCCUCAUUUGGUGGAUGUGUGACGACCAUCGGUACACGGUUGCUUCGACCACUCUCUUACGACAGUGUAACCAGAUGGAUUACUAAUUGCAGCGCAUAAAUCCUCUUACACAGGCAUAAUCAGGUAUGAAUGUCCCUUUAUUACGAAGGUUUAUUCCCUUUGAUUAUUUUAGCACUUAUGUUAAAAAAUUGAAAGCCCGGACAGUUAAAAAAAUGUGAACAUUUAUUUUUAGAAAAUUCCAUAUAAUUAAGAAAACAAAAAAAUUAGAAAGAGGAAUUGUUAUUUAAGUUCGAAAAAACAUGUUGAAACCAUGAACAUUUUAUAAAAACACAAAAUUAUUAAUUUUUUUAAAAGGGGGACAUUCAGAAAAAAAAUUAAAAAUGUUUUCUUAGACGCAAACAUUAUUUUGUUUUUGUGAACUUUUCAAUAAAAUAGGAAUAUUUUUUGGAAUAUGGAACAUUUUAUAAAAUAUUAACUUUAUAAAAAAAUCUCGAAAAAUUCUAAAACAGAAUCUUUUUUAAAUGGCAACAUUUUUUAAAUGUUGAGAAAAUUCCGAAACCAGUUUUUUUAAGUUUAUAAUAUUUUUCAAAACAAUAAUAAAGUUUUAUAAUGCUGAUUUUUGAAUAUUUGAAUAAAAAAUUAAAUUGUGAAUAUAUUUUGUAUAUUUUUAUUUCACAGCAAAAUAAAAAAAGUGAAAAGGAAAACGAAACAUUUAAAUGGCCCGGCCCAGUCUUGGGCGACCUGUGCGUUCCUUGAACUAUUUGUCGGUGUGUGCGACAAAUAAGCUCUUUUUAACGCCUGGGCAGGAUAAUUACUGGGUUGGCUUUGUUGGGCUGGAGUGCGCCCGGCCCAAAUGCGGAAUUCUGGAGAAACUUUUUGUCUUUUCUAGUAGAUGCACAAAAAUUUAGUACCACCUCGGAUAGAAAAAAUAUUUUCGACGAUGAACGGAUGAAAAUAUUGGAGAAACGCACUUUGCUUUAUUAGUAGGUAUAGAUUUUCACUUUUGCAGAAAACCCCAGAUAAUUAUUGAUAAUCAACCCACACGACAGUUUUAAGUCAGAUUUUUGUUUUGUUAGGAAACUAGCGGUGUGACCCGCGCAUUUGCGCGGCUAGAUUAGUUACACAUUGUUAUGAUUAUUUCUUUAUUUGUAUUUUAUUUAUUUUUCUAAUUGCAAAAUGUUUAUUUUUAUUUAUUUAUAAUAGAAUUUCUAAAUGUUAUAAAUUAUAUAGCCAUAUUACCACAUGACUAUGAAUUAUUUGUCCCACAUAUAUUAGCACAUGACUAUACAAUUUUUGUUUUACAUGAUCUACUGUCUUAUCUUAUUCAGGUGCACAACUGAACAAUCUAUUAAGUCAUCAAUAGUGAUGUUUCUGUUUAAGAAUGGAAGUUAAAGAUCCCGUGGGUUGCCAUGCAAAAACAACACUUUCAUACUAAUAUGUAAGUUCCAGUUUACACUCUAGCGAUCCCGCAAAAAAAAAGUUUACACUCUAGCUCCCAUCGUUAGCUAGGAUUAAGUAGAGUUCUUUUCUUUAAUCUAUCUCAUCAUUAGACAUAAUUUANNNNNNNNNNNNNNNNNNNNNNNNNNNNNNNNNNNNNNNNNNNNNNNNNNNNNNNNNNNNNNNNNNNNNNNNNNNNNNNNNNNNNNNNNNNNNNNNNNNNNNNNNNNNNNNNNNNNNNNNNNNNNNNNNNNNNNNNNNNNNNNNNNNNNNNNNNNNNNNNNNNNNNNNNNNNNNNNNNNNNNNNNNNNNNNNNNNNNNNNNNNNNNNNNNNNNNNNNNNNNNNNNNNNNNNNNNNNNNNNNNNNNNNNNNNNNNNNNNNNNNNNNNNNNNNNNNNNNNNNNNNNNNNNNNNNNNNNNNNNNNNNNNNNNNNNNNNNNNNNNNNNNNNNNNNNNNNNNNNNNNNNNNNNNNNGGGGGGCAUUAUUUAUUUUAAUUGUUUCUCACUUCUGCAUAUGAGGUAAUACCAUCCCUCCAUUGUACAUUUUUGCACAAAAAAGUAUAUAAAAUGGCACAAUAUGUGUCUUCCCUACUAUUUUUGCUAUUAAAAACAUAUUGUCAUACUUUCCUUUGUGCUCACUCUUGGAGUGCCUUGUUCUUUCUGGUCAUUUUCAUGUCUGUUUUAGGUCGAUUUAUGCCAUUAGAAUAUUAGCAUGAUUUCAAUUUGCGAGGACACUGUUUUUUGUGUCAUGCAAUUAAUACACUUAUUGACCGCACACAUAGUAUAUUGUCAUUGUUUUUAAUCACCCAAUUUCAUCUAUCUCAUAUACUAAGUGAUUCUUGUCCAUUUAAUACUUGAGGUAUAAGAUGUCGCCUCUCCACCACCUGAAUUGUGUGAAGCCUCGGAGUAACCAAUGGUUCACACACGCAUAGUGUUUGUCCAUACAAUGUGUACUCAACAACUAUUUUAACCUUACCUCUAUGCAUUUAUCCAUUUUUAAGAAACCCAUGCAUGUUGAUAGAUAUCACCCGAGAGAUGUUCCCUUAUUGUUGGUCCAAUAACUAUAUAUAUUGCAUGCUGCCAAAUCCAGAUUAGACUGUCAAAUUUAUUUCAGUUUCACCCAAGACACUAAAACUUGGGAUCGCUAUUUCUCUAACAAACCCGUACUGCUCCUUUAUUAACCGUUGUUUUGAUCCGACUCAAAUUUUCUAACUAACUUGUACUACUCUUUAUUUACUAUUGUUCAGAUCCGCCUCAUAUUUUCUUUUCUUCGUGCUUUAACAGCCAUACAUAUUAUCUAAAGCGUUAAAAUUAUUAAAUCAACGAUAAAGUAAUGAUGCAAUCUAUUUGUUCAUUGUUUUAAUUACGAAAUAAAUUAGAUAUAUAUUCUGGGCCUUUUUUGCGGGAAUAUAUAUCAAAAGUUAGCUUCAUUUAUGUGGGUCGCAUGUAUAUUAAGUUGCUUUUUUCCUUAUCCCAAAUUACAUAACGUAUAAUAUAGUAUUAAAAAUUUAAAUGACGCAAGAGGUUCAUAUAUAAAUUUGAUUGUAUUGUUUGUCCACCUAAUAGUAUAUGUAUCUAGUAUGUUUAUUUUGAACAAUCUGACUCAAAACCUCGAUCAUCUGUGAUGAACCACAUUCUUGUAGAUUCCAACUUAAAAUGAUAAAUUCAGUGGCUUUGUUUUGUACAGGUUGAAUGCUUGUUUGCUUGGCCCGAAUAUUAUCUCAGCGGCGUUGAUCACCAAUUCCUUUUUUGGGAAUUGUAUGUAUAUUUUUAGAUGAAUUGCAUGCAUGUUCUUUCUGAAAGACUUGCACCUAUAUUUUCUUGGAAAGACCUACCUGUACAUUUUUUAUAUGUUCAUGACUAUUUUUUUUAAUAUCUACGCAUGACUCAGGUUGUCUGAUGUUGGAUGCAUGUUUUUGUAAAGACUUGCACGUAGUUUUUUCACAUUGGUACAUGACUUAGAUGGGCAAGUGCGCUUGUUGUAGAUUGCUUGGACUCACCCAAGCGGCAUGUACGUAGAUGUCAUAUGCUUGUGCGUGUCAUGGCCGACGUAGGCCCCCCUUCUUUUCUCUUUGCUUCAGGAAACUAACCUAAUCGUUUGUGUCCGACGAUAAACUUUGUGUAUGUGAUAGGUUGUACAUGCAAGGUAUCGGAAUUGCUUUUUUAUUUUUGACCGACCCAUACAGCUUCUUCAUUAAAUAUUGCUUUGAUCAGACUAAUAUUUCCUUUUCCUUGUUCUUUACGCCCGAACAUAUUAUCUCCAGCGUGACACAACGUACAUAACAAUAUUGUACAUUCCAUGAUAGUUGGGUUAAUCAACCUGCAGUACAUAUAAAAUGUUUUCUUAAAAGUAUCCGUAUCUUUUAAACCGUGACUUCAAAUUUAAUAUGUUAUAUAAAAUUUGAUUAGAAAAACUAAUCAUCAACCUGUGCACCAGCACGGGCUAGAACGUUUGUAGUCACUGUACUUGCUACUUUUGUACAAAAUAGUGUCUAAAUUUAUUUUUCACAUAUUAGUUACAUAUAGGGACACAUAUUUUUUUUGAUGAUGUUUUACUUGUCAGAAAAUAUGAUAAAUCCUCAAAGUCUUGCAAAUCCAAAAUGCAAUCAUAGUCUUAUAAUAUUUUGAACGAACAUGCAAUUUUAUCUACUAAGAUCCCAAUAUACAAUUCAUAUAAAUAGACGCAUGUAUAUGCAAAGCUUAAAACCAAAUUGAAUAAUUGAUAUUUCUCUUCAAAAAAAUACAAUAAUGCAACCGCAAGUUCGGGGACCCAGAAAAGCAAAAUACUGCUUCACCAUAUUUUAGAACAAUAUAAUGAAUAUGUAAAAAAAACUGAAUGGAGUUGAAUAUCCCAUGUUGAUUCCUAUACAUAACAAAAAGUAAGUAGUAAAACAUUAUUGUCCAAACAAAAUGUUAAUUUACAAUGCUUUGGCUUUCAAGGUUAAUCAUCUAGUGCAUUGCACAUUUCAGAAUGAACAUCCUCUACAAAGCAACAUAGCUUGGCAAAUAUGCAUGCAAAUAUCAAGGAUUUCUGCAACGCGGAAUUAUGAAAAAAAAUUGUAUGCCAGAAUAUGAAACUUAACACCGAAAAAUCCCCCAACCAAGAGACAGUCUAACACUAGUAGAAAACAGGGUUUUGAUCCAGGCCUGAAGAGGGCAUUAACCCCGGUUCUCAUAUGAACCGGGACCAAUGGGAGCAUUAGUCCCAGUUCAUGAGGCCAGGGGGCCGGCCGGGCCUCGGGGGCCAAUGGUCCCGGUUCGUCUGACCCCUUUGGUCCCGGUUCUAGACACAAACCGGGACCAAUGGGCCUUGCUCCUGGCCCACAACCUUUAGUCCCGGUUUGUGUCUGGAACCGGGACCAAAUAGAGGCCUAUAUAUACCUUGCCCGCGAGCAGAGCAGUGCACUCUUUGUUUUUUUGGCUAGCCGUGGGAGAGCUUUGUGGUGCUCUAGCUCACCUCCUAUGCACAUGAGGUGUUCGAUGAAAUACCCGAGCCACACUUUAUAAGCUUUCUCCUCUCGAAAUUCCUUGUCCCAACUCCAUUUUCCUCAAGAUUUGUCUAGGUUUGUGAUACGUCUCCAACGUAGCUAUAAUUUUUGAUUGUUCCAUGCUACUAUAUUAUCCAUCUAGGAUGUUUCAUAUGCAUUUAUAUGCUAUUUUAUAUGAUUUUUGGGACUAACCUAUUAACCUAGAGCCCAGUGUCAGUUUCUGUUUUUUCCUUGUUUUUGAGUAUCGCAGAAAAGGAAUACCAAAUGGAGUCCAAUUGACGUGCCAAUUUUUGAUGAUUUUUAUGGACCAAAAGAAGCCCCCGGAGUAAAAGAGUUGGGCCAGAAGAGUGCCGAGCUGUCCACGAGGGUGGGGGCGCGCCCUACCCCCUGGGCAUGGGCCCUAUCUCGUGGACGACUCGGAGACCCCCCUGACGUGAGACCGACGCCAAAAAUUCCUAUAAAUACAGAAACCUCCAGAACAUAACCUAGAUCGGGAGUUCCACCGCCACAAGCCUCUGUAGCCACCAAAAACCAAUCGGGACCCUAUUCCGGCACCCUGCCGGAGGGGGGAUCCCUCACCGGUGGACGUCUUCAUCAUCCCGGUGCUCUCCAUGAUGAGGAGGGAAUAGUUCACCCUCGGGGCUGAGGGUAUGUACCAGUAGCUAUGUGUUUGAUCUCUCUCUCUCUCUCUCGUGUUCUUGAUUUGACACGAUCUUGAUGUAUCGCGAGCUUUGCUAUUAUAGUUGGAUAUUAUGAUGUUUCUCCCCCUCUACUCUCUUGUAAUGGAUUGAGUUUUCCCUUUGAAGUUAUCUUAUUGGAUUGAGUCUUUAAGGAUUUGAGAACAAUUGAUGUAUGUCUUGCGUGGGAUACCAGUGGUCACAAUGGGGUAUUCUAUUGAUCUACUUGAUGUAUGUUUUGGUGAUCAACUUGCGGGUUCAGUGACAUUGGGAAUCUAUGCAUAGGGAUUGGCACACGUUUUCGUCUUGACUCUCCGGUAGAAACUUUGGGGCACUCUUUGAAGUACUUUGUGUUGGUUUGAAUAGAUGAAUCUGAGAUUGUGUGAUGCAUUCGUAUAAUCAUACCCAAGGAUACUUGAGGUGACAUUGGAGUAUCUAGGUGACAUUAGGGUUUUGGUUGAUUUGUGUCUUAAGGUGUUAUUCUAGUACGAACUCUAGGAUAGAUCGAACGGAAAGAAUAGCUUCGUGUUAUUUUACUACGGACUCUUGAAUAGAUCGAUCAGAAAGGAUAACUUUGAGGUGGUUUCAUACCCUACAAUAAUCUCUUUGUUUGUUCUCCACUAUUAGUGACUUUGGAGUGACUCUUUGUUGCAUGUUGAGGGAUAGUUAUAUGAUCCAAUUAUGUUAUUCUUGUUGAGAGAACUUGCACUAGUGAAAGUAUGAACCCUAGGCCUUGUUUCAAUGCAUUGCAAUACCGUUUUCGCUCACACCUAUAUCUACCAUCCAUAUUGCACUUGUAUCACCAUCUCUUCGCCGAACUAGUGCACCUAUACAAUUUACCAUUGUAUUGGGUGUGUUGGGCACACAAAAGACUCUUUGUUAUUUGGUUGCAGGGUUGUUUGAGAGAGACCAUAUCCAUCCUACGCCUCCCAUGGAUUGAUAAACCUUAGGUCAUGCACUUGAGGGAAAUUUGCUACUGUCCUACAAAUCUCUGCACUUGGAGGCCCAAUAACAUCUACAAGAAGAAGGUUAUGUAGUAGACAUCAGUUUGGCGGUCCUUCCUGUCCCGUCCCCGUCCUCACUACCAUCGAUCGCCCGCGCCGAUCUCGUCGCCGGCGCCACUGUGGUGAGCCUCUUGUUCUUAUCUUCUUUCUAAAAGAAAAAAUUCUUACUUAUAUGAUUUAGAUUGCUACUUGUAUAAUUUUCUUACUUUUAUUAUUGUUUGAAUGUUUGUUAUUAUAUAGUGCGAUGGUUUUGGUAUUCGCCCCCGUCGACCCUCGUCCUGUCUAUGAUGCAGAUGUGGUAUAUACUAUCUUUUAUAACUAUUUCUUUCAUUUAGUGUUUAUGACAAUUAUGCCGACCAACGUGACAUAGAUGUUUUAUGUAGGAGGUAUGUGGAUUAAAAAUUCCAACUGACCCUCUUGUCGAGAGGUUAAAAUUUAGUUGAAAAAGAAAAUGACUACUUGAAGAAAAAAAAUGAAAAGAAUUGAGGAGGAGAAGAUGGCAUUGGAGUUGCAUGUUGUGGAUAUCAUCGAUGAUCACAAGAUCAAGAUGUAUAAAAUGCGCUUGAAGAUUAGAAAAUUUUAAAAAUAUGCCAUUCAUACUGAGGCUUGGUAUCAUUAUGCCGUUGGAUCAAUUGUUACCUUAGUUGCCAUUAUGAUCGCAUAUGUUGUUGCAUUGAAAUGUUUUACAUAGUUUCAAUGUAUGGUUUAAUUAGAUGCUCACGAGAGCUAUAUGUUGUUCAAUGAGAACUAUGUAUUAACUUUAUGUAUUUAUUUUUUUAGUAAUAACAUUUGAUCACUACUGUACUUUGGUUUUAAUGUGAUGAUGAAAUCCCUUUGUAACAGAUGAGUUUUCGCCCGAAGCCCUGAUACUUCGAAAGAGAUUGUCCGUUUUGCACACGAAGUGCAUCCAGUUUUUGCCGUAACCCUCUCAGCUUUUUAGAACAUGCUAUGUGGGUGAAAUGAUGAUACCAUGCCAACUUUCAACCUUUUCAGAGUUCAUUUUAAGUGCUUUUCAAUUUCAGGGUCAUUGUGACGCACUCGACUCAAUCGUACAUUAAUCAUACACGCAAAUGUGUACGAUCAAGAUCAAGGACUCACGGGAAGAUAUCACUGUUGGAAAUAUGCCCUAGAGGCAAUAAUAAAUUGGUUAUUAUUAUAUUUCCUUGUUUAUGAUAAUCGUUUAUUAUCCAUGCUAGAAUUGUAUUGAUAGGAAACUCAGAUACAUGUGUGGAUACAUAGACAACAUCAUGUCCCUAGUAAGCCUCUAGUUGACUAGCUCGUUGAUCAAUAAGAUGGUUACGGUUUCCUGACCAUGGACAUUGGAUGUCGUUGAUAACGGGAUCAUAUCAUUAGGAGAAUGAUGUGAUGGACAAGACCCAAUCCUAAGCCUAGCACAAGAUCGUGUAGUUCGUUUGCUAAAGCUUUUCUAAUGUCAAGUAUCAUUUCCUUAGACCAUGAGAUUGUGCAACUCCCGGAUACCGUAGGAGUGCUUUGGGUGUGCCAAAUGUCACAACGUAACUGGGUGGCUAUAAAGGUACACUACAGGUAUCUCCGAAAGUGUCUCUUGGGUUGGCACGAAUCGAGACUGGGAUUUGUCACUCCGUGUAAACGGAGAGGUAUCUCUGGGCCCACUUGGUAGGACAUCAUCAUAAUAUGCACAAUGUGACCAAGGAGUUGAUCACGGGAUGAUGUGUUAUGGAGCGAGUAAAGAGACUUGCCGGUAACGAGAUUGAACAAGGUAUCGGAUACCGACGAUCGAAUCUCGGGCAAGUACAAUACCGCUGGACAAAGGGAAUUGUAUACGGGAUUGAUUGAAUCCUCGACAUCGUGGUUCAUCCGAUGAGAUCAUCGUGGAACAUGUGGGAGCCAACAUGGGUAUCCAGAUCCCGCUGUUGGUUAUUGGCUAGAGAGUUGUCUCGGUCAUGUCUGCAUGGUUCCCGAACCCGUAGGGUCUACACACUUAAGGUUCGGUGAUGCUAGAGUUGUUAUGGGAAAUAGUAUGUGGUUACCGAAGGUUGUUCGGAGUCCCGGAUGAGAUCCCGGACAUGACGAGGAGCUCCGGAAUGGUCCGGAGGUGAAGAUCAGUAUAUUGGACGAAGGGUAUUGGAGUCCGGAAUUGUUCCGGGGUACCAGGUGAUGACCAGCGUGUCCGAAAGGGAUUUCGGAGGCCCCGGCAAGCGUUGGGGGGCCUUAUGGGCCAAGGGGAGAGGGCACAUCAGCCCACUAAGGGGCUGAGCGCCCCUCCCACCACAUCUCACGUAACCAGGAGAGGUGGGGGCGCCACCCCUAGGGCAGCCGCCCCUCCCGGCUUGGGGGGGGCAAGUUUCCUAGGGGGUGGGGGCGCCCAAACCCAUCUAGGGUUUCCCCUAUGGCCGCCGCCCCUCCCCUAGGGAACCCUAGGGCGCCUCCCCCUCCUCCCUUCCCCCUAUAUAUAGUGAGGGAGAGAGAGGGCAGCCGUACCUUUCCCCUGGCGCAGCCCUCUUCCUCCUCCGUAGUGCUUGGCGAAGCCCUGCCGGAGAACCACGAGCUCCAUCAUCACCACGCCGUCGUGCUGUCGGAGUUUUCCCUCAACUUCUCCUCUCACCUUGCUGGAUCAAGAAGGAGGAGACGUCUCCCAACCGUACGUGUGUUAAACGCGGAGGUGCCGUCCGUUCAGCGCUAGGAUCAUCGGUGAUUUGGAUCACGACGAGUACGACUCCAUCAAUCCCGUUCACUUGAACGCUUCCGCUUAGCAAUCUACAAGGGUAUGUAGAGGCAAUCUCCUUCCCCUCGUUGCUAGAUUACUCCAUAGAUUGAUCUUGGUGAUGCGUAGAAAAUUUUGAAUUUCUUCUACGUUCCCCAACAAUGGCAUCAUGAGCUAGGUCUAUGCGUAGUUUCUAUGCACGAGUAGAACACAAAGCAGUUGUGGGCGUCGAUAUUGUCAAUUUACUUGCCGUUACUAGUCUUAUCUUGAUUCGGCGGCAUCGUGGGAUGAAGCGGCUCGGACCGACCUUACACGUACGCUUAUGUGAGACUGGUUCCACCGACUGACAUGCACUAGUUGCAUAAGGUGGCUAGCGGGUGUCUAUCUCUCCCACUUUAGUCGGAUCGGAUUCGAUGAAAAGGGUCCUUAUGAAGGGUAAAUAGAAAUUGGCAUAUCACGUUGUGGUUUUCGUGUAGGUAAGAAACGUUCUUGCUAGAAACCUAUAGCAGCCACGUAAAAACUUGCAACAACAAUUAGAGGACGUCUAACUUGUUUUUGCAGCAUAUGCCUUGUGAUGUGAUAUGGCCAAAAGGAUGUGAUGAAUGAUAUAUGUGAUGUAUGAGAUUGAUCAUGUUCUUGUAAUAGGAAUCACGACUUGCAUGUCGAUGAGUAUGACAACCGGCAGGAGCCAUAGGAGUUGUCUUAAUUUAUUUAUGACCUGCGUGUCAACAUAACCGUCAUGUAAUUACUUUACUUUAUUGCUAAAGCGUUAGCCAUAGUAGUAGAAGUAAUAGAUGACGAGACAACUUCAAGAAGACACAAUGAUGGAGAUCAUGAUUGAAAGGAUCGAUAUGGUUGACUAGAGGGGGGGGGGUGAAUAGGCAACUAACAAUUUUUAGCUUUUCUUUAACAAUUUAAACUUUGCAUCAAAGUAGGUUGUCUAGAUAUGCAACUAGGUGAGCAACCUAUAUGAUGCAACGAGGAUAGGUACACAAGCAAGCAAGAGAUAUGAAACAAGUAAGCUUGCUCAAAUAAAGGCACGAGAUAACCAAGAGUGGAGACGGUGGAGACGAGGAUGUGUUGCCGAAGUUCCUUCCCUUUGAGAGGAAGUACGUCUCCGUUGGAGCGGUGUGGAGGCACAAUGCUCCCCAAGAAGCCACUAGGGCCACCGUAUUCUCCUCACACCCUCACACAAUGCGAGAUGCCGUGAUUCCACUAUUGGUGCCCUUGAAGGCGGCGACCGAACCUUUACAAACAAGGUUGGGGCUCUCCCCACAACUUAAUUGGAGGCUCCCAAAAAAACCACGAAGCUUCACCACAAUGGAAUAUGGCUCCGAGGUGACCUCAACUGUCUAGGGUGCUCAAACACCCAAGAGUAACAAAAUCCACACAAGAAAGUAUGGGGGAAGCAAGUAUCCUUUGGUGGAAGUGUAGAUCUAGGUCUCCUCCUUCAAUCCCUAGCAAAUCAACAAGUUUGAGUGGCUAGAGAGAGAGAUUGGGCAAGAGAGCUUGAAGGGCAUUAAUGGUGGAGUGAGAGAGGUCAAAGGUGGGAGUGGUAGGUGGGAGAAGCUCCCUUAAAUAGUCACCCACAUUUCCAACCGUUACUGCGUUUUUUGCACUUCAGCGGUACAACCGGUCCUCGUCCCGGUACAACCGGGACUCACGGUGUAACUGCAGAACCCUACCAAGCGGUACAACCGGACAGGCGGGCGGUAGUACCGGCUAAGAAAAAUAACCGGACUAACCGCCUGGCUACCGCACAACCACCGCAUCAAAACAGGAGCUUGACCGGUACUUGGGCAGUGCCUGGCUGGAACAACCGCAUGGCCUUGAGCUCUUGGGCAGCUAAGUUCUGAGCGGAAGAACCGCUCGGACCACCCGUGGUACCGGUCAUCGUGGAACGACCGGACCAACCGGGCCACUACCGCCCAAGAACCGCAUCAAACCAGAAGCGAGAGCGGUACUUGAGCGGUGCAUGGACGGAACCACCGCCCCCGCUGUUGCAGAGCAUGGUGGCGGUACCACCGCCCGGAGGCAGCGGUACAACCGCUCGAGCAAAGCUGGUGAGCGACAAGACCCAGCGAUACAACCGCUCCAGAGAGCGGUACAACCGCUGGGAAGAAACAGUGAGCAGGAAACAGGGGAAGAGGCAAGGAAAACUUGAAGGAAAUAUGCCCUAGAGGCAAUAAUAAAGUUAUUAUUUAUUUCCUUAUUUCAUGAUAAAUGUUUAUUAUUCAUGCUAGAAUUGUAUUAUCCGGAAACAUAAUACUUGUGUGAAUACAUAGACAAACUAAACGCCACUAGUAUGCCUCUACUUGACUAGCUCGUUAAUCAAAGAUUGUUAUGUUUCCUAACCAUAGACAUGUGUUGUCAUUUUAUUAACGGGAUCACAUUAUUAGGAGAAUGAUGUGAUUGACAUGACCCAUUCCAUUAGCUUAGCACUCGAUCGUUUAGUAUGUUGCUAUUGCUUUCUUCAUGACUUAUACAUGUUCCUAUGACUAUGAGAUUAUGCAACUCCCGUUUGCCGGAGGAACACUUUGUGUGCUACCAAACGUCACAACAUAACUGGGUGAUUAUAAAGGAGCUCUACAGGUGUCUCCAAAGGUAAAUGUUGGGUUGGCGUAUUUCGAGAUUAGGAUUUGUCACUCCGAUUGUCGGAGAGGUAUCUCUGGGCCCUCUCGGUAAUGCACAUCACAUAAGCCUUGCAAGCAUUACAACUAAUGAGUUAGUUGUGAGAUGAUGUAUUACGAAACGAGUAAAGAGACUUGCCAGUAACGAGAUUGAACUAGGUAUUGAGAUACCGACGAUCGAAUCUCGGGCAAGUAACAUACCGAUGACAAAGGGAACAACGUAUGUUGUUAUGCGAUCUGACCGAUAAAGAUCUUCGUAGAAUAUGUGGGAGCCAAUAUGAGCAUCCAGGUUCCGCUAUUGGUUAUUGACCGGAGACGUGUCUCGGUCAUGUCUACAUUGUUCUCGAACCCGUAGGGUCCGCACGCUUAAGGUUUCGAUGACAGAUAUAUUAUGAGUUUAUGAGUUUUGAUGUACUGAAGGAGUUCGGAGUCCCGGAUGAGAUCGGGGACAUGACGAGGAGUCUCAAAAUGGUCGAGACGUAAAGAUCGAUAUAUUGGACGACUAUAUUCGGACAUCGGAAAGGUUUUGAGUGAUUCGGGUAUUUUCGGAGGUACCGGAGAGUUACGGGAAUACGAGGAGGAAGCAAUGGGCCUUAAUGGGCCUUAGUGGGAAGGACCAGGAGGUGGCGCGCGCCCCUCCCAAGCCCAGUCCGAAUUGGACAAGGGGUUUGGGGCGCGGCCCCUCUCUCCCUUCCUUCCCCUCUUCCCCCCUUUCCCCCCUUCUCCUAGUUGGACUAGGAAAGGAGGAAACCUACUCCAACUAGGAGUAGGAAUCCUACUCCCUAGCGCGCCCCUCCUAGGGCCGGCCUCCUCCCCCUUGCUCCUUUAUAUACGGGGGCAGGGGGGCACCUCUACACACACAAGUUGAUCCUUGUGAUCGUUUUCUUAGCCGUGUGCGGUGCCCCCUUCCACCAUAUACCUCGAUAAUAUUGUAGUGGUGCUUAGGCAAAGCCCUGCGACAGUUGAACAUCAAGAUCGUCACCAUGCCCUCGUACUGACGGAACUCUUCCCCGACACUUUGCUAGAUCGGAGUCCGGGGAUCGUCAUCGAGCUGAACGUGUGCUAAAACUCGGAGGUGCCGUAGUUUCGGUGCUUGAUCGGUCGGGCCGUGAAGACGUACGACUACAUCAACCGCGUUGUGCUAACGCUUCUGCUGUCGGUCUACAAGGGUACGUAGAUCACACUCUCCCCUCUCGUUGCUAUGCAUCACCAUGAUCUUGCGUGUGAGUAGGAAUUUUUUUGAAAUUACUACGUUCCCCAACAGUGGUAUCAGAGCCUAGGUUUUAUGUGUUGAUGUUAUAUGCACGAGUAGAACACAAGUGAGUUGUGGGCGAUAUAAGUCAUACUGCUUACCAGCAUAUCAUACUUUGGUUCGGCGGUAUUGUUGGACGAAGCGGCCCGGACCGACAUUACGCGUAUGCUUACGCGAGACCGGUUCUCCCGACGUGCUUUGCACAAAGGUGGCUAGCGGGUGUUAGUUUCUCCAACUUUAGUUGAACCGAGUGUGGCUACGCCCGGUCCUUGCGAAGGUUAAAACAACACCAACUUGACAAACUAUCAUUGUGGUUUUGAUGCGUAGGUAAGAUUGGUUCUUGCUUAAGCUCGUAGCAGCCACGUAAAACUUGCAACAACAAAGUAGAGGACGUCUAACUUGUUUUUGCAGGGCAUGUUGUGAUGUGAUAUGGUCAAGACAUGAUGCUAAAAUUUUAUUGUAUGAGAUGAUCAUGUUUUGUAACCAAGUUAUCGGCAACUGGCAGGAGCCAUAUGGUUGUCACUUUAUUGUAUGCAAUGCAAUUGCGCUGUAAUGCUUUACUUUAUCACUAAACGGUAGCGAUAGUCGUGGAAGCAUAAGAUUGGCGAGACGACAACAAUGCUAUGAUGAUGAUCAAGGUGUCGCGCCGGUGACGAUGGUGAUCACGACGGUGCUUCGAAGAUGGAGAUCACAAGCACAAGAUGAUGGCCAUAUCAUAUCACUUAUAUUGAUUGCAUGUGAUGUUUAUCUUUUAUGCAUCUUAUCUUGCUUUGAUUGACGGUAGCAUUUUAAGAUGAUCUCUCACCAAUUAUCAAGAAGUGUUCUCCCUGAGUAUGCACCGUUGCAAAAGUUCUUCAUGCUGAGACACCAUGUGAUGAUCGGGUGUGAUAGGCUCUACGUUCAAAUACAACGGGUGCAAAACAGUUGCACACGCGGAAUACUCAGGUUAUACUUGACGAGCCAAGCAUAUACAGAUAUGGCCUCGGAACACGAAGAUCGAAAGGUCGAGCGUGAAUCAUAUAGUAGAUAUGAUCAACAUAGUGAUGUUCACCAAUGAAACUACUCCAUCUCACGUGAUGAUCGGACAUGGUUUAGUUGAUUUGGAUCACGUGAUCACUUAGAGGAUUAGAGGGAUGUCUAUCUAAGUGGGAGUUCUUAAAGUAAUAUGAUUAAUUGAACUUAAAUUUAUCAUGAACUUAGUCCUGGUAGUAUUUUUGUAAAUCAUGUUGUAGAUCAAUAGCUCGCGUUGUUGUUUCCCUGUGUUUAUUUUGAUAUGUUCCUAGAGAAAAUUGUAUUGAAAGAUGUUAGUAGCAAUGAUGCAGGAUUGGAUCCGUGAUCUGAGGUUUAUCCUCAUUGCUGCACAGAAGAAUUAUGUCCUUGAUGCACCGCUAGGUGACAGACCUAUUGCAGGAGCAGAUGCAGACGUUAUGAACGUUUGGCUAGCUCAAUAUGAUGACUACUUGAUAGUUUAGUGCACCAUGCUUAACGGCUUAGAAUCGGGACUUCAAAGACGUUUUGAACGUCAUGGAACAUAUGCGAUGUUCCAGGAGUUGAAGUUAAUAUUUCAAGCAAAUACCCCAGUUGAGAGAUAUGAAGUUUCCAACAAGUUCUAUAGCUAAAAGAUGGAGGAGAAUCGCUCAACUAGUGAGCAUAUGCUUAGAUUGUCUGGGUACUACAAUUGCUUGAAUCAAGUGGGAGUUAAUCUUCCAGAUAAAAUAGUGAUUAACAGAAUUCUCUAGUCACCAUCACCAAGUUAGUAAAACUUCGUGAUGAACUAUGAUAUGCAAGGGAUAACGGAAACGAUUCCCAAGCUCUUAGUAAUGCUGAAAUUGACGAAGGUAGAAAUCGAGAAAAACAUCAACUGUUGAUGGUAGACAAGACCACUAGUUUCAAGAAAAGGGCAGAGGGAAGAAGGGGAACUUCAAGAAGAACAGCAAGCAAGUUGCUGCUCAAGUGAAGAAGCCCAAGUCUGGUCCUAAGCCUGAGACUAAGUGCUUCUACUGCAAAGGGACUGGUCACUGGAAGCGGAACUAUCCCAAGUGAUUGGCGGAUAAGAAGGAUGGCAAAGUGAACAUAAGUAUAUUUGAUAUACAUGUUAUUGAUGUGUACUUUAAUAGUAUUUAUAGCAACCCCUUAGUAUUUGAUACUAGUUCAGUUGCUAAGAUUAGUAGCUCGAAACGGGAGUUGCAGAAUAAACAGAGACUAGUUAAGGGUGAAGUGACGAUGUGUGUUGGAAGUGGUUCCAAGAUUGAUAUGAUCAUCAUCGCACACUCCCUAUAAUUUCGGGAUUAGUGUUGAACCUAAAUAAGUGUUAUUUGGUGUUUGCGUUGAGCAUGAAUAUGAUUUGAUCAUGUUUAUUGUAAUACAGUUAUUCAUUUAAGUAAGAGAAUAAAUUGUUGUUCUGCUUACAUGAAUAAAACCUUAUAUGGUUACACACCCAAUGAAAAUGGUUCAUUGGAUCUCAAUCGUAGUGAUACACAUAUUCAUAAUAUUGAAACCAAAAAGAUGCAAAGUUAAUAAUGAUAGUGCAACUUAUUUGUGGAACUGUCGUUUAGGUCAUAUUGGUGUAAAGCGCAUGAAGAAACUCCAUGCUGAUGGGAUUUUGGAAUCACUUGAUUAUGAAUCACUUGGUGCUUGCGAACCAUGCCUUAUGGGCAAGAUGACUAAAGACUCCGUUCUCCGGAACAAUGGAGCGAGCACCAUAUUUGUUGGAAAUCAUACAUACUGAUGUAUGUGGUCCGAUGAAUAUUAAAGCUCGCGACAAGUAUCAUUAUUUUCUGACCUUCACAGAUGAUUUAAGCAGAUAUGAGUAUAUCUACUUGAUGAAACAUAAGUCUGAAAAGUUCAAAGUAUUUCAGAGUGAAGUAGAAAAUCAUCAUGACAAGAAAAUAAAGUUUCUACGAUCUGAUCGUAGAGACGAAUAUUUGAGUUACGAGUUUGGUCUUCAAUUAAAACAAUGUGGAAUAGUUUCACAAACUCAUGCCACCUGGAACACCACAGCAUAAUGGUGUGUCCGAACAUCAUAACCAUACUUUAUUGGAUAUAGUACAAUCUAUGAUGUUUCUUACCGAUUUACCAAUAUCGUUUUGGGAUCAUGCAUUAGAGACAGCUGCAUUCACGUUAAAAAAUGGGGCACCAUCUAAGUCCGUUGAGACGACACAAUCUGAACUGUGGUUUGGCAAGAAACCAAAGUUGUUGUUUCUUAAAGUAUGGGAUUGUGAUGCUUAUAUGAAAAAGUUUCAUCUUGAUAAGCUCAAACCCAAAUCGGAGAAAUAUGUCUUCAUAGGAUACCCAAAGGAGACUGUUGGGUACACCUUCUAUCACAGAUCCGAAGGCAAGACAUUCGUUGCUAAGAAUGGAUCCUUUCUAGAGAAGGAGUUUCUCUCGAAAGAAGUGAGUGGGAGGAAAGUAGAAAACUUGAUAAGGUAAUUGUACCUUCUCCCUUAUUGGAAAGUAGUUCAUCACAGAAAUCUGUUCUUGUGACUACUACACCAAUUAGUGAGGAAGCUAAUGAUGAUGAUCAUGUAACUUCAGAUCAAGUUACUACCGAAUCUCGUAGGUAAACCAGAGUAAGAUCCGCACCAGAGUGGUACGGUAAUCCUGUUCUGGAAGUCAUGUUACUAGACCAUGACAAACUUGCGAACUAUGAGGAAGUGAUGAUGAGCCCAGAUUCCGCGAAAUGGUUUGAGGCCAUGAAAUCUGAGAUAUGAUUCAUGUAUGAGAACAAAGUAUGGACUUUGAUGGAUUUGCCCGAUGAUCGGCAAGCCAUAGAAAAUAAAUGGAUCUUCAAGAGGAAGAUGGACGCUGAUAGUAGUGUUACUAUCUACAAAGCUAGACUUGUCGAAAAAGGUUUUUGACAAAGUUCAAGGUGUUGACUACGAUGAAAUUUUCUCACUCAUAGCGAUGCUUAAGUCUGUCCCAAUCAUGUUAGCAAUUGCCGCAUUUUUAUGAAAUCUGGUAAAUGGAUAAACAAAACUACAUUCCUUAAUGGAUUUAAAGAAGAGUUGUAUAUGAUGCAACCCGAAGGUUUUGUCAAUCCUAAAGGUGCUAACAAAAUAUGCAAGCUCCAGCGAUCCAUCUAUGGACUGGUGCAAGCAUCUCGGAGUUGGAAUAUACGUUUUGAUAAGUUGAUCAAAGCAUAUAGUUUUAUACAGACUUGCGGUGAAGCUUGUAUUUACAAGAAAGUGAGUGGGAGCACUACAGCAUUUCUGAUAAGUAUAUGUGAAUGACAUAUUGUUGAUCGGAAAUAAUGUAGAAUUAUUCUGCAAAGCAUAAAGGAGUGUUUUGAAAGAAGUUUUUCAAAGAAAGACCUCGGUGAAGCUGCUUACAUAUUGAGCAUCAAGAUCUAUAGAGAUAGAUCAAGACGCUUGAUAAGUUUUUUCAAUGAGUACAUACCUUGACAAGAUUUUGAAGUAGUUCAAAAUGGAACAGUCAAAGAAAGAGUUCUUGCCUGUGUAACAAGGUGUGAAAUUGAGUAAGACUCAAAGCCCGACCACGGCAGAAGAUAGAAGGAGAAUGAAAGUCAUUCCCUAUGCCUCAAUCAUAGGUUCUAUAAAGUAUGCCAUGCUGUGUACCUAUUGUAUACCCUACAUUGUUUUUGGCAAGGGAGUACAAUAGUGAUCUAGGAGUAGAUCACUGGACAGCGGUCAAAAUUAUCCUUAGUGGAAUAAGGAAAUAUUUCUCAAUUAUGGUGGUGACAAAAGGUUCAUCGUAAAGAGUUACGUCAAUGCAAGCUUUGACACAGAUCUGGAUGACUCUAAGUCUUGAUCUAGAUACAUAUUGAAAGUGGGAGCAAUUAGCUAGAGUAGCUCCAUGCAGAGCAUUGUUGACAUAGAUAUUUGCAAAAUACUUAUGGAUCUGAAUAUGACAGACCCGUUGACUAAAAUUAUCUCACAAGCAAAACAUGAUCACACCUUAGUACUCUUUGGGUGUUAAUCACAUAGCGAUGUGAACUAGAUUACUGACUCUAGUAAACCUUUUGGGUGUUGGUCACAUAUCAAUGUGAUCUAUGGGUGUUAAUCACAUAAAGAUGUGAACUAUUGAUGUUAGAUCACAUGGCGAUGUGAACUAGAUUAUUGACUCUAGUGCAAGUGGGAGACUGAAGGAAAUAUGCCCUAGAGGCAAUAAUAAAGUUAUUAUUUAUUUCCUUAUUUCAUGAUAAAUGUUUAUUAUUCAUGCUAGAAUUGUAUUAUCCGGAAACAUAAUACUUGUGUGAAUACAUAGACAAACUAAACGUCACUAGUAUGCCUCUACUUGACUAGCUCAUUAAUCAAAGAUGGUUAUGUUUCCUAACCAUAGACAUGUGUUGUCAUUUGAUUAACGGGAUCACAUUAUUAGGAGAAUGAUGUGAUUGACAUGACCCAUUCCAUUAGCUUAGCACCCGAUCGUUUAGUAUGUUGCUAUUGCUUUCUUCAUGACUUAUACAUGUUCCUAUGACUAUGAGAUUAUGCAACUCCCGUUUGCCGGAGGAACACUUUUGUGCUACCAAACGUCACAAGGUAACUGGGUGAUUAUAAAGGAGCUCUAUAGGUGUCUCCAAAGGUAAAUGUUGGGUUGGCGUAUUUCGAGAUUAGGAUUUGUCACUCCGAUUGUCGGAGAGGUAUCUCUGGGCCCUCUCGGUAAUGCACAUCACAUAAGCCUUGCAAGCAUUGCAACUAAUGAGUUAGUUGCGAGAUGAUGUAUUACGAAACGAGUAAAGAGACUUGUCGGUAACGAGAUUGAACUAGGUAUUGAGAUACCGACGAUCGAAUCUCGGGCAAGUAACAUACCGAUGACAAAGGAACAACGUAUGUUGUUAUGCGGUCUGGCCGAUAAAGAUCUUCAUAUAAUAUGUGGGAGCCAAUAUGAGCAUCCAGGUUCCGCUAUUGGUUAUUGACCGGAGACGUGUCUCGGUCAUGUCUACAUUGUUCUCGAACCCGUAGGGUCCGCACGCUUAAGGUUACGAUGACAGUUAUAUUAUGAGUUUAUGAGUUUUGAUGUACCAAAGGAGUUCGGAGUCCCGGAUGAGAUCGGGGACAUGAUGAGGAGUCUCGAAAUGGUCGAGACGUAAAGAUCGAUAUAUUGGACGAUUAUAUUCGGACAUCGGAAAGGUUCCGAGUGAUUCGGGUAUUUUCGGAGGUACCGGGGAGUUACGGAAAUACGAGGAGGAAGCAAUGGGCCUUAAUGGGCCUUAGUGGGAAGGACCGGGAGGUGGCGCGCGCCCCUCCCAAGCCCAGUCCGAAUUGGACAAUGGGUUUGGGGCGCGGCCCCUCUCUCCCUUCCUUCCCCUCUUCCCCCCUUUUCCCCCUUCUCCUAGUUGGACUAGGAAAGGAGGAAACCUACUCCAACUAGGAGUAGGAAUCCUACUCCCUAGCGCGCCCCUCCUAGGGCCAGCCUCCUCCCCCUUGCUCCUUUAUAUACGGGGGCAGGGGGGCACCUCUACACACACAAGUUGAUCCUCGUGAUCAUUUUCUUAGCCGUGUGCGGUGCCCUCUUCCACCAUAUACCUCGAUAAUAUUGUAGUGGUGCUUAGGCGAAGCCCUGCGACAGUUGAACAUCAAGAUCGUCACCACGCCGUCGUGCUGAUGGAACUCUUCCCCGACACUUUGCUGGAUCGGAGUUUGGGGAUCGUCAUCGAGCUAAACGUGUGCUAAAACUCGGAGGUGCCGUAGUUUCGGUGCUUGAUCGGUCGGCCCGUGAAGACGUACGACUACAUCAACCGCGUUGUGCUAACGCUUCCACUGUCGGUCUACAAGGGUACGUAGAUCACACUCUCCCCUCUCGUUGCUAUGCAUCACCAUGAUCUUGCGUGUGCGUAGGAUUUUUUUUGAAAUUACUAUGUUCCCCAAGAAAACUCUCUCUCUCACACACCUGAGGAAGGCAAAGAGAGGGUGAGAAAAGUGUACGUGAACUGAUUCCCCCAGAGCUUCCUAAUAAGGAUUCCCUCUUGAUAGUACGGGUACUCUACGACCAAAGAAAAUAAAAGCGUAGAGGACACGUCUUCGAUCUUUUCCUUCGAGAGGCAAUAGCAAUCCGAUGUAAGCCUAAGCAUCGAGAACCUAAAACAUAUAGCACAUGAUUAGACCACAAAGGGUUGUCAUCAUCAUCCAAAACAUAAAGUAGGGAGAUGCCCUUUCAAUCUCCCCCUUUUUGGUGGAUGAUGACAACAACACGAUUUGCAAGAGAUAAGUCAAUGAAAUCUAGACGGAACUCCCCCUGAAUGUGUGCCCCAAUAAGUACUAGCUGUUAGAAAGCAUGGGGACACUUUCAGGACUAGACUCCCCCUAGAUUUUAUAUACUCAUCACUCUGAGCUCAAAAGGAUAGACAAUAUAAUACUUAGAGGCAAUAAUAACGAUAAUGACCUACGAACGGAAAGGUAAACGAAGUAACAAGUCUCACACACAGCACGGAACGAAACAAGUCCACAAACAAACACAAAACACGAGAACAAGAGAAAAACCCAAGCAAAUCCCCGAGACCUAUAGAACCCUCUCCCCCUUUGGCAUCAAGACACCAAAAAGGAAAAGAGCGAAGCUAGCGACCCAAAGCUCAGGCGUCCUCCUCUGACUCCUCGGUCGCAUCUGGAUCUUCAUCAUCAGAGUCAUGAUCGUUAUCGUGAUCAGAUUCUUCCAUGACAUUGUCAGCUGCUGCAAACGAGGAUGAUAGCUGGGGAGGGGCUUCAUCAUCAGUCCAGGUGCUAUGGGUAGAGAUCCAACGCUCCUCUGGGGUGAUGCUCUUCUCAGAGCCACUCUGAACCUGCAUGUUGAGGUGCUUCAUCAUUGCAAUUUGGCAACGCCGUGCAAGCUUCUCAUUGACAUGUGCCUCAUACAUCUUCUUCUGGAUGUCAGCCUGGAGACAAAAGGUCUUCUUCACCUUGGCAGUAAGUUUGGCCACCCACGAAGGCUUGGCCCUUGGCUCCAGCUCAAAGUCCUCAUCGUCAGAAGUAGCAUAGACAUCCUCAGGAGCAUGUUCAGGGAAGCGAGGCUCGGCAUGCUUCUUCUUCUUAAGGAGCUUGACCUCAUGAACAGUGAGGUUGUCUGGAGAAGUGAGGAGCUCUCCAGGACGACGAACAGCCCACACAGAGUUCAGAAAGCACAUGACAAACGGAGCAUAGAUUGGGACUUUACGGUAGAUGACCAUGUUGUACAUCUCAUGCCACAGCCAAUUUGACACAUCAAACGUUGCCCCUGUCCCCACCAUGGUCUUCAUAGCAACCAUCAAAUCAACCAGAUAGCCAUGAAUCUCAUCUUGAUUGCCCACCUUGGGCAAGAGCACAUUGCGGAACACUCGGUGCAUGAUGUCAUAGACCUUCUCCAAAUCCUUGGAUUCUCCAAUAAUCCCACGGCCCCGAAUGUACAGAGGGGCAAACUUCUCCUUAGGCAUGGACUCAGGAAAAUCAUGAGGGCGAAUUGUUGGAAAUAUGCCCUAGAGGCAAUAAUAAAAGCAUUAUUAUUAUAUUUCCUUAUUCAUGAUAAUUGUCUUUAUUCAUGCUAUAAUUGUGUUAUCCGGAAAUCGUAAUACAUGUGUGAAUAACAGACACCAACAUGUCCCUAGUAAGCCUCUAGUUGACUAGCUCGUUGAUCAACAGAUAGUCAUGGUUUCCUGACUAUGGACAUUGGAUGUCAUUGAUAACGAGAUCACAUCAUUAGGAGAAUGAUGUGAUGGACAAGACCCAAUCCUAAACAUAGCACAAGAUCGUAUAGUUCGUUUGCUAGAGUUUUUCCAAUGUCAAGUAUCUUUUCCUUAGACCAUGAGAUCGUGUAACUCCCGGAUACCGUAGGAGUGAUUUGGGUAUACCAAACGUCACAACGUAACUGGGUGACUAUAAAGGUAGACUACGGGUAUCUCCGAAAGUGUCUAUUGGGUUGACAUGGAUCAAGACUGGGAUUUGUCACUCCGUAUGACGGAGAGGUAUCACUGGGCCCACUCGGUAAUGCAUCAUCAUAAUGAGCUCAAAGUGACCAAGUGUCUGGUCACGGGAUCAUGCAUUACGGUACGAGUAAAGUGACUUGCCGGUAACGAGAUUGAACGAGGUAUUGGGAUACCGAUGAUCGAAUCUCGGGCAAGUAACAUAUCGAUUGACAAAGGGAAUUGCAUACGGGGUUGAUUGAAUCCUCGACAUUGUGGUUCAUCUGAUGAGAUCAUCAUGGAGCAUGUGGGAGCCAACAUGGGUAUCCAGAUCCCACUGUUGGUUAUUGACCGGAGAGUCGUCUCGGUCAUGUCUGCUUGUCUCCCGAACCCGUAGGGUCUACACACUUAAGGUUCGGUGACGCUAGGGUUGUGAAGAUAUGUAUAUGCAGUAACCCGAAUGUUGUUCGGAGUCUCGGAUGAGAUCCUGGACAUCACGAGGAGUUCCGGAAUGGUCCGGAGGUAAAGAAUUAUAUAUAGGAAGUGCUGUUUCGGCCAUCGGGACAAGUUUCGGGGUCACCGGUAUUGUACCGGGACCACCGGAAGGGUCCCCGGGGUCCACCGGGUGGGGCCACCUAUCCCGGGGGGCCCCAUGGGCUGAAGUGGGAGGGAACCCAGCCCAAAGUGGGCUGGGGCGCCACUCCCCUAGGGCCCAUGCGGCUAGGGUUGAGGGGAAACCCUAAAGGGGGCGUCCCCUAGCUUGGGGGGCAAGCCCCCCACCCUUGGCCGCCGCCCCCCCCUAGGAGAUUCCAUCUCCUAGGGCCGGCGCCCCCCCUAGCACCCCUAUAUAUAGUGGGGGAGAGGAGGGACUUCAUACAACAGCCCCUGGCACCUCCCUCUCUCCCCGUUACGUCUCUCUCUCGUAGUAUAGGCGAAGCCCUGCUACUGUGACGCCCUGCAUCCACCACCACGCCGUCGUGCUGCUGGAUCUUCAUCAACCUCUCCUUCCCCCUUGCUGGAUCAAGAAGGAGGAGACGUCUCCCGUCCCGUACGUGUGUUGAACGCGGAGGUGCCGUCCGUUCGGCGCUUGGUCAUCGGUAAUUUGGAUCACGUCGUGUUCGACUACAUCAUCACCAUUCUUUGAACGCUUCCGCACGUGAUCUACAAAGGUAUGUAGAUGCAUCCGAUGACUCGUUGCUAGAUGAACUCCUAGAUGGAUCUUGGUGAAACGAGUAGGAAAAUUUUUGUUUUCUGCAACGUUCCCCAACACGAAUGCCACCCCUUCCUUCCAGACCAGUAUCCUCGUACCCAAUAGCAUUGUAGAAAGCCCUCCAGGGAACGUGAAACAAUUCAUCGCGACACAUGAAGGUGAGAGUGCGCGCAUCAUCUUCCCCAAAAUGAACCGUGGCAUAGAACUGAUGGAUAAGUUGAACAUCAAAGUCACAGUUGACUGACAUGAUCUUGACAAGAUCAAACUCCUCGCAUAGAGAUAGCACCUCACCAAAAUACUCCAUGUUGUUUCUCCAAUGAUCAAAAUCAAUUGUCCACUGCUUGGCAUAUCUGUUCUUGUUGUGCUCAAAGAGUUCAUGAACAAUCCGCACUUGCAUCUCAUUCUGGAACUGAACAGUGGUCCAACGGGGAGCAAUGGGAACCUCAUACGGAUUCUUUGAGUGGAAGGCUUCCCAAUCCUUGGCUUUCCAACGAUGCAACGGCAUAACCACACGUUGCUUAGCAGCUGUAGACUUUUCACGGCGAGUGGGCUUGGUGGGAAUCACAACUUCUUCUUCUUCAUCAGACACAACCGGGCGCAAGGUCCUUCGUGCCCUCUUCUUGGUCUUGCGAGGAGCAGAGCGAGAACUAGAGCCACCUGAACACACACACGAAAAGAACACACAAAAACCCAACAAGGAUGAGAGGAUUGCACCCACUAGCAGAAAAGGAACAAGUUGCAACAACAGAGAAGAUAGAAUAGUGCUUAGUGGUUGAUAUACUCUGGUUGUACCGGAUCUUCCGCCGGUAGUACCGCUCCAGCGGUUGUACUCCCCAUAGGGGCGGUAGUACCGCUCCAGCGGUUGUACCGCCCGUAGGGGUGGUAGAACCGCUAACAGUGGCACUACCAGGGAAGAUAGAUCUAACCGAGGCAUACGAAUCACACAAGUAAUAUUCCGAAUUCUAAGUGCUGCAAACAAGACAUGAGGCUAACAAAGAACUCUUCUAAGCCAUAGAUCGAACACUAAACGCGGAAAGAUAAGUAAAGCCCUAGACAAGGAAGAACCCUAAAAAAAUCUAAAGGCAAAGAACACGAGGCAUUACCACCAUCCAUGGGAAGAGAUCGGGAGGCCUCCACGGAGAGAAUCCACGGAGAGCCAAGGAUCCGAAGCGCGAGACGCACUCCGGGGCAGGGGUAGAGAUGGCCGGCGGCUAGGGCAAAAAAAGAAGAGGAACGAGGACAAAGGGAAAAAGACAACCCUUCAGCCCCGUCGAGUAUAUAUAGGCCCGUACACACGCCCCGGUAGAACCGCUUAGGGGAGCGGUUGUACCGCUCGUCUGGUACAGACCGGUGGAUGGAGGCGGUACUUCCGGUGCCUGGGAGGCAGCGGUAGUACCGCACGGCAUCAACCGGUAGUACCGGACGUGGGUUACCGUGGGUUUGUGCGAUGGAACCGCCCAAGCACCGAACGGAGACUCUUGGGACGGCACAACCCGGUACCAGCGGUAGAACCGCUCGUGGUACCGAUUGUACUGCCCGACCACCUAAGCCCAAGCCAAGAUCAAAUGAGUGCAAUCCGAAGGGAGGAAGAAGGAGCACAAAACAUGAGAGAAACAACACCCUAUGAGAACCUAACACAAAGAGCAAAGACAUAAAGAGAGAAAACAACACGAGAACAACAAGGCUAACUCCAACCUCCCGAAGAGAGGACGGUGGCCGAGGCCACCUAUCUUUGAGUCAAUUGGUAUGGCACCGCGAAGAAUUGUCCUUCGGUCCAUGACCAAAACUCGUCUUUGAAGCACAAGUACCAUCAAAUAUGGCUAAUGUGAAAGACACGAUCAAUUUAUGCAUAAUGGGGGGAGGGAGAGUUCAUUGAGAGAACAACACUCCCCCUAUGUCCAUGCCUACACCUAAACUAGACGACAAAUUGAGCGUGGUAGGGUGUGCAAGGGUUCAAGCCACAUUGCUCGAAUCAAUGAUAUUUAGCUCAUGCCUUAACUCGCGAAAUCUUGCUUCAUCCAAGGGCUUCGUGAAAAUAUCUGCAAGGUUGUCAUGAGUGUUGACAUAGUUGAGCUCGAUCUCUCCUCGUCUAAUUUGAUCCCGGAUGAAGUGAUACCGGAUCUCAAUAUGCUUUGUCUUGAAAUGUUGCACCGGAUUGAGAGAGAUCUUGAUGGCACUUUCAUUGUCACACCAAAGAGGCACUUUGUCACAAGUGACACCGUAAUCCUUUAAAGUUUGCCUCAUCCAUAGGAGUUGAGCACAACAACUACCGGCGGCAACAUACUCCGCCUCAGUGGACGAGAGAGACACACAACUUUGCUUUUUGGAAGACCAACUUACCAAAGAGCAACCAAGGAAUUGGCACCCUCCGGAAGUGGACUUCCUAUCCACUUUGUCUCCCGCCCAAUCGGAAUCCGAGUACCCUACAAGCUUGAAGUUUGAUCCUCUGGGGUACCAUAGGCCAAAGUUUGGGGUAUGAGCCAAAUAUCGAAAGAUUCGUUUGACCGCCACAUAGUGACUUUCCUUAGGUGCGGCUUGAAACCAUGCACAAAUUCCCACACUCAACAUGAUGUCCGGUCUAGAUGCACAAAGGUAAAGCAAGGAUCCAAUCAUGGAACGAUAUACCUUUUGAUCCACCACUUUACCAUUGGGAUCUAAGUCAAGUUGGCACUUGGUGGGCAUUGGAGUGGAAGCCGGCUUGACGUCACUUAGCUUGAAUCUCUUGAGCAUGUCUUGAGUGUAUUUGGAUUGAUUGAUGAAGGUUCCUUAUCUUCUUUGCUUCACUUCGAACCCUAGAAAGAACUUCAACUCUCCCAUGGAGGACAUCUCGAACUUUGAGGUCAUGAGAGCGGCAAAUUCCUCAUUGAAAGCUUUGUUAGGAGAACCAAAGAUAAUAUCAUCAACAUAUAAUUGGCACACAAACAACUCCCCUUUGACCUUCUUAGUAAAAAGAGUGGGGUCGAUUAGCCCAACUUCAAAACCACGGUCUUGUAACAACUCGGUAAGGUGGUCAUACCACGCACAUGGGGCUUGUUUAAGGCCAUAGAGCGCCUUAUCGAGUUGAUACACAUGAUCGGGAAAGUAGGGAUCCUCGAACCCGGGGGGUUGCUUGACGUAAACCAAUUCAUUAAUGGGACCAUUAAGAAAAGCACUCUUCACAUCCAUUUGUUGUAACUUAAAGUUAUGAUGAGAAGCAUAUGCAAUCAACAUGCGAAUGGAUUCAAGACGAGCAACGGGAGCAAAGGUUUCACCGUAGUCGAUACCCUCGACUUGGGAGUAGCCUUGUGCUACCAAACGAGCCUUGUUGCGAAUGAUAAUCCCAUGGGCAUCUUGCUUGUUCUUGAAUAUCCACUUGGUUCCAAUGACAUUGUGGUUCCCCGUUGGCUUUGGCACCAAUCUCCACACUUUGUUGCGCUCGAAGUUGUUGAGUUCUUCGUGCAUGGCAUUGAGCCAAUCCGGAUCUUCUAGCGCCUCAUAGACCUUGUGGGGUUCCACACAAGAGACAAACGCGUGAUGCUCACAAUAAUUUGCUAAUUGUCUAUGAGUGCUUACCCCCUUUCUUAAGCUUCCAAGCACAUUCGUCAUGAGAUGAUCCUUGGUGGAGAGCUUGGAUGCAAUCUUGGCGGCACGACGCUCUAAUUCCUCCUCGGUGGUGAGUUGAGGAGCGGUUACUUGAUCAUCUUGAGCGCCGUCAUGAACUUGUUCUUGAUCUUGAACUUGCUCGGGGGAGAGAACUUGACCUGGGCAUCACUUGGUGUGUCAACACCGUCUUGAGUAUGAUCUUGCCCUUGGUCUUGUUCAUGAGGUUGAGGGCCUUCACUUUGUUCUUCGGAAGCGUGUGGGCCUUGGGUUGGUGAUGGCUCCACUUGAGUGGAGCAUUGUCCUUCUCCUUCGCCCACAAGGGGUUCCUCAAUGGGUAGGAUAAAACCAACACCCAUUCUUCUUAUGGCUUGAGGAGGAAUUUCAUCACCUACAUCACAAGUGCCACUUUGCUCCACUUGGGAGCCAUUAUUCUCAUCAAACUCCAUGUUACACGUCUCCUCAAUAAGUCCCGUGGAUUUAUUGAGGACACGGUAAGCAUGAGAGUUUGUAGCAUAACCAACAAAUAUGCCCUCAUGAGCUCUAGCCUCAAAUUUAGACAACCAAACACCUUUCUUGAGAAUGAAACACUUACACCCGAAUACCCGGAAGUACUUGAGGUUGGGCUUGUUACCGGUGAGUAUCUCAUAUGGAGUCUUGUUCAAGCCCUUGCGGAGGUAGAGCCGAUUGGAUGCAUGACACGCGGUGUUGAUGGCUUCGGCCCAAAAGUUGUACGGAGACUUGAACUCCGCCAUCAUGGUCCUUGCCGCAUCCAUCAACGUCCGGUUCUUCCUCUCCGCAACACUGUUUUGUUGAGGGGUGUAUGGUGCGGAAUAUUGAUGCUUGAUUCCCUCAUCACUAAGAAAUUCAUCCAAGGUGUAGUUCUUGAACUCGGUGCCGUUGUCACUUCUUAUUGUCAAGAUCUUUGCAUUGUGUUGACGUUGUGCUUCAUUUGCAAAGUCAAUGACGGUUUGUUGGGUCUUGCUCUUCCUCUUGAAGAAAUACACCCACGUGUACCUUGAGUAGUCAUCCACAAUCACCAAGCAAUACUUCCUACCUCCAAGACUAUCGAAGGAUGGAGGCCCAAAUAGAUCCAUGUGAAGGAGCUCCAAAGGCCUCUUUGAAUAAAUGAUAGUCGUGGGAGGGUGAGCCUUCUCAUGUAGCUUUCCUUCGAUACAGGCACUGCAAGCACGAUCUUUAGCAAAACUAACAUUCGUUAGUCCACGGACAUGGUCCCCCUUGAGGAGACUUUGCAAAGAUCUCAUAUUGACAUGGGCUAAACGGUGAUGCCAAAGCCAUCCCACAUCAACUUUAGCCAUUAGGCAUGUCGCGGUCUUAGUGGGUCGCUCCGAAAAGUUAAUCACAUAUAGACCGUUCUCGACAUGCCCAACAAAGGCUACUUUAAGAGUCUUGCUCCACAAGAGGGCCACGGUAUCGAUAUCAAAGAAAGUGGCAAAGCCCAUGAUUGCAAGUUGACAAACAGAAAGUAAAUUGUAUGCAAGGGACUCAACAAGCAUGACAUUCUCUAUCGUGAGAUCAUGAGAGAUGACCACCUUGCCAAGUCCCAAUACCUUAGAAGAUGAGGCGUCACCCCACUCGACAUUGGUGGGCAUAGAUGGAACCUUGUGCACGUCCACCACCAAGUCCUUGCUUCCGGUCAUAUGAUUUGUAGCUCCGCUAUCGAGCAACCAUGAUCCACCACCGGAAGCAAACACCUACAAGAGAUCAAUGCUUGGUUUUAGGUACCCAUUUUGUAAUGGGUCCUUUGAUGUUAGUAACAAGGGUCUUAGGAACCCAAAUAGACCAUUCAAUGUAUUCAUGAAGAGAACCAACAAAUUUGGCAUAAACAUGCCCAUCACUAGCAUGGCAUAACACAUAGGAAGGAUUAAAAUCGCCGGCUUUGUUGGGAGGGGUGACAUUGCCCUUCUUGACAUUGUUCUUCUUCUUCUCCUCGGGGGCACUCUCUCCCUCCCUCACAAAGGUUUGCAUGAGAGGAGGAGGUUGUUUGGUCUUGUCAUUCUUCUUCUUGUUCUUGGAGUCGGGCACGUACCCAACCCCUUCCUUGGCCACAACUCCCUUUUGGUUGAUCAAGAGAUCGUUGAGGUUCUUCUUGCCUUGUAUGCAAGUCGCAAGACCUCUCUCAAGUUGCUCCUUCAACUUAGCAUUUUCCUCAACAAGAUGUAUAUGCUCACAACACGGGUUAGUAGCAUUUGCAUUAUCAAUUAAAACCAUAUGAGGAAAAGUUGCUUUCUCCUUAGUUAGCUUCACUUGGAGUUGAUCAUGAGACUCCUUGAGACUAGUGUGAAUACCCUUCAAGGCCUUGUGGGCCUUGUCAAGUAUAUCAAACUCCUCUUUGAGUCUAGCAAGAUCAACCCCGAGUUUGGCCUUCUCGGAAUUUAGCACACGAGAAACAAUGAGGACAUGAUCAUAAUCUUUCUUUAACUUAGCAUGAUCAACGUUGUGUGACUCCUCAAGAGCCAAACGAAGACCACGCUCUUCCUCAAGAGCAUUGGAAAGAUCCGAGAUCUCAUCGGCAUAGUCACGACUAUGCCCUUCCAUCUUAGAGAUGGUGUCCUCGUAAGCCUCGACCAUGUCAUUGGCUUCACCAAGUUGUUCCAAGAGAGCAACAAAGUGCUUCUUGGAUUUUCCCUUGAGUUUGCCCAUAAAGGCCUCAAACUCGUUAGCCUCCACAUUAGCUCCCUCAAGUUCAUUAAUGCAAUCCGGCAGGGAAGGAUGAUUAAUGAUGGUAGUUUUGAUGUUGGAGGUUACCUUGUUGGUGGCUUUAGCCAUGAGGCACUUGGCGGUGAUGCUCUCGUUGGGUGAGUCGAAGAGAGACACCCGUGACGUUGUUGCAAUGGCAACGGAGGCCAUGGCAACCGACUCAUCAUCUUCAUCAUCGUCAUCAUCCUCAUUGUACUCUUCUUGCACAACCAAAGCCUUGGGAGGAGUCUUCUUGGAGAAGUUGUUCUUGUUGGGGAACGACUUGGCCUUAUCCUUUCGGAUGAGCUUGCCACCAUUGUCUUCCCUCUUCUCAUACGGGCAUUCCGCAACGAAAUGACUCACGUUGCCGCAAUUGUAUCAAGUCCUUACACGUUGCUUGCCCCUUGUACCACUCGAGUUGUUUUUGCUAAAGUUUGGCCUCGAGUUUUUCUUGCUCCAAAAUUGCCUUGAAGCAAGUGCCAUGUGUUCAUGAUACUUCGUAUCUUCGGGGUUGCUCUCCUCUUCUUCAUCUUCUUCGUCUUCCACGAUGAGCUUGGCCUUCAAUGCAAGGUUAGGCUUCUUUGCCCAUUGAGAACGGAGCACCGCAUUGUCGGCGGUCUUGUCCAAAAUGUUCAUGGCCACAAACUCAUCCAACACUUCGCUUGAGGUCAAAGUGUGGAAGUCCAAUCUUUGACGAAUGAUGGAGGACAUGGCCUUGUGAUAGGGCAUCAUUGCCUUGAGGAAUUUGCGCUUGAUCCAAUUGUCAUCCGUGUCCUUGCUCCCAUGAUCUCGUAGUGAGACCGCGAGUUUUGUUACUCUCCGAUAGAGCUCACGAGGUUCUUCAUCUUCCUUCAUUGCAAACUCAUCGGCCUCAUCUUGUACCACUUCAUAGUUGGAGCUUUGAAUGCUUGCGCUUCCCCGGUAUAGAGACACGACACAAUGCCAUGCAACUUUGGCCAAGGUGAAAGGACGAAGAUGAGGUAGGUCUUUGGGUGGAAUUGCAUCUUGAAUGAUGAAGAGAGCAUUCUCAUUGAGAUCAUGAAGAUAAUGGUGUCAUGCCAGUGACAACGAUGAUCAUGGAGCCCCGAAGAUGGAGAUCAAAAGGAGCAAAAUGAUAUUGGCCAUAUCAUGUCACUAUUUGAUUGCAUGUGAGGUUUAUAAUGUUUUACAUCUUAUUUGCUUAGAACGACGGUAGCUUAAAUAAGAUGAUCCCUCACUAAAAUUUCAAGAAAGUGUUCCCCCUAACUGUGCACCGUUGCGAAGGUUCGUCGUUUCGAAGCACCACGUGAUGAUCGGGUGUGAUAGAUUCUAACGUUCGAAUACAACGGGUGUUGACGAGCCUAGCAUGUACAGACAUGGCCUCGGGACACAUGCGAAACACUUAGGUUGACUUGAUGAGCCUAGCAUGUACAGACAUGGCCUCGGAACACGGAAGACCGAAAGGUCGAACAUGAGUCGUAUAGAAGAUACGAUCAACAUGAGAUGUUCACCGUUGAUGACUAGUCUGUCUCACGUGAUGAUCGGACACGGCCUAGUCGAUUCGGAUCAUGUUCACUUAGAUGACUAGAGGGAUGUCUAUCUGAGUGGGAGUUCAUUAAAUUAAUUUGAUUAGAUGAACUCAAUUAUCAUGAACAUAGUCUAAAUUGUCUUCGCAAAUAUGUUGUAGAUAAAUAGCUCACGUUGUAGCUCCCUGUUUCAAUACGUUCCUAGAGAAAGAUUAAGUUGAAAGAUAUUGUAAGCAAUGAUGUGGACUAGGUCCGUAGUCCGUGGAGUGUCCUCACUGCUACACAGAAGGCUUACGUCUUUGAUGCACCGCUCGAUGUGCAAACCCCUACAACGUCGUCUGUGGAUGUUGUGAACACCUAACAGACACAUUUGAUGACUACCUGAUAGUUUAGUGCACCAUACUUUAUGGCUUAGAAUUGGGAUUCCAAUGAUGUCUUGAACGCCAUAGAACAUAUGAGAUGUUCCAAGAGCUGAAAUUGGGAUUUCAGGCUCAUGCCCGUGUUGAGAGGUGUGAGACCUCUAAAAAGUUCUUUUGCCAACAAGAUGGAGGAGAAUAGCUUAGCUAGUGAGCAUGUGCUUAGAAUGUCUGGGUGCUACAAUCACUUAAAUCAAGUGGGAGUUAAACUUCCAGAUAAGAUAGUGAUUGAUAGAGUUCUCUAGCCACUAUCACUAAGCUACUAGAUCUUUGUGAUGAACUAUGACAUGCAAGGGAUGGAAUUGAUCCCGGAGCUGUCGCGGUGCUUAAGACCGCAAAAGGUAGAAAUCAAGAAGGAGCAUCAAGUGUUGAUGGUUUAACAAGACCACUGGUUUCAAGAAGGGCAAUGGCUAGAAGGGAAACUUCAUGGAUGGCAAACCAGUUGCCGCUCCAGUGAAGGAACCCAAGGUUGAACCCAAACCCGAGACUAAGUGCUUCUAUUGUAAGGGGAAUGGGCACUGGUAGCGGAAUUACCCCAAAUGCAUGGUAGAUAAGAAGGCUGGAAACUUCAACAAAGUAUAUACGUGUUAUUAAUGUGUGCCUCCCUAGUACUCCUGGUAGCACCUGGGUAUUGGAUACCGGUUCAGUUGCUAUUACUGGUGACUUGAAGCAAAAGCUACGGACUAAACGGAGACUGGCUAAGGGCGAGGUGACGAUGUGUGUUGGAAGUGUUUCCAAAGUUGAUGAGAUCACCAUCGCACGCUCCAUCUACCUUCGGGAUUAGUAUUGAACCUAGAUAAAUGUUAUCAGGUGUCUACGUUGAGCAUGAAUAUGAUUAGAUCAUGUUUAUUGCAAUACGGUUAUUAAUUUAAGUUAGAGAAUAAUGGUUAUUCUGUUUACAUGAAUAAUACCUUCCAUGGUCAUGCACCCUAUGUGAAUGGUUCAAUGAAUCUCGGUCGUAGUAAUACACAUGUUCACGCCAAAAUAUGUAGAUAGUACCACUUUCUUGUGGCACUGCCGCUUAGGUCAUAUUGACGUAAGAUGCAUGAAGAAACUCCAUGUAGAUGGAUGUUUGGAGUCACUUGAUUUUGAAUUGCUUGACACAUGCGAGCCAUGCCUCAUGGGCAGGCUGACUAAGACCCCGUUUUCAGGUACAAUGAAACGGGCAAGUGACUUGUUGGAAAUCAUACAUGCUGAUGCGUGUGAUACAAUGAGAAUUGAAGCAUGCGGUGGAUAUCGCUAUUUUCUCAUCUUCACUGACGAUUUGAGUAGAUAUAGGUAUAUUUACUUAAUGAAGCACAAGUCUGAAACGUUUGAAAAGUUCAAGCGAUUUCAGAGUGAAGUUAAGAAUCAUCAUAACAAUAAGAUCAUGUUCCUAUGAUCUGAUCAAAAAGGGGAUUUUCUGAGUUAUGAGUUUGGCAAGCACUUAAGACAUUGUGGAAUUGUUUCACAGUUGAAGCCACCUGGAACACCACAAGGUAAUGGUGUGUCCGGACGUCGUAAUCAAACCCUAUGAGAUAUGGUGCGAUCUAUGAUGUCUCUUACCAAUCUACCGUUUUCAUUUUGAGGUUAUGCGUUAGAGACAGUUGCAUUCACUUUAUAUAGGACACCAUUUAAGUCUGUUGAGACGAUGUCGUAUGAACAUUGGUUUGGCAAGAAACCAAAGUUGUCGUUUCUUAAUGUUUGGGGCUGCGAUGCUUAAGGCUUCAGCCGGAGAAGCUCGAACCCAAAGUGGACAAACACAUCUUCAUAGGAUACCCAAAGGUGACAGGUGGGUAUACCUUCUAUCUCAGAUCCAAGGGCAAAUCGUUUGUUGCUAAGAACGGGUCCUUUCUCGAGAAGGAGUUUCUCUCGAAAGAAUUGAGUGGGAGGAAGAUAGAACUUGAUGAGGUUGUCGAACCUUUACUUCAACCAGAGAGUGAUGCGACACAGAAAGAUGUUUUCUGUGGCGCCUACGUCUGUUGAAGAGGAAGUUAAUGAUAGUGAUCAUGAAGCUUCGGAUCAAGUUGCUAUCAAACCUCAUAGGUCGACAAGGAUAUGUACUACUCCUGAGUGGUACGAUAAUCCUGUCUUAAAUAUCAUGUUGUUAGACAACAAUGAACCUACGACCUAUGGAGAAGCGAUGGUGGGCCCGUAUUCCGACAAAUGGUUAGAAGCCAUGAAAUCCGAUAGGAUCCAUAUAUCAGAACAAAGUAUGGACUUUGGUGGACUUGCCCGAUGAUCGGCAAGCCAUUGAGAUAAAUGGAUCUUUAAGAAGAAGACGGACAUGGGCGGUAAUGUUACCGUCUAUGAAGCUCGACUUGUGGGAAAGAGUCUUUUCACAAGUACAAGGAGUUGACUACGAUGAGAAUUUCUCACCCAUAGCGAUGCUUAAGUCCGUCGGAAUCAUGUUAGCAUUAGUUGUAUUUUUCGAUUUUGAAAUCUGACAGAUGGAUGUCAAAAACAAGUUUUCUUACCAGUUUUUGUAAGAAAGAGUUGUAUGUGAUACAAUCAAAGUUUUGUCGAUCCUAAGGAUGCUAAAAGGUAUGCUGGCUCCAGCGAUCCUUCUAUGGACUAGAGCAAGCAUCUCGGAAUCGGAAUAUAUGUUUUGAUGGAGUGAUCAAAGCUUUUAGGUUUAUGCAAUGUUUGCUAGAAACUUGUAUUUACAAGAAAGUGAGUGGGAGCACUACAACAUUUCUGAUAAGUAUAUGUGGAUGACAUAUUGUUGAUCCGAAAUAAUGUAGAAUUUCUGGAAAGCAUAAACGGGUGUUUGAAGAGUGUUUUUCAAAGGAAGACCUGGAUAAAGCUGCUUACAUAUUGGGCAUCAAGAUCUAUAGAGAUAGAUCAAGACGCCUGAUGGUACUUUCAAAGAACGCACACCUUGACAUGUUUUUGAAGGAGUUCAAAAUAGAUCAGUCAAAGAAGGGGUUCUUACCUGAGUUGUAAGGUGUGAAGUUGAGUAAGACUCAAAGCUUGACCACGGCAGAAGAAAGAGGAAGGACGAAGGUCGUCCCCUAUGCUCUUGUCAUAGGCUCUAUACGGUAUGCCAUGCUGAGUACCGCACCUUAUGUGUGCCUUGCCACAUGUCUGGCAAAAGGGUACAAAGGUGAUCUAGGACUGGAUCACCAUAUAGCGGUCAAAAUUAUCCUUAGAGGAAUAAGGAAAUGUUUCUCGGUUAUGGAGGCGAUAAAGAGUUCGACGUAAAGAGUUACGUCGAUGCAAGCUUAACACCUAUCCGGAUAGCUCUGAGUAGAGAUACCGGAUACGUAUAAUGGAGCAACAAUUUGGAAUAGCUCCAAGUGGAACGUGGUAGCAGCAUCUAUGAUAUGACAUAAAGUUUUGCAAAAUACAUAGGGAUCUGAAUAUGGCAAGACCUGUUGGCUACAACCUCUCUCACAAGCAUAACAUGAUCAAACCCAGAACUCAUUGAGUGUUAAUCACAUAGUGAUGUGAACUAGAUUAUUGAGUCUAGUAAACUCUUUGGAUGUUGGUCACAUGGCGAUGUGACCUGUGAGUGUUAAUCACAUGGCGAUGUGAACUAGAUUAUUGACUCUAGUGCAAGUGGGAGACUGUUGGAAAUAUGCCCUGGAGGCAAUAAUAAAUUGGUUAUUAUUAUAUUUCCUUGUUCAUGAUAAUCGUUUAUUAUCCAUGCUAGAAUUGUAUUGAUAGGAAACUCAGAUACAUGUGUGGAUACAUAGACAAGACCAUGCCCCUAGUAAGCCUCUAGUUGACUAGCUCGUUGAUCAAUAAGAUGGUUACGGUUUCCUGACCAUGGACAUUGGAUGUCGUUGAUAACGGGAUCACAUCAUUAGGAGAAUGAUGUGAUGGACAAGACCCAAUCCUAAGCCUAGCACAAGAUCGUGUAGUUCGUUUGCUAAAACUUUUCUAAUGUCAAGUAUCAUUUCCUUAGACCAUGAGAUUGUGCAACUCCCGAAUACCGUAGGAGUGCUUUGGGUGUGCCAAACGUCACAACGUAACUGGGUGGCUAUAAAGGUACACUACAGGUAUCUCCGAAAGUGUUUGUUGGGUUGGCACGAAUCAAGACUGGGAUUUGUCACUCCGUGUAAACGGAGAGGUAUCUCUGGGCCCACUCGGUAGGACAUCAUCAUAAUGUGCACAAUGUGACCAAGGAGUUGAUCAUGGGAUGAUGUGUUAUGGAACAAGUAAAGAGACUUGCCGGUAACGAGAUUGAACAAGGUAUCGGAUACCGACGAUCGAAUCUCGGGCAAGUACAAUACCGCUGGACAAAGGGAAUUGUAUACGGGAUUGAUUGAAUCCUCGACAUCGUGGUUCAUCCGAUGAGAUCAUCGUGGAACAUGUGGGAGCCAACAUGGGUAUCCAGAUCCCGCUGUUGGUUAUUGGCCAGAGAGUUGUCUCGGUCAUGUAUGCAUGGUUCCCGAACCCGUAGGGUCUACACACUUAAGGUUCGGUGACGCUAGAGUUGUUAUGGGAAAUAGUAUGUGGUUACAGAAGGUUGUUCGGAGUCCCAGAUGAGAUCCCGGACAUGACGAGGAGCUCCGGAAUGGUCCGGAGGUGAAGAUCGGUAUAUUGGACGAAGGGUAUUGGAGUCCGGAAUUGUUCCGGGGGUACCAGGUGAUGACCAGCGUGUCCGAAAGGAAUUUCAGAGGCCCCGACAAGCGUUGGGGGGCCUUAUGGGCCAAGGGGAGAGGGCACAUUAGCCCAGUAAGGGGUUGAGCGCCCCUCCCACCACAUCUCACGUAACCAGGAGAGGUGGGGGCGCCACCCCUAGGGCAGCCGCCCCUCCCGGCUUGGGGGGCAAGUUUCCUAGGGGGUGGGGGCGCCCAAACCCAUCUAGGGUUUCCCCUGUGGCCGCCGCCCCUUGUGACGCCCGGGUAAUUAAGCUACAGUAAUCCCCACUAAUGAUGCCACGUCACCUUUGUCACUGUAGUUAAUCUCGGGUUAGUUCAAAAACCGGUUCGAAUUUCAAAUACAAAAUCGAGCAAACAAUAAAAGUUUUCAAAUAUUAAAAUUUAAAUGUUCGGAGUGAACCAAAUAAUACAUAGGUAAUUAUGGAGGUGGAACCACAUUUUUAUAAAAUGUUUAAAUGCUCAAGGGAAAAUAAAACAGUAGCAAAAGAAAUUAAUUAAAUGCCUUUUGUGUUUUGUAAAAUAUUAAACUAUAUUAUUUAGGGAUGAAGCAUUUUGUGGUUGUGGCUUAAUUUGUAAGAACAAUUUAGGUGCCACUUUGGUAUUUACUAAAACAAAAAAAAAAAUAAACUGGAACUAAAAUAAAACAGAAAAGGUAAAGUAAAUAAAAAGUAAAAAUAAAACAAAAGAGAGUGGGGGAGGAAACCCCACUGGCCCAACUGGGCCAGCCCCUCCCCACCUGGCCCCCCUCACACCUGGCCCAGCCCCCUCCCCUGGCCCGGCCCAGCCGGCAGGCCACUUAUCCACCUCUUCCCCCGGUCGGGAACCCUAGCCGCAACCACUCCUCCCCCGAUCCCCUUUCUCCCUCCCGCGCCGAUCCGNNNNNNNNNNNNNNNNNNNNNNNNNNNNNNNNNNNNNNNNNNNNNNNNNNNNNNNNNNNNNNNNNNNNNNNNNNNNNNNNNNNNNNNNNNNNNNNNNNNNNNNNNNNNNNNNNNNNNNNNNNNNNNNNNNNNNNNNNNNNNNNNNNNNNNNNNNNNNNNNNNNNNNNNNNNNNNNNNNNNNNNNNNNNNNNNNNNNNNNNNNNNNNNNNNNNNNNNNNNNNNNNNNNNNNNNNNNNNNNNNNNNNNNNNNNNNNNNNNNNNNNNNNNNNNNNNNNNNNNNNNNNNNNNNNNNNNNNNNNNNNNNNNNNNNNNNNNNNNNNNNNNNNNNNNNNNNNNNNNNNNNNNNNNNNNNNNNNNNNNNNNNNNNNNNNNNNNNNNNNNNNNNNNNNNNNNNNNNNNNNNNNNNNNNNNNNNNNNNNNNNNNNNNNNNNNNNNNNNNNNNNNNNNNNNNNNNNNNNNNNNNNNNNNNNNNNNNNNNNNNNNNNNNNNNNNNNNNNNNNNNNNNNNNNNNNNNNNNNNNNNNNNNNNNNNNNNNNNNNNNNNNNNNNNNNNNNNNNNNNNNNNNNNNNNNNNNNNNNNNNNNNNNNNNNNNNNNNNNNNNNNNNNNNNNNNNNNNNNNNNNNNNNNNNNNNNNNNNNNNNNNNNNNNNNNNNNNNNNNNNNNNNNNNNNNNNNNNNNNNNNNNNNNNNNNNNNNNNNNNNNNNNNNNNNNNNNNNNNNNNNNNNNNNNNNNNNNNNNNNNNNNNNNNNNNNNNNNNNNNNNNNNNNNNNNNNNNNNNNNNNNNNNNNNNNNNNNNNNNNNNNNNNNNNNNNNNNNNNNNNNNNNNNNNNNNNNNNNNNNNNNNNNNNNNNNNNNNUCCUCGUCGGGCCCCCCCCUCCGCCACGCCGACGCGGGAUCGGGCGGGCGCCCACGCCCGCGUCCCCCUGGGUUGCGCCCGAACGGGCCACCCCGCACGCCCGCACGCCCGUUUGGCCCCCUGGGGCCUAUGACAUUGGGGCCCCACCCCCCACAGAACUUUUAAAUAAAAAGAAAAGGAAAAUGAGAUUUAUAUAAAUAAAAAAAAUGAAUAAAAACUAAUUAAUUAAUUAAUCAAUCAAUUAAUUAAGUAAAUAAUUAAUCUAAUUAAUCCUGGUUAAUUAACCUAAUUAACUACUGUUAAUAAAACUUAAUUAGGUUAAUUAGUUAACAGUGUAUGACGAACGGGACCCACCUGUCAGGGUUGACUCAGUCAACCCCUGUUGACUGCUGACGUCAGCAUGACAUCAUGCUGACGUCAUAAAUACAUUUUUUCGAAUUAAUUAAAUAAAUAAUUAAAUUCCAAAAUUGUUAAAAUCUUUUAAAAAUCAUAUCUUUUAAUCCGUAACUCGGAUUAAAAUAUUUUCAACAUGAAAGUUGCUCAGAACGACGAGACGAAUCCGGAUACGCAACCUGUUCGUCCGCCACACACCCCUAACCUAUCGAACUCGCAACUUUCCCCCUCCGGCUCCUCUGCCCGAAAACACGAAACACCGGGAAUACUUUCCCGGAUGUUUCCCCCCCUUCACCGGUAUCACCUACUACCGCGUUAGGGCACACCGAACACCGCGUAUUGCCUUGUUAUAUUUUGUGAUGCUUUGUUUGCUCUGUAUUCAUUAAUUCUUCCCCCUUUUCUCUCCGGUAGACUACGAGACCGACGCUGCUGCUGACCAGUUCGACUACGGAGUUGACGACCCCUCUCUCUUGCCAGAGCAACCAGGCAAGCCCCCCCUGAUCACCAGAUAUCGCCUAUUCUACUCUAUACUGCUUGCAUUAGAGUAGUGUAGCAUGUUACUGCUUUCGUUAAUCCUAUUCUGAUGCAUAGCCUGACAUUGUCGCUACAUCUGUUGAUACCUUACCUGCAAUCCUAUAUGCUUAGUAUAGGAUGCUAGUUUAUCAUCAUUGGCCCUACAUUCUUGUCAGUCUGCCUUGCUAUACUAUCGGGCCGUGAUCACUUGGGAGGUGAUCACGGGUAUAUACUAUACAUACAUACAUACUAUACAGAUGGUGACUAAAGUCGGGUCAGCUCAUUGAGUACCCGCAAGUGAUUCUGACGAGGGGGCUGAAAGGACAGGUGGCUCCAUCCCGGUAGAGGUGGGCCUGGGUUCCCGACGGCCCUCGACUGUUACUUUGUGGCGGAGCGACAGGGCAGGUUGAGACCACCUAGGAGACAGGUGGGCCUGGCCCUGUUCGGCGUUUGCGGACACUUAACACGCUUAACGAGAUCUUGGUAUUUGAUCUGAGUUGGCUACGAGCCUAUACGCACUAACCAUCUACGUGGGAGUAGUUAUGGGUAUCCCGACGUCGUGGUAUCAGCCGAAGCACUUCAGACGUCAGCGACGGAGCGGCGCGCGCCGAAUUGGACUGGAACACCACUAGGCUAGGUCUGCUUUCGGCCGCCCUCGCAACGUGCAGGUGUGCUAUGGGCGAUGGGCCCAGACCCCUGUGCGCUUAGGUUUAGACCGGCGUGCUGGCCUCUCUGUUGUGCCUAGGUGGGGCUGCGACGUGUUGAUCUUCCGCGGCCGGGCAUGACCCAGGAAAGUGUGUCCGGCCAAAUGGGAUCAAGCGUGUUGGGUAAGUUGGUGCACCCCUGCAGGGAAGUUAAUCUAUUCGAAUAGCCGUGAUCUUCGGUAACAGGACGACUUGGAGUUGUACCUUGACCUUAUGACAACUAGAACCGGAUACUUAAUAAAACACACCCUUCCAAGUGCCAGAUACAACCGGUGGUCGCUCUACCUCAGGGAUAUGAGGAGGGGAUCGCCGGGUAGGAUUAUGCUAUGAGAUGCUACUUGAAGAUGCUACUUGGAGGACUUCAAUCUACUCUCUUCUACAUGCUGCAAGACGGAGGCUGCCAGAAGCGUAGUCUUCGAUAGGACUAGCUAUCCCCCUCUUAUUCUGGCUUUCUGCAGUUCAGUCCACCGAUAUGGCCUCCUUACACAUAUACCCAUGCAUAUGUAGUUUAGUUCCUUGCUUGCGAGUACUUUGGAUGAGUACUCACGGUUGCUUUCUCCCCCCUUUUUUCCCCCUUUCCUUUCUUUCUGGUUGUCGCAACCAGAUGCUGGAGUCCAGGAGCCAGGAGCCAGCGUCGACGACGACUACUACAUUGGAGGUGCCUACUACUACGUGCAGGCUGACGAUGACGACCAGGAGUAGUUAGGAGGAUCCCAGGCAGGAGGCCUGCGCCUCUUUCGAUCUGUAUCCCAGUUUGUGCUAGCCAUCUUAUGGCAACUUGUUUAACUUAUGUCUGUACUCAGAUAUUGUUGCUUCCGCUGACUCGUCUAUGAUCGAGCACUUGUAUUCGAGCCCUCGAGGCCCCUGGCUUGUAUUAUGAUGCUUGUAUGACUUAUUUUAUUUGUAGAGUUGUGUUGUGAUAUCUUCCCGUGAGUCCCUGAUCUUGAUCGUACACGUUUGCGUGUAUGAUUAGUGUACGAUUGAAUCGGGGGCGUCACACCCCUCCCCUAGGGAACCCUAGGGUGCCUCCCCCUCCUCCCUUCCCCCUAUAUAUAGUGAGGGAGAGAGAGGGCAGCCGUACCUUUCCCCUGGUGCAGCCCUCUUCCUCCUCCAACACCUCAUCCUCCUCCGUAGUGCUUGGCGAAGUCCUGUCGGAGAACCACGAGCUCCAUCAUCACCACACCGUCGUGCUGUCGGAGUUUUCCCUCAACUUCUCCUCUCACCUUGCUGGAUCAAGAAGGAGGAGACGUCUCCCAACCGUACGUGUGUUGAACGCGGAGGUGCCAUCCGUUCGGCGCUAGGAUCAUCGGUGAUUUGGAUCACGACGAGUACGACUCCAUCAACCCCGUUCACUUGAACGCUUCCGCUUAGCGAUCUACAAGGGUAUGUAGAUCUCCUUCCCCUCGCUGCUAGAUUACUCCAUAGAUUGAUCUUGGUGAUGCAUAGAAAAUUUUGAAUUUCUGCUACGUUCCCCAACAGUGGCAUCAUGAGCUAGGUCUAUGCGUAGUUUCUAUGCAUGAGUAGAACACAAAGCAAUUGUGGGCGUCGAUAUUGUCAAUUUACUUGCCUUUACUAGUCUUAUCUGUUGGGGAACGUAGUAAUUUCAAAAAAAAAAUCCUACGCACACGCAAGAUCAUGGUGAUGCAUAGCAACGAGAGGGGAGAGUGUGAUCUACGUACCCUUGUAGAUCGACAACGGUAGCGUUUGGUUGAUGUAGUCGUACGUCUCCACGGCCCGACAGAUCAAGCACCGAAACUACGGCACCUCCGAGUUCUAGCACACGUUCAACUCGAUGACGAUCCCCGGACUCCAAUCCAGCAAAGUGUCGGGGAAGAGUUCCGUCAGCACGACGGCGUGGUGACGAUCUUGAUGUACUACCGUCACAGGGCUUCGCCUAAGCACUGCUACAAUAUUAUUGAGGACUAUUGUGGAAGGGGGCACCGCACACGGCUAAGAAUAUGAUCACGUGGAUCAACUUGUGUCUCUAGGGGUGCCCCUGCCUCCAUAUAUAAAGGUUCAAGAGGGGGAGGCCAGCCGGCCAUCAUAGGGCGCGCCAGGAGGAGUCCUACUCCCUUCGAGAGUAGGACUUCUCCCCCAAUCCUAGUUGGAAUAGGAUUCGCGAGGUGGGAACGGAGAGAGAGAAGGAGGGGGGCGCCGGCCCCCUCUCUCCUUGUCCUAUUCGGACUAGGGGGGAGGGGCGUGCGGCCCAGCCCUGGCCGCCUCUCCUCUUCUUCCACUAAGGCCCACUAAGGCCCAUGUACCUCCCGGGGGGUUCCGGUAACCUCCCAGUACUCCGGUAAAAUCCCGAUUUCACCCGGAACACUUCCGAUAUCCAAAUAUAGGCUUCCAAUAUCAAUCUUUAUGUCUCAACCAUUUCGAGACUCCUCGUCAUGUCCGUGAUCACAUCCGGGACUCCGAACAACCUUCGGUACAUCAAAACGUAUAAACUCAUAAUAUAACUGUCAUCGAAACCUUAAGCGUGCGGACCCUACGGGUUCGAGAACAAUGUAGACAUGACCGAGACACGUCUCCGGUCAAUAACCAAUAGCGGGACCUGGAUGCCCAUAUUGGUUCCUACAUAUUCUACGAAGAUCUUUUAUCAGUCAGACCGCAUAACAACAUACGUUGUUCCCUUUGUCAUCGGUAUGUUACUUGCCUGAGAUUCGAUCGUCGGUAUCCAAUACCUAGUUCAAUCUCGUUACUGGCAAGUCUCUUUACUCAUUCCGUAAUACAUCAUCCCCUAACUAACUCAUUAGUUGCAAUGCUUGCAAGGCUUAAGUGAUGUGCAUUACCGAGAGGGCCCAGAGAUACCUCUCCGACGAUCGGAGUGACAAAUCCUAAUCUUGAAAUACGUCAACCCAACAUGUACCUUUGGAGACACCUGUAGAGCACCUUUAUAAUCACCCAAUUACGUUGUGACGUUUGGUAGCACACAAAGUGUUCUUCCGGCACAUGGGAGUUACAUAAUCUCAUAGUCAUAGGAACAUGUAUAAGUCAUGAAGAAAGCAAUAGCAACAUACUAAACGAUCGGGUGCUAAGCUAAUGGAAUGGGUCAUGUCAAUCAGAUCAUUCAACUAAUGAUGUGAUCCCGUUAAUCAAAUGACAACUCCUUUGUCCAUGGUUAGGAAACAUAACCAUCUUUGAUUAACGAGCUAGUCAAGUAGAGGCAUACUAGUGACACUUUGUUUGUCUAUGUAUUCACACAUGUAUUAUGUUUCCGGUUAAUACAUUUCUAGCAUGAAUAAUAAACUUUUAUCAUGAUAUAAGGAAAUAAAUAAUAACUUUAUUAUUGCCUCUAGGGCAUAUUUCCUUCAUUAUCUUGAUUCGGCGGCAUCGUGGGAUGAAGCGGCCCGGACCGACCUUACACGUACGCUUACGUGAGACUGGUUCCACCGACUGACAUGCACUAGUUGCAUAAGGUGGCUAGCGGGUGUCUGUCUCUCCCACUUUAGUCGGAUCGGAUUCGAUGAAAAGGGUCCUUAUGAAGGGUAAAUAGAAAUUGGCAUAUCACAUUGUGGUUUUCGCGUAGGUAAGAAACGUUCUUGCUAGAAACCUAUAGCAGCCACGUAAAAACUUGCAACAACAAUUAGAGGACGUCUAACUUGUUUUUGCAGCAUAUGCCUUGUGAUGUGAUAUGGCCAAAAGGAUGUGAUGAAUGAUAUAUGUGAUGUAUGAGAUUGAUCAUGUUCUUGUAAUAGGAAUCACGACUUGCAUGUCGAUGAGUAUGACAACCGGCAGGAGCCAUAGGAGUUGUCUUAAUUUAUUUAUGACCUGCGUGUCAACAUAAACGUCAUGUAAUUACUUUACUUUAUUGCUAAAGCGUUAGCCAUAGUAGUAGAAGUAAUAGAUGACAAGACAACUUCAAGAAGACACGAUGAUGGAGAUCAUGAUGAUGGAGAUCAUGGUGUCAUGCCGGUGACAACGAUGAUCCUGGAGCCCCGAAGAUGGAGAUCAAAAGGAGCAAAAUGAUAUUGGCCAUAUCAUGUCACUAUUUGAUUGCAUGUGAUGUUUAUCAUGUUUUACAUCUUAUUUGCUUAGAAUGACGGUAGCUUAAAAAAGAUGAUCCCUCACUAAAAUUUCAAGAAAGUGUUCCCCCUAACUGUGCACCGUUGCGAAGGUUCGUCGUUUCAAAGCACCACGUGAUGAUCGGGUGUGAUAGAUUCUAACGUUCGAAUACAACGGGUGUUGACGAGCCUAGCAUGUACAGACAUGGCCUCGGGACACAUGCGAAACACUUAGGUUGAGUUGACGAGCCUAGCAUGUACAGACAUGGCCUUGGAACACGGAAGACCGAAAGGUCGAACAUGAGCCGUAUAGAAGAUACGAUCAACAUGAGAUGUUCACCGUUGAUGACUAGUCCGUCUCACGUGAUGAUCGAACACGGCCUAGUCGAUUCGGAUCAUUCUUCACUUAGAUGACUAGAGGGAUGUCUAUCUGAGUGGGAGUUCAUUAAAUUAAUUUGAUUAGAUGAACUCAAUUAUCAUGAACAUAGUCUAAAUUGUCUUCGCAAAUAUGUUGUAGAUAAAUAGCUCACGUUGUAGCUCCCUGUUUCAAUACGUUCCUAGAGAAAGAUUAAGUUGAAAGAUAUUGUAAGCAAUGAUGCGGACUAGGUCCGUAGUCCGAGGAGUGUCCUCACUGCUACACAGAAGGCUUACGUCUUUGAUGCACCGCUCGAUGUGCAAACCCCUACAACGUCGUCUGUGGAUGUUGUGAACACCUGACAGACACAUUUUGAUGACUACCUGAUAGUUUAGUGCACCAUACUUUACGGCUUAGAAUCGGGAUUCCAAUGACAUCUUGAACGCCAUAGAACAUAUGAGAUGUUCCAAGAGCUGAAAUUGGGAUUUCAGGCUCAUGCCCGUGUUGAGAGGUGUGAGACCUCUGACAAGUUCUUUUGCCAACAAGAUGGAGGAGAAUAGCUCAGCUAGUGAGCAUGUGCUCAGAAUGUCUGGGUGCUACAAUCACUUAAAUCAAGUGGGAGUUAAACUUCCAGAUAAGAUAGUGAUUGAUAGAGUUCUCUAGCCACUAUCACUAAGCUACUAGAUCUUCCUGAUGAACUAUGACAUGCAAGGGAUGGAAUUGAUCCCGGAGCUGUUCGCGGUGCUUAAGACCGCAAAAGGUAGAAAUCAAGAAGGAGCAUCAAGUGUUGAUGGUUUAACAAGACCACUGGUUUCAAGAGGGUCAAGGGCUAGAAUGGAAACUUCAUGGAUGGCAAACCAGUUGCCGCUCCAGUGAAGGAACCCAAGGUUGAACCCAAACUCGAGACUAAGUGCUUCUAUUGUAAGGGGAACGGGCACUGGUAGCGGAAUUACCCCAAAUGCAUGGUAGAUAAGAAGGCUGGAAACUUCAACAAAGUUUAUACGUGUUAUUAAUGUGUACCUCACUAGUACUCCUGGUAGCACCUGGGUAUUGGAUACUGGUUCAGUUGCUAUUACUGGUGACUUGAAGCAAAAGCUACGGACUAAAGGGACACUGGCUAAGGGCGAGGUGACGAUGUGUGUUGGAAGUGUUUCCAAAGUUGAUGAGAUCACCAUCGCACGCUCCAUCUGCCUUCGGGAUUAGUAUUGAACCUAGAUAAAUGUUAUCAGGUGUCUACGUUGAGCAUGAAUAUGAUUAGAUCAUGUUCAUUGCAAUACGGUCAUUCAUUUAAGUUAGAGAAUAAUGGUUAUUCUGUUUACAUGAAUGAUACCUUUCAUGGUCAUGCACCCUAUGUGAAUGGUUCAUUGAAUCUCGGUCGUGGUAAUACACAUGUUCACGCCAAAAGAUGUAGAGUUAAUAAUGAUAGUACCACUUUCUCGUGGCACUGCCGCUUAGGUCAUAUUGGCAUAAGAUGCAUGAAGAAACUCCAUGUCGAUGGAUGUUUGGAGUCACUUGAUUUUGAAUCGCUUGACACAUGCGAGCCAUGCCUCAUGGGCAGGAUGACUAAGACCCCGCUUUCAGGUACAAUGAAACGGGCAAGUGACUUGUUGGAAAUCAUACAUGCUGAUGUGUGUGAUCCAAUGAGAAUUGAAGCACGCGGUGGAUAUCGCUAUUUUCUCGUCUUCACUGACAAUUUGAGUAGAUAUAGGUAUAUUUACUUAAUGAAGCACAAGUCUGAAACGUUUGAAAAGUUCAAGCGAUUUCAGAGUGAAGUUAAGAAUCAUCAUAACAAGAAGAUCAAAUCCCUACAAUCUGAUCAAUGAGAAUAUCUGAGUUAUGAGUUUGGCAAACACUUAAGACAUUGUGGAAUUGUUUCACAGUUGAAGCCACCUGGAACACCACUGGGUUAUGGUGUGUCCGGAUGUCGUAAUCGAACCUUAUGAGAUAUGGUGCGAUCUAUGAUGUCUCUUAUCAAUCUACCGUUUUCAUUUUGAGGUUAUGCGUUAGAGACAGCUACAUUCACUUUAUAUAGGACACCAUCUAAGUCCGUUGAGACGGCGUCGUAUGAACAUUGGUUUGGCAAGAAACCAAAGUUGUCGUUUCUUAAUGUUUGGGGCUGCGAUGCUUAAGGCUUCAGCCGGAAAAGCUCGAACCCAAAGAGGACAAACACAUCUUCAUAGGAUACCCAAAGGUGACAGUAGGGUAUGUCGGCAUUCUGGGAACGGGGGUCCCCAGACUUGCCUGCCUGCGGCCUGCGGCGUGGCUCAAAUGGGGGCCCAGCACGGCCCAUCUUCAUCAGCAUAAGACUCAAGACCCUCGCGAGGGGACAAGCCUCGCGAGGCGGACGACAUGGCGCAUCCUCAGGCGAAGCCUCAUCAGGCUGGCUCGCGAGGAGGCGGAGACAUCAAGGCAGGGUACCUCGCGAGGUGCCCAUGACGUAAGCCGUGACGAAUCAGGGCACCAUGCGGGUGCCAGCGCGCGCAGCGUCCUUCUUUCCUCUUUGGUGCAAAGGGGACAAGCGCAGCCGCGGAGUACCAAGGCAUCACGCAAAGGUUGCCACUUCGGUGCAACGAGACCAAGGCCAGGCGGACUACGAGACGGAGGUCACCAUGGAGCCCAGCGCGGCGUCAUCGCCAGAGCCUUUGGCAGGCGAAGACUGCUUUUGUCAGGAUAGAUGUACUAGAUGUCCCCCUUCAAAUUAGCCCACCAUUGUUGGAUCCCUUCCCGUUCAAUAUUUGGGGAGAGGACCAGGGCCUCUAUAUAUAGGACUAGCCACCCACAAGGCAAGGGGUUCGUUCGGUUCGGCUCUUGGUCAUCAACAAGAGUGAGUAAGAGAGAGAGAGAGAGAGAAGGGUGACUGAACCUCCAAGCAGUUCAUUGCCCCAACCAAGAACAGACCCUCGCGUGUCUGUUCUUCCUUGUAUUGAUCAUCCUCACCAGCCCCAAGAGGCAAUCCACCAACCACACACUGGAGUAGGGUAUUACACCACAUCGGUGGCCCGAACCAGUAUAAAUCUUGUGUCUCUUGUGCAUUUCUUUCAGUAGUUUAGAUCCUUGUGAGACGGAGAGGUUGAAGGUGUAAUCUCCGCGCGCACCCCAGUGUUCGAACCUUAAGGGUCUGCCGGAACCCGAAAUCCGACAUUUGGCGCGCCAGGUAGGGGUGCGCCGGAAUUUGUAUUCCACCACUCCGCUCUCCUCCGACCGUCGCAUCCAUGUCUGACGCUCGUCGGGCUCGCGCUGAGCGCCGGGCCGCCAUCGCUUCUCGCGUCGCCCAGACGGCCCCCGUCGGUGGGCGUCCUCAUCGUUCCCCGUCGCCAGCCGUCAACGCCGCCACCGGCCCAGCGGGGGGCGAGCAGCAGGCAUCGUCUCAGCACAUGUCCGUGCGGCAAGAUGGCCGCACCGCUUCCCCAUUGCUCGCACCAGCCGGCUCUUUGUCCCGCGCGCUCCGCACCUUUGGAGGCUCGAGCUGCGCUCAUUGCGGCAAACGAGCUCCUGCACUACCGCCCCGUCGAUGACGUCUACGAGGAGUGGCUCGACCGCAUCGCCGAGCUCGUCCAGCGCAGCAAGAACGGAGCUGCCAAGAAAUCCCUCGCCCGUAAGGGGCUGCCCGGGCGCUCCCUGCUCCAGCUCCGGCACACCAAGACCCCGCUCUGCUCCUAGCUGCAGCGCGUGGGGACCCUCAAGACCGAGCUCUUCACCAACCGAAGCCUUUCAUGGCCACUGCGGGCUGCCUCGCCUACACCACCGAGCUGCACAGCGUCGCAUGGCCCAGCAAGUUCAAGCCAGACCUACCUCCUCGCUACGAUGGCACAACUGACCCCACUGAGUUCCUCCAGCUCUAUGAGCUAGGCAUCAAGGCUGCCGGCGGAGACGAGAGGUCAUGGCGAACUGGUUCCCCUUGGCGCUGAAGGAAGGAGCACGCACCUAGCUCCUGAAUCUGGCUCCAGGAAUGAUCUCUUCCUGGGACCAGAUGCGCACCCGCUUCAUCGCCAACUUCCAAGGUACUCGCGACCGGCCACCGGCCGUGAGCGACAUGCGCCGCAUCAAGCAGCAACCCGGAGAGACCCUGCAAAAGUACAUCCAGCGCUUCAAUAGCGCGCGCCUCAAGAUCCCCAGGGUGUCCGAGGAGGCCAUCAUCUCGGCCUUCUCUGAUGGCGUGCGCGACGUCAAGAUGAAGGAGGAGCUGGCGAUGCAUGAAGACCUCUGCACCUCCCUCGAGCUAUUCAACUUGGCGAACAGGUGCGCCAGGGCUGAGGAGGGAUGCCUCUCCCUCCUCGAGCUGCCUGCUGCAUACCCAGAAGAGAAGAAGCCCAAGGCCAAGGACGUGAAGCGCAAGGGGGCUGCCGUGCUCGCAGCCGAACCAGACACCAAGCGCGGCAAGGAUCUGCCCGACUCUUCCAGAGGCAGCCGGUACUGCGUGUACCACGACCUCCACACCCACAACACCAACGAAUGUCAAGAGCUCUGCGCCGUGCGAGAAGGAAGGAUUGGCUGUCGCCCUGACCGUGCUGACCAGGGCUACGGCCGAGGAGGAGGAAGAAACCCAGGGCGCUGGGAAGAUCGCGGCCCACGCCAGGGGUGGCGCGACCAACCUCGUGAGGACUGCUGGCGAGACCUGCCUCGCGAGGGAGACUGGAGGGAUCAGCCUCGUGAGGAUCGCCCUCAUGGCAACGCAGGCCUACCUCCUCUGCCGCCUCCACCAAGAAGGAACGAAGACCGCCAUCAGGACGAGGGGGCUGGGGGCUUCCAGGAGCCGCGCGCAAUCGCCUGCAUCCUGGGCGGAGCUCAAGCCCCAGCCUCCCAACGUAUCUUCAAGUAGUUCGCCCGCGAGGUGAAUGCAGUACUCCCCAAGCUCGAAGCAACGCGCCCCCUCAGGUGGUCGGCGUGCGCCAUCACGUUCAGCUCAGCAGAUCAGCUCAAGUGCUCGGCCACAGCCGGAGUCCUCCCGAUGCUUUGCUCCCCAGUCAUCAGCAACGUGCUGGUCACCAAGACCGGGCAGGGCUCAACGUCCUAUCCGUGGAAACCUUCAACAACCUCCAAGUGCCCUACGACCAGCUUCAGCCAACCAAGCCUUUCUCCGGAAUCACCGACGGCUCCACAGUCCCGAUCGGGCAGGUCCGCCUCCCUGUCACCUUUGGGGCUCGCAUCAACUACCGCACCGAGCUCAUCGGCUUCGACGUCAUCGACAUCCGCCUGCCGUACAACGCCAUCCUCGGGUACCCAGCGUUGGCCAAGUUCAUGGCCGUGACUCACCACGGCUACAACGUCCUCAAGAUCCCAGGAAGUGGCGGCGUCAUCACGGUACCCUGUGAAGAGAGAGAUGCAGUGUGUUCCUUGGAGCGAGCCUUUCAGGCCGCGUCACUUGAAGACCCAGAUCGCGGAAGCAGGAGGCUUCCUGAGACCGCCUCCAAGAAGAAGAAGAUGUCGCCAGGCUCAGCCCCUCCGGAGGCAGGCCCCUCAGGGCCCGUGUCUGCCCGGGAGGACCCUCCUUCCAUCGCAUAGGAAAGCGUGCCCGGUGCCCUCCUCAGGCAGGGCUCGGGGGCUCUCACCUGGAGGGCCACCGACCUAGCCAGGGUCACGAGGGAGGCGCUUGGGCACCACGUGGAGGCGUGCUUCGAAGCACGUUUCCCUCGAGGAGGAGCCAGGCAAGGAAGGCCAGACUAGCAAGAGUUCGUCAACGAGGCCAUUCAAGAGCUACAGGAGUCAAGGAUCAUGAGAGGUUGCCGUCGUCCACCAGCUGUGGCCCCACAUCCAGGCGAGGAUGGUGGGCUGCGCGUCUGCGUCGACAUACCAGGGCUUAAUCAGUUCGCCACGACGGAGCGCCUCUGGCCCUCAUGAGUGGGGCAUUGCGGAGAUCCACCCCACAGCCGUGUUCGCAUGCCUUACGGCCUGCCGAGCGUGGCUGCGGCGUGCCAGCGCCUCAUGAGGGGCAUCGUGGAGGCUCAGGAGGACAGGCGUUCCGCAGCACUGGCGGAGAUGAGGACAGCUCGCGAGGGGUCACCAGUGCCUCCGGAGCCUCCCGAGGCCCCGGGGCCUGGGGGCUCGUGAGGAUCAGCUUCUGCAGCCCACCGAGUCUACUGCACCGACGCCACUUCACCAACGACAUUCCCAGGUGACAUCUUCCAAGUUCCAUUCCUAGCUGGGGGCGCCCUCCCAGGGUUGCAUCACUCCUAGGCCGCAUGGGUCCGUCCCUGCGGCGUGUAUCUGCUUUUACCUUUCGGUCGUUGGUCUGCUUUGUUGGGGGCGCCCCUCGGGCUGCAUCAUCCCCAAGCCGCUGGGGCUAGGCCCAGCGGUGUGUAUCUCCAUCGCGCUUAUUUCCAACCUUGCAUUGCCUAUCACACUUGAUUGCUUGAUGCCCGUUCGCGGCAACCCUUAUUCUCCAUGUCGACUACUUACACGUUAAAGGGGGGGUUCCUGAGCAUCGCGACUCAGGGCUCUUAGUGGCUCUCCAGCCCUCACCCUCUGGCCUUGUCCACGGCAUCACGACCUGGCAUACCAGUGACGGCUGAGACAAGCUCGAGGGCCGGGACCCGAGGACGUAGAGUACCGGCAUCUAACCAAAUUUUGCAGGGACACAUUUCAAGAUACGGCCCAGUGCCGGGCGCAACCUGCCUAGAGGUAGGGCCUCGUGAGUCCCGCGCUGGCUCACGGGUGCCCAGAUACACCUCACCUACUCCAACCAGCAAGCUCUUGAGUGACUAACGAUCGACUAAUGGCCGUCAUGGCAACACCAUCUUCUUUCUGUGAUGACCCUGCAGGAUCCUUGGAGGGAACGACGCUAGCCAAGGCCCUCACGAGGUUCCCUUCGCCCUCGCCCGCGCGAACCGCUUGCACGUUAAAGGGGGGGCACCUGAGCAUCGUGACUCAGGGCUCUUACUGGCUCUCCAGCCCUCACCCUCUGGCCUUGUCCACGGCAUCGCGACCUGGCAUACCAGCGACAACUGAGACAAGCUCGAGGGCCGGGACCCGAGGACGUAGAGCAGAAGGGGAGCAGAGGCGAGGAAGAAGGGGCUCGCGAGGACCUUGCCGAGCAAUCCCGCUCCUGCCUACGCGCGGACCUGAUGGCGCAUCAGGAACGAUCCCUGGCUCUCAAGAUAAGUCACCCCCCCAAAACACUGGCUACCGUGGCACUACCCCCGCACUUAAAGCAACUCCGUACUAGCGACGUUGCUUCCCUUUCUCACUAAGCGACGGCUGCUUGGGCGCCAAAGGGGACCUCCUGAGCAUCGCGACUCAGGGGCUCUUACCGGACCCCGGGUCGCUCACCUCCUGGCCUUGACCACGGCAUCGCGACCUGGCAUACCAGCGACGGCUGACGCCGCCUUGGGACUGGGUCCUGUUGAUGCAGAGCACCAAGCCCUCGCGAGGUUCGAAAGGGAGGACCGGACUACGACAGAAUCAGCAACACGCACAGAUCCAUGUCAAAAGGUCAUAUAUAUUAACAAAGGGACUACAAACACCUUACAAGCCCCCGCGGGGCGCGUUUUCGGUUCCUCGCAGGGAACGAAUCAAAAGGGACGCUAACUACACGAGCUACAGCAAGAGACGCCAUCAUCAACAGUGGGCCGCCAGGCACCGGCGCCAACUCCAUCCAGAUCAGGGUCGGCGGCGGCCUGAUGAGUCCGCCCUGCUCCGGGAGCAACGCCGACUCGGGGGCUCGUAGUUGUCGUCGCUCAUCUCCUGAGUCGCGAAGCCUUCGCUGGAGUCGCUGGACCCUCCGGCGCCUCCACCGUGGGGGCGAUCAACGGGCCUAGCCCUCACCGGGGCAAGGUCCUGGCCACCUCUCCCGCGGCAGCACUCCAGCCGGCGCCCGUGCGCGUCGAAGGCCUUGAAGAACAUCACCGCCGCGCCGUCGUACUCCAGGUGGAUCGCAAAGACGCCCCUAUCCCUGCAGACCCGGGCGAUCUCCCUCCAGCUGCGGGACAUGAAGACCUCGCCCGGGGCUGCGACCACGACCUCUGCCUCGGUCGCGAGGGCGCUACAGUCGGCGUGCUGCAGCCAGCACUCCAGGGGCCCUCCUGGAGGAAUGAUGGAGGCGAAGAAGGGAGGCAGGAGAAUCCAGGACUGAAGAGGAAUGGCGACGCGGAGCACGCCCUCCUGGGAGGAGCCCUCGGUGUGGACUCCGGGAGGAACCACCCACGUCUUCGUGACCCGACGACGCCGACGACGGCGUUGGCCGCGGGGAUCAGCAUCAACACCUCCGGGGCCCUCGACGUGGGCAUACAAGGGGAGCGGGAACCCCGGCGGAACUCGCUCACCCCAGGGCGUCGCCGUCGCCUGACGAUCCUCCUCGUCCCGGCUGCAAAGGGCGAGUCGCUUCUUCGGCGGGAGAGGGUCUGGCCCCUCUCGAGGAGCCUUUCCCUUCUCCGCUGCAGAGAACCGACGAAUUGGAGCCAUCACACCAAGACGGAGCAAGAGCAGAGGCGAAGGAGACAGCAAGGAGAGAUGGACUGGAAGGGCACACGCGGAGCCGUACUUAUAGCCGGCGAAGGCCAACCGCCGGCCUCCACGAUCACAGGUAAUCAUAACACAUUCUGCAUGCAGGGACUUGUCCAACUCACGUGAUUACCAAGGCGUCAUGGGGAAGUGGAGAUGCCACGUCCAAUCAACCGCCACGCGGCGCCCAAGGCCGCAGGCUAUUAGGGCCCGCGGCGCUUCGCCCUUGCCCUUUCGCCUCUCGGCACGACCAAGUUCAUGCGCGCCUUGGGCCUGGGGGCUACUAUCGACGUUCUGGGAACGGGGGUCCCCAGACUUGCCUGCCUGCGGCCUGCGGCGUGGCUCAAAUGGGGGCCCAGCGCGGCCCAUCUUCAUCAGCACAAGACUCAAGACCCUCGCGAGGGGCCAAGCCUCGCGAGGCGGACGACAUGGUGCAUCCUCAGGCGAAGCCUCAUCAGGCUGGCUCGCGAGGAGGCGGAGACAUCAAGGCAGGGUACCUCGCGAGGUGCCCAUGACGUAAGCCGUGACGAAUCAGGGCACCAGGCUGGUGCCAGCGCGCGCAGCGUCCUUCUUUCCUCUUUGGUGCAAAGGGGACAAGCGCAGCCGCGGAGUACCGAGGCAUCAGGCAAAGGUUGCCACUUCGGUGCAAUGAGACCAAGGCCAGGCGGACUACGAGACGGAGGUCACCUUGGAGCCCAGCGCGGCGUCAUCGCCAGAGCCUUUGGCAGGCGAAGACUGCUUUUGUCAGGAUAGAUGUACUAGAUGUCCCCCUUCAAAUUAGCUCGCCAUUGUUGGAUCCCUUCCCGCUCAAUAUUUGGGGAGAGGAUCAGGGCCUCUAUAUAUAGGACUAGCCACCCACAAGGCAAGGGGUUCGUUCGGUUCGGCUCUUGGUCAUCAACAAGAGUGAGUAAGAGAGAGAGAGAAGGGUGACUGAACCUCCAAGCAGUUCAUUGCCCCAACCAAGAACAGACCCUCGCGCGUCUGUUCUUCCUUGUAUUGAUCAUCCUCACCAGCCCCAAGAGGCAAUCCACCAACCACACACUGGAGUAGGGUAUUACACCACAUCGGUGGCCCGAACCAGUAUAAAUCUUGUGUCUCUUGUGCAUUUCUUUCAGUAGUUUAGAUCCUUGUGAGACGGAGAGGUUGAAGGUGUAAUCUCCGCGUGCACCCCAGUGUUCGAACCUUAAGGGUCUGCCGGAACCCGAAAUCCGACAGGGUAUACCUUCUAUUUCAGAUCCGAGGGCAAAUUGUUUGUCGCUAAGAACGGGUCCUUUCUCGAGAAGGAGUUUCUCUCGAAAGAAUUGAGUGGGAGGAAGAUAGAACUUGAUGAGGUUGUCGAACCUUUACUUCAACCAGAGAGUGAUGCAACACAGAAAGAUGUUUUCUGUGGCGCCUACGUCUGUUGAAUAGGAAGUUAAUGAUAGUGAUCAUGAAGCUUCGGAUCAAGUUGCUACCGAACCUCGUAGGUCGACAAGGAUAUGUACUACUCCUAAGUGGUACGGUAAUCCUGUCUUAGAUAUCAUGUUGUUAGACAACAAUGAACCUACGAGCGAUGGAGAAGCGAUGGUGGGCCCGUAUUCCGACAAAUGGUUAGAAGCCAUGAAAUCCGAGAUAGGAUCCAUAUAUCAGAACAAAGUAUGGACUUUGGUGGACUUGCCCGAUGAUCGGCAAGCCAUUGAGAUAAAAUGGAUCUUUAAGAAGAAGACGGACGUGGGCGGUAAUGUUACCGUCUAUGAAGCUCGACUUGUGGGAAAGAGUCUUUUCACAAGUUCAAGGAGUUGACUAUGAUGAGAAUUUCUCACCCGUAGCGGUGCUUAAGUCCGUCAGAAUCAUGAUAGCAUUAGCUGUAAUUUUUGAUUAUGAAAUCUUACAGAUGGAUGUCAAAACAAGUUUUCUUACCAGUUUUCGUAAGAAAAGUUGUAUGUCAUACAAUAAAAGGUUUUGUCAAUCCUAAGGAUGCUAAAAGGUAUGCUGGCUCCAGCAAUCCUUCUAUGGACUAGAGCAAGCAUCUAGGAAUCGGAAUAUAUGUUUUGAUGGAGUGAUCAAAGCUUUUAGGUUUAUCCAAUGUUUGCUAGAAACUUGUAUUUACAAGAAAGUGAGUGGGAGCACUACAACAUUUCUGAUAAGUAUAUGUGGAUGACAUAUAGUUGAUCCAACAUAAUGUAGAAUUUCUGGAAAGCAUAAACGGUUGUUUGAAGAGUGUUUUUCAAAGGAAAGACCUGGAUAAAGCUGCUUACAUAUUGGGCAUCAAGAUCUAUAGAGAUAGAUCAAGACGCCUGAUGGUACUUUCAAAGAACGCACACCUUGACAUGUUUUUGAAGGAGUUCAAAAUAGAUCAGUCAAAGAAGGGGUUCUUACCUGAGUUGUAAGGUGUGAAGUUGAGUAAGACUCAAAGAUUGACCACGGCAGAAGAAAGAGGAAGGACGAAAGGUCGUCCCCUAUGCUCUUGUCAUAGGCUCUAUACGGUAUGCCAUGCUGAAGUACCGCACCUAUUGUGUGCCUUGCCACAUGUCUGGCAAGAGGGUACAAAGGUGAUCUAGGAGUGGAUCACCAGAUAGUAGUCAAAAUUAUCCUUAGAGGAAUAAGGAAAUGUUUCUCGGUUAUGGAGGUGAUAAAGAGUUCGACAUAAAGAGUUACGUUGAUGCAAGCUUAACACCUAUCCGGAUAGCUCUGAGUAGAGAUACCGGAUAUGUAUAAUGGAGCAAUAAUUUGGAAUAGCUCCAAGUGGAACGUGGUAGCAGCAUCUACGAUAUAAAGUUUUGCGAAUACAUAGGGAUCUGAAUAUGGCAAGACCCGUUGACUACAACCUCUCUCACAAGCAUAACAUGAUCAAACCCAGAACUCUUUGAGUGAUUAUCACAUAGUGAUGUGAACUAGAACAUUGAGUCUAGUAGACUCUUGGAUGUGGGUCACAUGGCGAUGUGACCUGUGAGUGUUAAUCACAUGGCGAUGUGAACUAGAUUAUUGACUCUAGUGCAAGUGGGAGACUGUUGGAAAUAUGCCCUAGAGGCAAUAAUAAAUUGGUUAUUAUUAUAUUUCAUUUUUCAUGAUAGUCGUUUAUUAUCCAUGCUAGAAUUGUAUUGAUAGGAAACUCGGAUACAUGUGUGGAUACAUAGACAACACCAUGUCCCUAGUAAGCCCCUAGUUGACUAGCUCGUUGAUCAAUAGAUGGUUACGGUUUCCUGACCAUGGACAUUGGAUGUCGUUGUUAACGGGAUCACAUCAUUAGGAGAAUGAUGUGAUGGACAAGACCCAAUCCUAAGCCUAGCACAAAGAUCGUAUAGUUGGUAUGCUAAAGCUUUUCUAAUGUCAAGUAUCAUUUCCUUAGACCAUGAGAUUGUGCAACUCCCGGAUACCGUAGGAGUGCUUUGGGUGUGCCAAACGUCACAACGUAAUUGGGUGGCUAUAAAGGUACACUACAGGUAUCUCCGAAAGUGUCUGUUGGGUUGGCACGGAUCGAGACUGGGAUUUGUCACUCCGUGUAAACGGAGAGGUAUCUCUGGGCCCACUCGGUAGGACAUCAUCAUAAUGUGCACAAUGUGAUCAAGGAGUUGAUCACGGGAUGAUGUGUUACAGAAUGAGUAAAGAGACUUGUCGGUAACGAGAUUGAACAAGGUAUCGUGAUACCGACGAUCGAAUCUCGGGCAAGUAUCGUACCGCUAGACAAAGGGAAUUGUAUACGGGAUUGACUGAAUCCUUGACAUCGUGGUUCAUCCGAUGAGAUCAUCGUGGAGCAUGUGGGAGCCAACAUGGGUAUCCAGAUCCCGCUGUUGGUUAUUGACCGGAGAGUUAUCUCGGCCAUGUCUGCAUGACUCCCGAGCCCGUAAGGUCUACACACUUAAGGUUCGAUGACGCUAGGGUUAUAGGGAAAGUAUGUACGCGGUUACCGAAUGUUGUUCAGAGUCCCGGAUGAGAUCCCGGACGUCACGAGGAGUUCCGAAAUGGUCUGGAGGUAAAGAUUGAUAUAUAGGAAGUAUGGUUUUGGCCACCGGAAGUGUUCCGGGCAUCACCAGUAGUGUACCGGGACCACCGGAGGGGUCCGGGGGUCCACCGGGAGGGGCCACGAGCCCCGGAGGCAUACCUGGGCCAAGUGUGAGAAGGGACCAGCCCCUAGGUGGGCUGGGGUGCCUCCCCACCAAGGCCCAUGCGCCUAAGGGGAAGAGGGGACAAACCCUAAGGGCAGAUGGGCCCUAAGGCCCAUGCCUGGUGCACCUCCCUCUUCUCCUCCCCUUGGCCGCCUCCCAGAUGGGAUCUGGGGGCUGCCGCCACCCCUAGGGAGGGAACCCUAGGUGGGGGCGCAGCCCCUCCCCUCCCCCUAUAUAUACUUGAGGUAUGGGGCUGCCCAACACAUGUGAUUUUGCACUCCCUGUUGGCGCAGCCCUACCUCUCUCCCUCCUCGUCUCUCGUAGUGCUUGGCGAAGCCCUGCUGGAGUCCCGCGCUCCUCCACCACCACCACGCUGUCGUGCUGCUGCUGGAUGGAGUCUUCCCCAACCUCUCCUUCUCCCCUUGCUGGAUCAAGGCGUAGGAGACAUCACCGGGCUGUACGUGUGUUGAACACGGAGGUGCCAUCCGUUCGGCACUAGGAUCAUCGGUGAUUUGGAUCACGACGAGUACGACUCCAUCAACCCCGUUCACUUGAACGCUUCCGCUUAGCGAUCUACAAGGGUAUGUAGAUGCACUCUCCUUCCCCUUGUUGCUAGAUUACUCCAUAGAUUGAUCUUGGUGAUGCGUAGAAAAUUUUGAAUUUCUGCUACGUUCCCCAACAACAACUACUUUGUGUCUACUCGUGCAUAGAAACUACGCAUAGACCUAGCUCAUGAUGCCACUAUUGGGGAACGUAGCAGAAAUUCAAAAUUUUCUACGCAUCACCAAGAUCAAUCUAUGGAGUAAUCUAGCAACGAUGGGAAGGAGAGUGCAUCUACAUACCCUUGUAGAUCGCUAAGCGGAAGCGUUCAAGUGAACCGGGUUGAUGGAGUCGUACUCGUCGUGAUCCAAAUCAUCGAUGAUCCUAGCGCCGAACGGACGGCACCUCCGCGUUCAACACACGUACGGAACGGAGACGUCUCCCACGCCUUGAUCCAGCAAGGAGGGGGGAGAGGUUGAGGAAGAGAGUCCAACAGCAGCACGACGGCGUGGUGGUGAUGGAGUGGCAGUUCUCCGGCAGGGCUUCGCCAAGCUCACGCAGAGGAGGAGAGGUAUUGGAGGGGAGGGGCUGCGCCAGGUUCAAGGGGUGGCCGCCCUCCCACCCCUCCACUAUUUAUAGGUCGGGAGAGAGGGGGCCGGCCCCCCUAGAUCCCAUCUAGGGUUGGGGGCGGCGGCCAAGGGGGGAGGAGUGCCUCCCAAGUCAAGUGGAGGCCCUCCCCCUUAGGGUUUCCCCUCUCCCAUGCGCAUGGGCCUUGGGGGGGCUGGUGUCCUUGUCCCAUUAAGGCUAGGGCGCCCCCCUAUAGCCCAUGCUGCUGUAUUGGACGUGGUGGAACAUUUUCCGGACCUCCGGACCCCUCCGGAAUCCUCUGGAACCUUCCGGAAGCUUCUGGGUACAAUACCAGAAAAAACCAAACUUUUCCCGGAACCCGAACAACAACUUUCCAUAUAUAAAUCUUUACCUCCGGACCAUUCUGGAACUCCUCGUGAGGUCCGGGAUCUCAUCCGGGACUCCGAACAACAUUCGAUAAUCACAUACAAGUCUUCCUAAUAACCCUAGCGUCAUCGAACCUUAAGUGUGUAGACCCUACGGGUUCGGGAACCAUGCAGACAUGACCGAGACAACUCUCCGGCCAAUAACCAACAACGGGAUCUGGAUACCCAUGUUGGCUCCCACAUGUUCCACGAUGAUCUCAUCGGAUGAACCACGAUGUCGAGGAUUCAAUCAAUCCCGUAUUCAAUUCCCUUUGUCCAGCGGUAUUGUACUUGCCCGAGAUUCGAUCGUCGGUAUCCGAUACCUUGUUCAAUCUCGUUACCGGCAAGUCUCUUUACUCGUUCCGUAACACAUCAUCCCGUGAUCAACUCCUUGGUCACAUUGUGCACAUUAUGAUGAUGUCCUACCGGGUGGGCUCAGAGAUACCUCUCCGUCACACGGAGUGACAAAUCCCAGUCUCGAUUCGUGCCAACCCAACAGACACUUUCGGAGAUACCCGCAAUGCACCUUUAUAGCCACCCAGUUACGUUGUGAUGUUUGGUACACCCAAAGCACUCCUACGGUAUCUGGAAGUUGCACAAUCUCAUGGUCUAAGGAAAUGAUACUUGACAUUAGAAAAGCUUUAGCAUAUGAACUACACGAUCUUUGUGCUAGGCUUAGGAUUGGGUCUUGUCCAUCACAUCAUUCUCCUAAUGAUAUGAUCCCGUUAUCAACGACAUCCAAUGUCCAUGGUCAGAAAACCGUAACCAUCUAUUGAUCAACGAGCUAGUCAACUAGAGGCUUACUAGGGACAUGGUGUUGUCUAUGUAUCCACACAUGUAUCUGAAUUUCCUAUCAAUACAAUUCUAGCAUGGAUAAUAAACGAUUAUCAUGAACAAGGAAAAAUACUAAUAACUAAUUUAUUAUUGCCUCUAGGGCAUAUUUCCAACACACACACACACACACACAUGAAUCCUCGCUUUUCUCACUCUGUCCCUUCGUCCUUGUUGUGUAUCCGCGUAGUCCGAGGUCCCCGUCCCCGAAAGAAACCUAGAAGAGAUCGAAACACAACUCUUUUCGCCGCCAGUGAAGCCUCGACGACUCAAGUCGCGACUCGCCUAAGACGAUGUAGAUCUUCAUGAAGACCCUGACAGGUAAAACCAUCAUGCUGGAGGUGGAGGGCAGCGACACCGUGGACAGUGUCAAGGGCAAGGUCUAGGAUAAGAAAGGGAUCCCGCCGGACCAGCAGCAGCUCAUAUCUUCGCCGAGAAGCAGCUGGAGGACGGUCGCUUGCUGGCAACUACAACGUGCACAAGGAGUCGACGCAUCCCCUGGUGCUCCGCCUCCGCAAUGGCACCACCAUCAAGGUCAAGACACCCACCGCCAAGGAGAUCGGGAUCAACAUCGAGCCCACGGACACGUCCGACAGGAUCAAGGAGCACGUCGAGGAGAAGGAGGGCAUCCCGCCCGUCCAGCAGAGGCUCAUCUUCGAUGGCAAGCAGAUGGCCGCCGACAAGACGGUGCAAAAGUACAAGGUCAAGGGCGGCUACGUGCUCCACCUCGUGCUCGCCCUCAGGGGCGGUGCCUGCUAGAAUUUGGGUCUUAUGGUCGCUCGCUUUUCCAUGAGGGUGUAGCUUUGGUUUUUUUUCUUGCGUAUGAUUUUGGUUGGAACUUUUUGAACAUUGUUUGAGUCUCUUUAAAGCCAUAAUGUUUGAGGCCAGGUUACAUGUACGUACAAUCACAACAGUUGUCUGCACAAUAAUCUUUUCCCAUCCGUUCAUAUAUUUUUACCACCAAUCCACUAAAUCAAAGAUAUGAAAAUUUGUUUUGAGGCAAACGUUGCCUCGCCGUUUGAAUAAAGAUACUUGCACUAACCAAUCAAAGAUAUGCAAUUUUUUACCGCUAUAAGGCACGGUGCUGACCGUCCGACUGGAUCGGACAGACGAGAACCACGCGGAAAUGUUGUCCAGAAUUCAGUCGUAGAAUGGACCAAUUUUGACCCGCAAAAAAAUAGAAUGGACCAAUUUCUCCUCCAGGCUAUGGCCUGGUUGACUCUAUAUCUAUGGUCGCACAAAAUGGUUUUUCUUUUGGAUGAAUUUAUUUGUUGGGCCAGUGAAGUUAAUAUAUAACACCAAUAGGUUUUGGGCCGAGUUAUGAAAAUGUUUUUCCAGUGUAUUUUCUGCUAUAUUAUGAAAAUAUAAAUUAUUUAUGCACUAUUCAAAUGAGAAAUAUGAGCCCAAAUUUAUUUGAAAGUUACUUUAAUGAUGAGAGAUUUUUAUAAUGUUUUUCCGUGGGUUAUAAUGGACCUAAUUAUGGUAUCAAUCAUUUUAUUUAUCUUUAGUGCUUUCUAAGUUGUUUCAGUUCCUUUUAUGUUUAUGCAUUGAAAAUAAAUCUAGUAUUAUGCUAAAAUCAUGUUUCAAUUUUUUGAAUACGGUUGAACCAAUUGGAAAUUGCAUUGAAAAUUCAUGUGGCAUUAAUGUUAAAUGUGAUUUCAUGGCAAUUUUUAAUGAUGAUCACCUUUUAGCAUCAUUUUAAUGUGAAAAUUCAUCUUGUAAAAUGAUAUAUUCACCAUUAUUACUCACUCACUAAAUUUUCCAAAAAAUAUUAUUUGAAAAAUUUAGUUUAGUGUGUUCUUUAUGUUGAUGUCAUCAUUAUCAACAAGCACAUGCCACCUAAGGAAAUGUUGAUUUUCGUGUGGUUUGGUUUUCCACACCCCACCAUGCGGCACAAUAUGUUUGGCCGGCAUGGCUAACGGGCAAAAUUAAUGUUUUCUGAUGGUGCAUUUUAUCUUAUUGAAUGCACUGUACAACUAGAAUGGCGUUGAUGAAAUUAUGGUUGAUUCUCUAAACUAGCUCGCUCCAGAAUAAGUAUAAUUGAGCAUGCUCAAAAUAAGUGCCUCAACUUUAUUAUAACUUUGUACUAACGUUAGUACAAAGUAUAGACACUUAUUUUAGGACGGAGGGAGUAUAAACUAGCUACAGUUGGUAAGUUCUUUGUCAAGUGAUUAGAGAUAAGGUUAUGAGGCGAAUAUUCUUUUCCCUGGUUAAAAUUUCAUCAAAAAGGGAGCUGACCUCGACACAAGAAGCCGGUCCAUAAAAGUUACGGUCUCGAAUGUAAGCAGUCCAAUACUGAACAAACACUUGUUUCAAAAAUGGCGCGACAAGUCGCGCAACCGCUUCUAGUAAGUACACUACCCUUCAACUAUCCAAAAUUUCAACCAGACUGUAGCCAAUCUGUUGAAAAUGGAACACAAAAUUUGACGACGAAAUCCACGUGACUUUUACAACCCCUGCGACCUUUCUGUGUUCCAUCCAAACACAAACAUGUGAGAGAAAAACAAGAAGCAAGCAAAAGAUGCUCCGCAAUUGCUUACCGAAAGUUGUUAUACAACUAUUGCAGCAGAUAAAAAAUCUCUUAAUUUUAUUAAACAAAGGUCAGCUGAUGUACAAAGCAUGCCAACAAUGUAAUCUGCAGAAACUAGUAUUCUUGUAGUGUUAUAUGGGAUCAAACCUGAAUUUUGUUCACAUGUUAUUCGGAAGAUUUACGACAUGUGCUAAACCAAAUAUACUCCGGGUGCGCAGCAAAAUGCAGCAAGUCGCCUGCAUUUUCAUUUUCUGAGUAAACAUGGGUGCAUUAGCAUCGCCAUAUUCAAAAUGAUAGGUGCUAAUGAAAAUGACUGAAACUUAUAGGUCGAGUGUCCGGGCACAUCAGCAUCACCAUGUUUAGAAUUCAACCUUUGUGAAAACACAAAUUCAUUUUCUACUGAUGGACUCAAACUUUCAGCAGAGUUUCAUCCAAGACACCACAUCUGUGCCAACACCAGAUGCUUCAUCUAAGACUAAGAGAAAUGCAGGUGGCAACGUUGAAGUAGUGUCCAUUGUCAAACACAUUACAGACUAAUGUCACUGCACCACUGAUCAAACAGUUUCGGAAUAUUAGAACCGUGAUGCCAACGCAAAUAGGUUUCUUAUUAUACUGUCUGGAGAACAAACCAAGUUUAGCUAGUAGAAACACAACAACUGCUUGGUUUUCUUGAACCCAUAUCUCAGUGGAAGGAACUGGGUUCUAAUGUGCCGCAGUCAUACCCAAAAUAUACAAUACUUGUGCCCUGUUUUAGGGCAACCCAAAACAAAAUUCAGCAACUUUUGGUUUUUGGGCAACUGUUUUGGCCGAAGAGGGACUUCAUCAAAUUCAUACUGACAUAGAUUUUGUUAGAUCUGGUAUAGGAGGCACUGCGGUGGCUGUAUGCAUGGACUCUUCUGGGAAUUACUUGCGAUCAUGUACGCUAGUAAUUCAUGGCAUGAGAGAAGUUUCAACUCUAGAGGUAUCGCUUGCAGGGAAGCUCUAUCUUUGGCGGAUGAUCUUCUACUUCACAAUUUUCUAGUGGCUACUGAUUCUAAGCAGGUGGCUAAUGAUAUCAACAUGGGCUGCACUGGUAUUCAUGGUCUGAUUGUAGCUGAGAUUAAGUUAAGGACAACCAAAUUUAAUUGUAGUUUUUGUUUCUGAGAGUCAGGCCUUGAAUAGAGAAGCCCAUUUACUAGCCAAGCUUUUUGAUUCUUUAGAUUGUGGUAGACAUGUCUGGUUGGGACAGCCUCAUGAUCACAUUUAUUUUCCCAGUUUUGUGAACCAUGAAUAACAAAGUUUGGUGGUUCUUAAAAAAUGAAGUUGCUGGAGCCGUUUUUUGCCCUCCAAGUAGUCAAAAAGCGACUGGGAUGCUCUGACUGAGCACAAACAACACUAUGUACAGAUACCAGAACCAGUGUACCCCAAAUGGCUAGGAUUGUCAGGUAAUAGUACUGAAACAUGUUAACCAGAAACAUGUAAAGAUACCCUAAACAGUUCAACAGUGUCCACGUACAACUCGCUCUAGACUGUUGACCGGGUCUUGGCCCAUUCCUCAGACACAACUUUUUGACAAACUUUAUUCAAGCCCUACAAUAAGCCUGGUACGCAGAGUCGACCAAGUCACCUUCACUGAGAUCAACCCAAAAUCAGUCUUUAUCUCUUGAGUAUCAAGUCCAUGCGUGUCUGCCUGGAAGGAACAACAUCGUUCCGCUGAACCAGAUGGCCCCGAGGCCGCCUUGAACUUCAAAACCAGAGUGGAACCAUCCACUACAGCAACCACAGACCUCUUUAAAUGACGUGACUCGCCAACUGUACCAUUGAAGAGCCGAAUUCCUUCGUUAUAACCACCGAUAAAACAGCGCAAGCGCAGAUGAAAACUGCUCUGCACUUCUGACACGGCAACUUCAAUAUUCGCCAUGACUGCGUCAUCAACACGUGCUAUGGUUAAGUCAACCGCACCACAGUCGCCUUGGAUGCGAUUUUUCAAUGCACGAUUCCAUGGGCCCACGUCGUCUAUGUCUGUUACACCAUCAAUCAGCUGGUAAUCAUCCCUUUCUUCCUCACCUACCUUGAUCCUCAUGUCAUAUUCCACUAGAAUACUGGAAAUCAAAUCUAUCCCUCGCUUAGGGCCAGCCAUGUCGAUGAGAGAACCCCACAAAUUUGUUACUGUUUAGUAGCUCUCCAUAUGGAAGUAAGAAACAACUAAAGCUUUAUACUACCUCUGUUUCUAAAUGUAAGACGUUUUGGCAAUUCAAAAAUUGAACUACCAAAACACAUCUUACAUUUAGGAACAGAGGGUGUACUUCUCUAAGCUGUUUUACUUGCAACAUUAAUUUUGUGAUACUUUACAAUUGCUGACCAACAUCUUUGCCACAUAUCAAACUGACUGGUUACAUAGUGUACACCAGUGUUUGGGAGGGGGGGAAAUUGGCCCUCGGUAUUUAUUUGACAUUGUUCAGAUCCCAAUUUUUACAUAAGCAUGUCGAAAUGAGAAGAGAAAACAAAAUGACUUAAUAGUGAUGCAAUGAUUCAUGCUGGUGUGUUAAGUAGCAACUAAGAGCCCGAACUAUUCUGUUUGAUUUUGUUUGGAAUACAUGAUAUACUCACUCAGUUCCAUAUUUUAUAAGUUUCUCAUAGUAAAUCACCUUUCCACAAUAUAAACUUGGUGUAAUGGUGGCCUAAACAAUCCAAACUACCAUUCUGCUAGGUCUGUACAGAUAAAUCACAAGACUUGAGAGUGCUUGCUGUUCCAUACAUACACUAGGUUUGGCCUUACAAUGUGAAAUGAAUAGAUUUGACAUAAGUCAGGUAUUUGACCCCNNNNNNNNNNUACUGUAUAAAUCAUUUCCUCAGAUGGUUUCGCCCACACUGCAACAUCCACCUAAUGUGAGAACUUCCCCAGUGGGUACUUAAAACCAUAUGGAAUGCUUCAAGGGGACAAAUACAUUGUUUUAUACUUGAGGGGGUUAUUAAGUAGACUUAUUGCUUGAAAUAAUCGCAGGUAAGUAUGGAUUCACACCUGCUUCACAAUGAUGGGAUCAUCCCUGCUUAUAUUGACAACAUAAUUACGCAAUGUAUCCAGAUAAUCCCGCACUGCUAUGUAUCCAUACAACUCUACUGGGCCAAGAUCCAGAGUAAGUUCAGCCAACUUUAAUGAGAAAAUUUGUAACACGCGAUUAGGUUGAUGCCGAAUGCAUUCUCCAUUGCGGAUGUCACAAUCUGUGGGAUCUGGUAGCCGAGCUUCAUAAAAAAAGUAAAGAAAUAAGUUAAAUUGUAAUGGAAAACAAUACAGGAAAAAAAUAGUCGUCAUACAAAAAGUAAGCGUGUCACUAGAGGAUUCCAUGGCCCUAUUGGAAGUUUCCUUUUCAUCCAAAUGAAAAUUAUCGAUGUUCUUUCUACUAUGAAUUUCACUCCAUCAAAGGUUUUUGUUUUAGGAAACCCAAAGAAAAGCAGGUAACAUUUCAUCAUGUCAGCAAGUAAAGGUCCAUUUCACCCUCCCAGAUUAUUUCAUAACCCCCUAAACUUAUUUAUUUGUUAUGUCUACCCGAAGAAUUACUAAAACAAGUCAAUUCAGCCCUUGAUGAAAAUAUUCUAUUGUUUCACUUUCUAGAAGUCUUAUUGUAAGUUAGUUUUUUUAUUUUGAUGGUAGAUAACAUCAGUCUGUAUAAUAAAAAAUCAUAAUUUUCGAUCCUGCAUACUUGGGAGCAACUAAACCUACUUCAAUGCUCAUGGUACAAAAAUAUGUGCUAAAAAUGCGGUUUAUGAACAUAUUUCUGUACGGUACAUGGUGACAACAAAAAGGAUAAAAACCAGUCAUGUGGCGAACCGGGGUGGGUUGGUGGAGGCCCAGGAUAACCAAACUAAGGUAAUGCAGGAAUCUGAAGAAUUUCCUCCCCUACUUUUGCAAAACCUAACAAAUGCAACUCCUGAAUGCCAAUGCAUCUACAUUUAACUUGUAAAAUUAAGGAAAGUAAAGAAAAAAAGCCAGAUGAUUUCAACAGAGAACACAUCAGUUGACACUAUAGCUUGAAAAAGGUGCUUGUAACAAAUUGAAAUAGGUAAAGAGAGAUUAUUUACUUACUCUCACUACAGUCAUCAACAUUAUACAUCCUUUUCCACGAAUGAGUGUUCCUGUAUAAAGAACCAUCACGGUGUGUGCUUUUUGGAAGAAAUCCCAGGUCAAGAAUAUCAUCUUCUUCGGCAUCGCUUGCUACCAAUGCGCUCCUUCUAUUGGUUGCACUCCUCCCGUUUUCAUCACAACCAGAGAUGUCCACAAUAUUCGAAGAUGCAUCAUGUUUGCCGGCUAUAGUAUUCAUAUCUUGCAAGGUUGUCCCACUAGUCAUGCUCCGAGAUCCAGGUGGAAAUCUAUCACCAAAGAGAAUAAAGAGCAAAUCUGAGCACCCGACAGAAAAUUCAAUUCUUUUUCGGUUCCCCUUUCAUUUUCGUCGGAUUAACUAUAAGACCCCACACCCCCUGCCUUAUUUACAAAAAUCAACACAUAAGGAUAAUUAAAAGGGAUUUUUCUCGAAUACGCUCGGAUAAUUAAAAGGGGUAAAAAACCACAGUUGGUCAGAAUCCAGAUCCAAAACUAUAAUAAUAAGAAACUAAAGGCGAAAAUUUUGGCAUCAGAUGAUGAGAGCAUACCGGGAAACACGACGGACAGGUAGAUCUGGAACCAUCAUGAGAGGGAAACUUCGCCGUGCAAGCGGUGGUGGCGACCAGUAAGGCGGGGCAGAGGCCAUGAAAGAGAGGAGAGGUCGCGAGGAAGAGGAGAGGCGGCGCAGUGGGUCAUGAGAGAUGGCGACGCCAGGUCGCCGGAGGAGACGAAAAAUCUGACGGAGGAUUGGCAUCUGAGCGCGCGGCGGCGGCAGAGGUGGGGUGUGCCGGUGUGGAGAAUGGGGAGAGGAAAGGGCUGAACGCACGGGGCCGGUCUUCUUUACUCUCUUAUAUCAGAAUAGCACACGUAUGCCCGUGCGUUUCAAGCAACAGGAGAGAUAUUUUAUUUACGACAAGCAAUAAAAAGAUAAUUAAUUGUGUUAAAAAAUAGUCUCCACAAUGGUAGGCGAGAGAGCAAGGAGUUGUGGCCUUCUCACUGGACAUGUUUGGCUCGUGAAAUCUUAAUAGUGGUGGAGUUGGUAGGCGUGGUGGCGAGCACCCAACUCGUCCCUUUUUCUUUUGCAUGCCUCCUCAUUUGGUGGAUGUGUGACGACCAUCGGAACACGGUUGCUUCGACCACUCUCCUACGACAGUGUAACCAGAUGGAUUACUAAUUGCAGCGCAUAAAUCCUCUUACACAAGCAUAAUCAAGCAUGAAUGUCCCUUUAUUACGAAGGUUUAUUCCCUUUGAUUAUUUUAGCACUUAUGUUAAAAAAUUGAAAGCCCGGACAGUUAAAAAAAUGUGAACAUUUAUUUUUAGAAAAUUCCAUAUAAUUAAGAAAACAAAAAAUUAGAAAGAGGAAUAGUUAUUUAAGUUCGAAAAAACAUGUUGAAACCAUGAACAUUUUAUAAAAACACAAAAUUAUUAAUUUUUUUAAAAGGGGGACAUUCAGAACAAAAUUAAAAAUGUUUUCUUAGACGCAAACAUUAUUUUGUUUUUGUGAACUUUUCAAUAAAAUAGGAAUAUUUUUUGGAAUAUGGAACAUUUUACAAAAUAUUAACUUUAUAAAAAAAUCUCUAAAAAUUCUAAAACAGAAUCUUUUUUAAAUGGCAACAUUUUUUAAAUGUUGAGAAAAUUCCGAAACCAGUUUUUUUUAAGUUUAUAAUAUUUUUCAAACAAUAAUAAAAUUUUAUAAUGCUGAUUUUUGAAUAUUUGAAUAAAGAAUUAAAUUGUGAAUAUAUUUUGUAUAUUUUUAUUUCACGGCAAAAUAAAAAAAAGUGAAAAGGAAAACGAAACAUUUAAAUGGCCCGGCCCAGUCUUGGGCGACCUGUGCGUUCCUUGAACUAUUUGUCGGUGUGUGCGACAAAUAAGGUCUUUUUAACGCCUGGGCAGGAUAAUUACUGGGUUGGCUUUGUUGGGCUGGAGUGCGCCCGGCCCAAUUGCGGAAUUCUGGAGAAACUUUUUGUCUUUUCUAGUAGAUGCACAAAAAUUUAGUACCACCUCAAAUAGAAAAAAUAUUUUCGACGAUGAACGGAUGAAAAUAUUGGAGAAACACACUUUGCUUUAUUAGUAGGUAUAGAUUUUCACUUUUGCAGAAAACCCCAAAUAAUUAUUGAUAAUCAACCCACAUGACAGUUUUAAGUUAGAUUUUUGUUUUGUUAGGAAACUAGCGGUGUGACCCGCGCAUUUGCGCGACUAGAUUAGUUACACAUUGUUAUGAUUAUUUCUUUAUUUGUAUUUUAUUUAUUUUUCUAAUUGAAAAAUGUUUAUUUUUAUUUAUUUAUAAUAGAAUAUCUAAAUGUUAUAAAAUUAUAUAGCCAUAUUACCACAUGAUUAUGAAUUAUUUGUCCCACAUAUAUUACCACAUGACUAUACAAUUUUUGUUUUAUAUGAUCUACUGUCUUAUCUUAUUCAGGUGCACAACUGAACAAUCUAUUAAGUCAUCAAUAGUGAUGUUUCUGUUUAUGAAUGGAAGUUAAAGAUCAAGUGGGUUGCCAUGCAAAAACAACACUUUCAUACUAAUAUGUAAGUUCCAGUUUACACUCUAGCGAUCCCGCAAAAAAAAAGUUUACACUCUAGCUCCCAUCGUUAGCUAGGAUUAAGUAGAGUUCUUUUCUUUAAUCUAUCUCAUCAUUAGACAUAAUUUNNNNNNNNNNNNNNNNNNNNNNNNNNNNNNNNNNNNNNNNNNNNNNNNNNNNNNNNNNNNNNNNNNNNNNNNNNNNNNNNNNNNNNNNNNNNNNNNNNNNNNNNNNNNNNNNNNNNNNNNNNNNNNAGGUGCACAACUGAACAAUCUAUUAAGUCAUCAAUAGUGAUGUUUCUGUUUAAGAAUGGAAGUUAAAGAUCCCGUGGGUUGCCAUGCAAAAACAACACUUUCAUACUAAUAUGUAAGUUCCAGUUUACACUCUAGCGAUCCCGCAAAAAAAAAGUUUACACUCUAGCUCCCAUCGUUAGCUAGGAUUAAGUAGAGUUCUUUUCUUUAAUCUAUCUCAUCAUUAGACAUAAUUUAUUUGUGUCAUCCUUCGAUAUGUUUUCUUCCACUUCUUUUUUUGGGGGGGUGGGAGGGGGGGGGCAUUAUUUAUUUUAAUUGUUUGUCACUUCUGCAUAUGAGGUAAUACCAUCCCUCCAUUGUACAUUUUUGCACAAAAGAUAUAUAAAAUGGCACAAUAUGUGUCUUCCCUACUAUUUUUGCUAUUAAAAACAUAUUGUCAUAUUUUCCUUUGUGCUCACUCUUAGAGUGCCUUGUUCUUUCUGGUCAUUUUCAUGUCUGUUUUAGGUCGAUUUAUGCCGUUAGAAUAUUAGCAUGAUUUCAAUUUGCGAGGACACUGUUUUUUGUGUCAUGCAAUUAAUACACUUAUUGGCCGCACACAUAGUAUAUUGUCAUUGUUUUUAAUCACCCAAUUUCAUCUAUCUCAUAUACUAAGUGAUUCUUGUCCAUUUAAGGGCAUCUCCAGCCGCGCCCCCAAGAAGGCCCCCUAGGCACCUUUUCAUCCGCCGGCGCCAAAAAAAUCGGCCCAGUCACGCCCCCAAGAGCCCAGUUUUCACCGGCUCGGGCCGAAAUUGGCGACGGCGGACUCAACCCGAACCCGGCGUGCUGGGGGUCGCUCGGGGGCGCCGGGCGAAUCGUUUUUGGCGCGAAGAGCUGCGGGUCCGCCGCGUCAGCGACUCUACCCCCUUCUCGCCCCUUCGUCGUCCUCAUCGCCUCGUUUCCCAUGACGAAUCAAUGCCAAAGCUGCCGCGCGUUGCCGCGCCGGUCAGCCUCCAUUGAUGCCUCACGGGCGGCGCGUCCCUCGGCCACCACGCAAUGACGCCACGCGUAACGCGUCGGCCAAGCCUACCACGCGGCGUCUCCGCCUAUAAAAGCCGUCUGCAAGCGCGCCGGAGAGACUCACCUCGAUCAUCCACCGACGACGCGCUCAUUUCUCCCCCUUUCCUCCUCUCGCCGCCAGUUGAAAAAGCAUGGCCGAGCGUUUCCCAGGCGACGGCGCGGCGGCGAACGGAUUCGGGCGCCGUCAUCUGCACGAGGGCGAGGCUCGCCUCCUUUUCGAGGCCGAGUACCCGGUCCCGCCGGACAUGCGGGUGCCCGGGGCUUGGAGGAUCAGCGCAGGCGGCGUGCCGGUGCCACCACCACCCACCGGGGCGACGCGGCGUGCGGAGAUCGCACGCAUCCGCGCGUCCCUGCCGCGGGCGGCGAGGGAGGGGCCACGGUACGUCCCCGACAGCCCGCUCUGGGAGCCCUACUUCCGCCGCCAUCACGCCGAGCAGCUCGAGGCCACCAACGGCGUCGUGCCCUCCGGCAGGCUCAACUCCGAUGGCCGGCGCCGGUGGUGGGGCGUGCUCGGCCGCACGGUGGAGGCCGUCCUCGAGUACAUCGAGGGCGGCAACACGCCGCGCCUCGAGUACCCCGCUCCCCCGUCCUCCUCACGCCACCGAGGAAGCUCCUGGACGUCGAGGUGCAUGGAGACCGGGGUGUCCUCCUCCUCGUCCGGCGGCUCUCCCUGCCUCCACCUCCGUCCCGUCAAGCCGGAGCCCCAGGACACGCCUGUCAGCGCGCGUACCCGCAGCUCCGGCGGCUCUACCUGCCUUCACCUCCGCCCCGUCAAGCUGGAGCCCCAGGACACGCCUGUCCGCGCGCGUACCCGCAGCUCCGGCGUCCUCGUCGAGCCCAAGGUGGAGUCCAGCCUCCUCCCGGAGUACGAGGAGAUAGCCCGGCGCGGCUUCUCCGACGAGGACGCCAUGCGGUGGUCGCGCGAGAACUACGUGUGUGAGGAGAUGGUCCGGUAGCGCCGGGCCCUGGAGGAGAUCGCCGCCCGCAAACGUGGGCGCGAGGGCGAGGACGGUGUCGUCGUCCUCGAUAGCUCCGACGACGACGCCCCCGGACCGUCCAACCCGCCGCGCCAACCGGGGGAGGGAUGUAGCAGGGACGGCGGAGGCGUAGGCGGGGGCGACGACGGCGACGACGAUGGCGGCGGCGGUGACUACACGCGGUUCUACAGCCUCCUCGGCAUGUAGAACCGCGUGGGGCGGGCGGCGAGGCGGGCGGCGAGGGAGACGACGGGGGUAACCCGCGGUAGUUUUUUUCUUUUUUUGUAAAAUAUGUUUAAAUUCGAACGAACUCGCCCGUGUUUGCGUUGUGUUUGCGCCGAAUUUGGAUAUUUUAAAAACCCCUGGGGGGCCGUGACUGGGGGGCAUCACGCCCCCAGUGCGCAGUUUAGCGCCGGUGCGCCCCCAGGGGGCGAUUUUUUGCCCCUCCUGGGGGGCCAACGGCUGGAGAUGCCCUAAUACUUGAGGUAUAAGGCCCUGUUUGGUUCCAAAUAAAUCACCAACUUAUAAGUCAAAAAGUACAAAAAGUGACUUAUUUUGCCAAACGAACCCAACUUAUAAGUCAUAAGUUGCUCCAAUCCAACUUAAAACUUAUAAGUCACUCCCUUUUGCGUGGGUCCCAUCACCUUUAUAUUAAAAAAACAAGGUGGGAAGAUGUGCUCAGAUGACUUAUAAAACAGGUGAUAAUCAAACAAACGUGACUUAUAAAUCACUGAUUUUAAGUCACCUGAUUUAUAAGUCAGGUGACUUAUUGAAACCAAACAGGGCCUAAGAUGUCGCCUCUCCACCACCUGAAUUGUGUGAAGCCUCGGAGUAACCAAUGGUUCACACAUGCAUAGUGUUGUCCAUACAAUGUGUACUCAACAACUAUUUUAACCUUACCUCUAUGCAUUUAUCCAUUUUUAAGAAACCCAUGCAUGUUGAUAGAUAUCACCCGAGAGAUGUUCCCCUAUUGUUGGUCCAAUAACUAUAUAUAUUGCAUGCUGCCAAAUCCAGAUUAGACUGUCAAAUUUAUUUCAGUUUCACCCAAGACACUAAAACUUGGGAUCGCUAUUUCUCUAACAAACCUGUACUGCUCCUUUAUUAACUGUUGUUCUGAUCCGACUCAAAUUUUCUAACUAACUUGCACUACUCUUUAUUUACUAUUGUUCAGAUCCGACUCAUAUUUUCUUUUCUUCGUGCUUUAACAGCCAUACAUAUUAUCUAAAGCGUUAAAAUUAUUAAAUCAACGAUAAAGUAAUGAUGCAAUCUAUUUGUUCGUUGUUUUAAUUACGAAAUAAAUUAGAUAUAUAUUCUGGGCUUUUUUAGCGGGAAUAUAUAUCAAAAGUUAGCUUCAUUUAUGUGGGUCGCAUGUAUAUUAAGUUGCUUUUUUCCUUAUCCCAAAUUUCAUAACGUAUAAUAUAUAUUAAAAAUUUAAAUGACGCAAGAGGUUCAUAUAUAAAUCUGAUUGUAUUGUUUGUCCACCUAAUAGUAUAUGUAUCUAGUAUGUUUAUUUUGAACAAUCUGACUCAAAACCUCGAUCAUCUGUGAUGAACCACAUUCUUGUAGAUUCCAACUUAAAAUGAUAAAUUCAGUGGCUUUGUUUGUACAGGUUGAAUGCUUGUUUGCUUGGCCCGAAUAUUAUCUCGGCAGCGUUGAUCACCAAUUCCUUUUUUGGGAAUUGUAUGUAUAUUUUUAGAUGAAUUGCAUGCAUGUUCUUUCUGAAAGACUUGCACCUAUAUUUUCUUGGAAAGACCCACCUGUACAUUUUUAUAUGUUCAUGACUGUUUUUUUUAUAUCUACGCAUGACUCAAGUUGUCUGAUGUUGGAUGCAUGUUUUUGUAAAGACUUGCACGUAGUUUUUUCACAUUGGUACAGGACCUAGAUGGGCAAGUGCGCUUGUUGUAGAUUGCUUGGACUCACCCAAGCGGCAUGUACGUAGAUGUCCUAUGCUUGUGCGUGUCAUGGCCGACGUAGGCCCUCCUUCUUUUCUCUUUGUUUCAGGAAACUAACCUAAUCAUUUGUGUCCGACGAUAAAUUAACUUUGUAUACAUGAUAGGUUGUACAUGCAAGGUAUCGGAAUUGCUUUUUUAUUUUUGACCGACCCGUACAGCUUCUUCAUUAAAUAUUGCUUUGAUCAGACUGAUAUUUCCUUUUCCUUGUUCUUUACGCCCGAACAUAUUAUCUCCAGCGUGACACAACGUACAUAACAAUAUUGUACAUUUCAUGAUAGUUGGGUUAAUCAACCCGCAGUACAUAUAAAAUGUUUUUUUUGAGCAUCAGUACAAAUACAAGCGCUCAUAUACACGCGCAUGCACUCAUCCCUAUGAAUGCACACACGCACACCCUACCCCUAUGAGCACCUCCGAGAGACUGAGCCGCCAUAUCAUCUUGAGAUUUACGAAGUCACCGUAGGCGCCUCGUCGUCGACGGGAACGUCUCCUCCCACUGAAAGCGCAUCGCCGGAAAUCCUGAAAUAAAUCCAGGAUUAAUGCGAGCAUCAGGAUUUGAACCCUGGUGGGUUGGGGAUACCACUGUCCACCUAACCAACUCAACCAUAGGUGUUUUCUUAAAAGGAUCCGUAUCUUUUAAACUGUGACUUCAAAUUUAAUAUGUUAUAUAAAAUUUGAUUAGAAAAACUAAUCAUCAACCCGUGCACCAGCACAGGCUAGAACGUUUGUUGUUACUGUACUUGCUACUUUUGUACAAAAUAGUGUCUAAAUUUAUUUUUCACAUAUUAGUUACAUAUAGGGACACAUAUUUUUUUUGAUGAUGUUUUAAUUUUCAGACAAAAUGAUAAAUCCUCAAAGUCUUGCAAAGCCAAAAUGCAAUCAUAGUCUUAUAAUAUUUUGAACGAACAUGCAAUUUUAUCUACUAAGAUCGCAAUAUACAAUUCAUAUAAAUAGACGCAUGUAUAUUGAAAGCUUAAAACCAAAUUCAAUAAUUGAUAUUUCUCUUUGAAAAAAUACAAUAAUGCAACCGCAAGUUCGGGGACCCAUAAAAGCAAAAUACUGCUUCACCAUAUUUUAGAACAAUAUAAUGAAUAUGUAAAAAAACAGAAUGGAGUUGAAUAUCCCAUGUUGAUUCCUAUACAUAACAAAAAGUAAGUAGUAAAACAUUAUCGUCCAAACAAAAUGUUAAUUUACAAUACUUUGGCUUUCAAGGUUAAUCAUCUAGUGCAUUGCACAUUUGAGAAUGAGCAUCCUCUACAAAGCAACAUAGCUUGGCAAAUAUGCAUGCAAAUAUCAAGGAUUUCUAAAACGCGGAAUUAUGAAAAAAAACUGUACGCCAGAAUAUGAAACUUAACACCGAAAAAUCCCCCAACUAAGAGACAGUCUAACACUAAUAGAAAACAGGGUUUUGAUCCAGGCCUGAAGAGGGCAUUAAUCCCGGUUCUCAUACGAACCGGGACCAAUAGGAGCAUUAGUCCUAGUUCAUGAGGCCAGGGGGGCGGCCGGGCCUCGGGGGCCAAUGGUCCCGGUUCGUGUGACCCCUUUGGUCCCGGUUCCAGACACGAACCGGGACCAAUGGGCCUUGCUCCUGGCCCACAACCUUUAGUCCCAGUUUGUGUCUGGAACCGGGACCAAAUAGAGGCCUAUAUAUACCUUGCCCGCGAGCAGAGCAGUGCACUCUUUGUUUUUUUAGCUAGCCGUGCGAGAGCUUUGUGGUGCUCUAGCUCACCUCCUAUGCACAUGAGGUGUUCGAUGAAAUACCCGAGCCACACUUUAUAAGCUUUCUCCUCUCGAAAUUCUUUGUCCCAACUCCAUUUUCCUCAAGAUUUGUCUAGGUUUGUGAUACGUCUCCAACGUAUCUAUAAUUUUUGAUUGUCCCAUGCUAUUAUAUUAUCCAUCUAGGAUGUUUUAUAUGCAUUUAUAUGCUAUUUUAUAUGAUUUUUGGGACUAACCUAUUAACCUAGAGCCUAGUGCCAGUUUAUGUUUUUUCCUUGUUUUUGAGUAUCACAGAAAAGGAAUACCAAAUGGAGUCCAAUUAACGUGCCAAUUUUUGAUGAUUUUUUAUGGACGAAAAGAAGCCCCCGGAGUAAAAGAGUUGGGCCAGAAGAGUGUCGGGCUGUCCACGAGGGUGGGGGGUGCGCCCUACCCUCCUGGGCAUGGGCCCUAUCUCGUGGACGACUCGGAGACCCCCCUAACGUGAGACCGACGCCAAAAAUUCAUAUAAAUACAGAAACCUCCAGAACAUAACCUAGAUCGGGAGUUCCGCCGCCGCAAGUCUCUGUAGCCACCAAAAACCAAUCGGGACCCUGUUCCGGCACUCUGCCUGAGGGGGGAUCCCUCACCCGUAGAUAUCUUCAUCAUCUCGACGCUCUCCAUGACGAGGAGGGAGUAGUUCACCCUCGAGGCUGAGGGUAUGUACCAGUAGCUAUGUGUUUGAUCUCUCUCUCUCUCUCUCUCUCUCUCUCUCUCUCUCUCGUGUUCUUGAUUUGACACGAUCUUGAUGUAUCGCGAGCUUUGCUAUUAUAGUUGGAUCUUAUGAUGUUUCUCCCCCUCUACUCUCUUGUAAUGGAUUGAGUUUUCCCUUUGAAGUUAUCUUAUCGGAUUGAGUCUUUAAGGAUUUGAGAACACUUGAUGUAUGUCUUGCGUGGGAUACCCGUGGUGACAAUGGGGUAUUCUAUUGAUCUACUUGAUGUAUGUUUUGGUGAUCAACUUGCGGGUUCAGUGACCUUGGGAAUCUAUGCAUAGGGAUUGGCACACGUUUUCGUCCUGACUCUUCGGUAGAAACUUUGGGGCACUCUUUGAAGUACUUUGUGUUGGUUUGAAUAGAUGAAUCUGAGAUUGUGUGAUGCAUAUCGUAUAAUCAUACCCACGGAUACUUGAGGCGACAUUGGAGUAUCUAGGUGACAUUAGGGUUUGGUUGAUUUGUGUCUUAAGGUGUUAUUCUAGUACGAACUCUAGGAUAGAUCGAACGGAAAGAAUAGCUUCGUGUUAUUUUACUACGGACUCUUGAAUAGAUCGAUAAGAAAGGAUAACUUUGAGGUGGUUUCGUACCCUACAAUAAUCUCUUCGUUUGUUCUCCACUAUUAGUGACUUUGGAGUGACUCUUUGUUGCAUGUUGAGGGAUAGUUAUAUGAUCCAAUUAUGUUAUUAUUGUUGAGAGAACUUGCACUAUUGAAAGUAUGAACCCUAGGCCUUGUUUCAACGCAUUGCAAUACCGUUUUCGCUCACUUUUAUCAUUAGUUACCUUGCUGCUUUUAUAUUUUCAGAUUACAAAAACCUAUAUCUACCAUCCAUAUUGCACUUGUAUCACCAUCUCUUCGCCGAACUAGUGCACCUAUACAAUUUACCAUUGUAUUGGGUGUGUUGGGGACACAAAAGACUCUUUAUUAUUUGGUUGCAGGGUUGUUUGAGAGAGACCGUCUUCAUCCUAUGCCUCCCACGGAUUGAUAAACCUUAGGUCAUGCACUUGAGGGAAAUUUGCUACUGUCCUACAAACCUCUGCACUUGGAGGCCCAACAACGUCUACAAGAAGAAGGUUAUGUAGUAGACAUCAGUUUGGUGGUCCUUCCUGUCCCGUCCACGUCCUCACUACCGUCGAUCGCCCGCGCCGAUCUCGCCGCCGGCGCCACUGUGGUGAGCCUCUUGUUCUUAUCUUCUUUCUAAAAGAAAAAAACUCUUACUUAUAUGAUUUAGAUUGCUACUUGUAUAAUUUUCUUACUUUUAUUAUUGUUUGAAUGUUUGUUAUUAUAUAGUGCGAUGGUUUUGGUAUUCGCCCCCGUCGGCCCUCGUCCUGUCUAUGAUUCGGAUGUGGUAUAUACUAUCUUUUAUAACUAUUUCUUUCAUUUAGUGUUUAUGACAAUUAUGCCGACCAUCAUGACAUAGAUGUUUUAUGUAGGAGGUAUAUGGACCGAAAAUUCCAACUGACCCUCUUGUCGAGAGGUUAAAAUUUAAUUGAAAAGAAAACGAUUACUUAAAGAAAAAAUUGAAAAGAAUUGAGGAGGAGAAGAUGGCAUUGGAGUUGCAUGUUGCGGAUAUCAUCGAUGAUCACAAGAUCAAGAUUGAUAAAAUGCGCUUGAAGAUUAGAAAGAUUAAAAAAUAUGCCAUUCAUACCGAGGCUUGGUAUCAUUAUGCCGUUGGAUCAAUUAUUACCUUAGUUGCGAUUAUGAUCGCAUAUGUUGUUGCAUUGAAAUGUUUUACAUAGUUUCAAUGUAUGGUUUAAUUAGAUGCUCUCGAGAGCUAUAUGUUGUUCAAUGAGAACUAUGUAUUAACUUUAUGUAUUUAUUUUUUCAGUAAUAAUAUUUGAUCACUACUAUACUUUGGUUUUAAUGUGAUGAUGAAAUCCCUUUGUAACAGAUGAGUUUUCGUCCGAAGCCCUGAUACUUCGAAAGAGAUUGUCCGUUUUGCACACGAAGUGCAUCCAGUUUUUGCUGUAACCCUCUCAGCUUUUUAGAACAUGCUAUGUGGGUGAAAUGAUGAUACCAUGCCAACUUUCAACCUUUUCAGAGUUCAUUUUAAGUGCUUUUCAAUUUCAGGGUCAUUUAGCUCAAAAAAUCAAUAAAUGCAUGAAAAAUAGCAAAUGAAGUCAGAAAUGGUUGAAAAUUGAUGAUGUGGCUUUGAAUGGUGCAUUUUGAACACAUAAAAAGUCUGGAGUUCAAAUAAGUUCAAAUAAAUGAAAUCCCUUUGUAACAGAUGAGUUUUCGUCCGAACCCCUGAUACUUCGAAAGAGAUUGNNNNNNNNNNNNNNNNNNNNNNNNNNNNNNNNNNNNNNNNNNNNNNNNNNNNNNNNNNNNNNNNNNNNNNNNNNNNNNNNNNNNNNNNNNNNNNNNNNNNNNNNNNNNNNNNNNNNNNNNNNNNNNNNNNNNNNNNNNNNNNNNNNNNNNNNNNNNNNNNNNNNNNNNNNNNNNNNNNNNNNNNNNNNNNNNNNNNAGGGUCAUUUAGCUCCAAAAAAUCAGUAAAUGCAUGAAAAUAGCAAAUGAAGUCAGAAAUGGUUGAAAAUGGAUGAUGUGGCUUUGAAUGGUGCAUUUUGAACACACAAAAAGUCUGGAGUUCAAAUGAGUUCAAAUAAAUGAAAUCCCUUUGUAACAAAUGAGUUUUCGUCUGAAACCCUGAUACUUCGAAAGAGAUUGUCCAUUUUGCACACAAAGUGUAUCCAGUUUUUGUCGUAACCCUCUCAACCUUUUAGAACAUGCUAUGUGGGUGAAAUGAUGAUACCAUGCCAACUUUCAACCUUUUCAGAGUUAAUUUAUAGUGCUUUUCAAUUUCAGGGUCAUUUAGCUCAAAAAAUCAGUAAAUGCAUGAAAAAUAGCAAAUGAAGUUAGAAAGGGUUGAAAAUUGAUGAUGUGGCUUUGAAUGGUGCAUUUUUAACACACAAAAAGUUUGGAGUUCAAAUAAGUUCAAGUAAAUGAAAUCCCUUUGUAACAGAUGAGUUUUCAUCCAAAACCCAGAUACUUCGAAAGAGUUUGUCCAUUUUGCACACGAAGUGCAUCCAGUUUUUGCCUUAACCCUCUCAACUUCUUAGAACAUGCUAUGUGGCUGAAAUGAUGAUACCAUGCCAACUUUCAACCUUUUUAGAGUUCAUUUGAAGCGCUUUUCAAUUUCAGAGUUCAUUUGAAGUGUUUUUCAACUCUAAUAGCAAAAAGAAUGAACUAAAAAUAAUCAAUUAAAAUAUUUUGUUAUGAUCAACUAAAACAAAACUAUAUUAUUCUUCAAUAGCAAAAAUAAUCAACUAAAAAUAUUUUAUAAAACUCUAAUAGCAAAAGGAAUAAACUAAAAAGAUUUUAUAAACCUCUAGUAUUUUUGAAACAAAAAAUAUAUAAAAUUUAUGCAACUAAAAUUAUCAAAGUAUUUUUUGUUCAAAACAUUAAUAGCAAAAAGAAUUUUCAUAAAGAAUUUUUUUGUUAGCAAACUAGAAUAACGAAAUUUGUUUUUGAUUAAAACAUACAUUUAAAAUAACCUAAAAAUUACCAAAUUGAAUAUAAUGAUAAAACACAGUAAUAUUAAAUAGCAGGAAAAAGAAUUACUAAAAAAAAUCUAUUUUUAUAGUAAAGUUAUUUAGAAACUAGUGAUUCACACAAAUUUCAAAGAAUUCAAAUUUGAAAGCUAAUGGCACUAACAGAAAGUUUAUAAUUUUUGUGACCUAAAAGCAAAAAGAAUCGCAGGAAAACAGAAAGUACAAACAAAAUAAAAUAAAUAAAGCAAAAAAAACUGGAAAAAGAUUAAAAAAUGCCACCUAGUGGGCCACCACGGCCUGAAUACGACUAGAAACCCAACCAACUUGUUGGGCCAGGAUUCAGGCCCAUAGAAGCCCAGUAGGCCCACAGGCAGAAGUGUCAGAUUAGGCCCGCAAGCCUGCAGUUGAGAGGAGCUCAGCGCUUAUAAACCACUCUCGAGCUCUCUUAGCUAGCGAGGUGGGACUAAACAUUUGGCCCCGAGGGGCACCAACCGGGGCCAAUGCCCCCCUUUGGUCCCGGUUCGUGCCACCAACCGGAACCAAAGGGUGUCAUUGGUCCCGGUUUGUGCCACCAACCGGUACCAAAGGUAUCUGCUUCCCGCCCUUUGGGCUGCUGAAAAGAGACCUUUGGUCCCGGUUGGUGGUACGAACCGGGACUAAAGGGGGGCAUUGGUCUCGGUUGGUACCAUGAACCGGUACCAAUGCUUCGUGUAUAUAAGAAACACUUGUGAAAAUUUCCAUUUAGUUCUUUGAUCCCGCGCUCUCUCCCCAUCGUCGAUGAACACCUCGAUGCCGCCAGGCUGCCGGACCGCGUCGUCGCCUCCCCGAGCCCGUUGUCUUCGUCGCCGGCAUCCCCGAGCCCGUCGUCCUCGUCCCCGUCCCCGUCGCCUCCCCAAGCCAGCCGUCCUCAUCCCCGUGACCGUGUGCCGCCCCGAGCCGGCCACCCUCCUCGUCCCCGUCGCCGCGUGCUGCCCCGAGCCCGCCGUCCUCGUCGCUGGCCUCCAGCCAUCACCCCCCAAUGAGCCGCCCUUUCCCAUUGUCCCCUGCUCCCCUUCUCCGCGUGCCCCCGAGCCCGGCCUUGCUCUGCCACUGCUCCAUGGUCGCUGCCGGCCCCGACGCAUUGAAGAGCAACAGCAACACCGUGAUUGAGAAGAGGAGUGGACAGUGAAGAGCAGCUGCAGCAGCAGCAGUCCCCCCUUUUUGAAUUUUUUUACAGUGAUGAAUAGUGCAUAGAAGGUGUUUGAUGAAAUUCUAGAUGGCUUUGGGCAUUUUUGAAAUUUCUGAUUUUUUUGUGGUGAGGUACUGAUGCAAGACAAAGGUGAUGGCAAAAUUUCAGAAUUUUGGAGUGGUUUAGAAUAGGUUUUCAGCAAGGAAUUUGAACUUGGUUCAAAUUUCAUUUGAACGAAAUUUGAAAAAUUUGAACUAUGGAUUAGAAGGUUUUUGGUGAAAUGGAGUGUGGGUACUGUCAUGCAGUUGGAGUAAUUUUUUCAGGAUUUUUUAGCAAGGAAAAAUAGGGUUGUAGUUCAAUGCCAAGAUUGGACCAAAAUUGAAAAAUGGAAGUUGUGCUCAAAAUUUUCAAAUGACCAAAGUGGGGUUUUGCCUAAAAAUGAUCUAUAGGCAUCAGAGGACUUCUCAAAAAAUUGUGGCAUUUGAAAAGAAUUAUUUGAAAUAGUUCUACUGCAACAGGGUCAUUCUAGAGUUUGAAAAUACUAAUAAAAGAUUUUUUUGAGGCCAAAUCAUUAUAAAAAUAAUUACUAAUGAUUUUUUCAUAGCAAUUUUUUGUCCAUGUAUGUAUGUAUGUAUGUAUGUAUAGAUAUAGAAAAUGUUCAUAUAUGAUGUUUUUUUGUUCAUAACUAUUUUUUUCCAUGUAUGUAUGUAUGUAUUUUUUUAGAUGUGCUCUAUUUUUUCAGAUGAGAUGAAAUGAUAUGAGGUGAGAUGUAUGAGAUGUCCAUUUGUUGUAUAAACAUAAACCCGAUAACUUCAAUUCCCCUCGGGCUUAUAUUUUUGUGAGCAUAGAAGUUUUUUUAACUUGUAUGUAUUUGAUCACCGCGGAUAGUUGCGACAGGAGUUUUCCCUUUGAUUUUGAGGCAUAUGAUCUAGAUAAUGUCCAAUGCCUCAUAUCGCGAACAUAGUUAUAUUGGACAAUUGAUCUUCAUAUAAACGAAGCAUAAAAGUUUAGCAACCAGUUUAGCAAUCACUUAGAAACAGCGUUGUCGAGGCCACCCCAAACCCUAGACGAAGAAAGAGCGUUGUUGAUCUACCCCAUCCCGCCCCUACCCGUAAUUGUUAUGUUCAUUGUUGUCAUUAGCUAUGUAUAUGUUUGUGCUUAUGAUUCCUUGUUGCGAUAUUAGCUAGGUUAUGUUUGCCACUAAUAUAUCCAUCUCAUGUUUGUAUAUUAAUUGCCAUGUUGUAAUAUUUGCAGAAACUAUGGAUCAAAGAGACUUGGAACAAGAAGAGUUGUUGGGGGACAUAAUCCGUGACAGACGUGAUGUAUUGUCGUAUCUCAACGACACCGAUGGUCAGAAAGGAGAGGAUGACUGCUCCGGUGACCGAAAGGAGGAGGUAGUUGUUGCAAAGUCCGGCGAGGUAUAUAUAUUAAUUAAGCCUGUGCUGACUAAUUAACGCAUUAAUUGUUUUGGUAUGUACAUAUAUUAACGCUUCUUUCUUCUUUUAUAGCCCUCCAGAUCAAGCCAAACUUCCGUAACAAGACAAGGCCUGAAGAAAAGGUUGCGCCAAGAUGAAAGGUUCACGAUCACAGAAAUCGCGGGCGAUGGCCAACCGAUUGAACCCAAGCGGACCAAGGACGCCAUUUGUUGCUCAGUGCGGAGCUAUUGUUAGGGACACCAUCCCAAUCAACAUCCAGCAAUGGAAUAAGCCGGCUAAGGCCGACGACCCUGAAGUUUCUUAUGUCAAUGAUAGACAGAAAGUUGAUCUUUGGACCUGCUGAAGGCAAAUUUCACCCUACCGCCAGAGGAGGAUCUGGAUAAGCAAGUUAUAGAGACAAAGGUCAAGUCAUAUGCUCUUAAGAAGAUGGCAGAUCUAUUCAGGAGGUGGAAGAAAGAGUUGAACACAAACUUUGUUGACAAAGGAAAGACUCCAGAAUUCACCGGCUGAUUUGAGAAGAUAAGAGAUCACUGGCCCGCAUUUGUGGCCUACAAGACAUCAGAGAAGGGUAAGAAAAUGUCAGAGACAACACAAGAAAAAUGCUGCAAAGAAGUUGUAUCACCAUCACACGGGGUUAGGUGGCUACCUCAAAGCUCGGCCGUUGCGGGACAAAGCUGAGAAAGACCUGAUUGCUAAGGGGGUCCAACCAGCGACACUGAACUGGCCAGACUAUUCAAGGACUUGGUUCUUCUAGGUUGGGGGAACUUUGGACCCAGAAAUAGGGGAGUGUUGUUGGACGGACGAGCAACUUGCAAUACCGGUCAAGAAGCUUAAGAAUUAUAUCGCUGCAGCGCAGAAAGGGACGUUCAUUCCCGACAAAGUGAAGGACGAGAUGUUUGAGGCCCUCGGGAAUCCUGAGCACCCUAGACGAACACGAGGCACACCAGGCUCUGUUGCAUGGGUGCAUGGGCUCCCCGAUGCAAGCGGUUACAAAAAGCAAGAGAGAAAGAGGAAAGUGGAGCAGAGCGAAAUGGAGACAAUCAAAGCAACAUUAGCGAAGCUAGAGGAAUUUGCAACUGCCGGCCAACCAUCUCAGUGGCUCGAAGCUACCCCAGAAGCUACCCCGCCAUCUCAGCGGAGAAGCAGCGUGGCUUCCAUGGAGCUAGCCCAGCCUGAUUUGACGGCUCCUCGCUACCCCGUGGAUACUAUCACGGAGGCUGAUAACCCACAAGUAUAGGGGAUCGCAACAGUUUUCGAGGGUAGAGUAUUCAACCCAAAUUUAUUGAUUCGACACAAGGGGAGCCAAAGAGUAUUCUCAAGUAUUAGCAGCUGAGUUGUCAAUUCAACCACACCUGAAAUACUUAAUAUCUGCAGCAAAGUAUUUAGUAGCAAAGUAGUAUGGAAGUAAUGGUAACAGUGGCAAAAGCAAUAGUAGCAGUUUUGUAGCAAUCGUAACAGUGGCAACGGUAAAGUAACUUAGCAAAGAUCAAUAUGAAACGAGCUCGUAGGCAAUGGAUCAAUGAUGGAUAAUUAUGUCGGAUGACAUUUAUCAUGCAACAGUUAUAACAUAGGGUGACACAGAACUAGCUCCAGUUCAUCAAUAUAAUGUAGGCAUGUAUUCCGAAUAUAGUCAUACGUGCUUAUGGAAAAGAACUUGCAUGACAUCUAUUGUCCUAUCCUCUCAUGGAAGCAGGGUCCUAAGGGAUAUUAAGGCCUCCUUUUAAUAGAGUACCGGACCAAAGCAUUAGCACUUAGUGAAUACAUGAACUCCUCAAACUACGGUCAUCACCGGGAAGUAUCCCGACUAUUGUCACUCCGAGGUUGCCGGAUCAUAACACAUAGUAGGUGACUAUAACUCUCAAGAUAUGAUCAAGAACACUCAUAUAUUCAUGAAAACAUAAGAGGUUCAGAUCUGAAAUCAUGGCACUCGGGCCCUAGUGACAAGCAUUAAGCAUGGCAAAGUCACAACAACAUCAAUCUUAGAACAUAAUGGAUACUAGGGAUCAAACCCUAACAAAACUAACUCGAUUACAUGGUAAAUCUCAUCCAACCCAUCACUGUCCAGCAAGCCUACGAUGGGAUUACUCACGCACGAUGGUGAGCAUCAUGAAAUUGGUGAUGGAGGAUGGUUGAUGAUGACGAUGGCGAUGAAUUCCCCUCUCCGGAGCCCCGAACGGACUCCAGAUCAGCCUUCCCAAGGAAGAACAGGGCUUGGCGGUGGCUCCGUAUCAUAAAACGCGAUGAAUCCUUCUCUCUGUUUUUUCUCCCUAAUCAUGAAUAUAUGGAGUUGGAGUUGAGGUCGGUGAAGGUCCAGGGGGCCCAUGAGAUAGGGCGGCAUGACCAGGGGGGUAGGGCGCGCCUCCCACCCUCGUGGCCAGGGUGUGGGCCCCCUUCAGCUGAUUCUUUCGCCAGUAUUUUUUAUUAAUUCCAAAAAAUAUCUCCGAGAAGUUUCAGGUCAUUCUGAGAACUUUUAUUUCUACACAAAAGUAACACCAUGGCAGUUCUGCUGAAAAAACGCCAGUCCAGGUUAGUUCCAUUCAAAUCAUGCAAAUUAGAGUCCAAAACAAGGGCAAAAGAGUUUGGAUAAGUAGAUACGUUGGAGGCGUGUCAACUCCCCCAAGCUUAACCCAUUGCUUGUCCUCAAGCAAUUCAGUUGACAAACUGAAAGUGAUAAAGAAAAACUUUUACAAACUUUGUUUGAUCUUGUUGUUGCAAAUAUGUAAAGCCAACAUUCUAGUUUUCAGCAAAGAUCAUGAACUAACCAUAUUCACAAUAACAUUUAGGUCUCACAUUUACUCAUAUCUUAGGCAUAAUCAACUAGUGAGUAAUAAUAAUAGAUUUCGGAUGACAAUACUUUCUCAAAACAAUCAUGAUAUGAUAUAACAAGAUGGUAUCUCGAUAGCCCUUUCUGAGACCGCAUAACAUAAAUGCAGAGCACCCCUGAAGAUCAAGGACUGACUAGACAUUGUAAUUCAUGACACAAGAGAUCCAGUCACAGUCAUACUCAAUGUAAAUUAAUAACAAUGCAUACAAAUGAAAGUGGUGCUCUCUAACUGGUGCUUUUUAUAAGAGGAUGAUGACUCAACAGAAAAGUAAAUUGAUAGGCCCUUCGUGGAGGGAAGCAGGGAUUUACAGAGGUGCCAGAGCUCGAGUUUUGAAACAUAGAUAAAUAAUAUUUUGAGCAGUAUACUUUCAUUGUCAACAUAACAACCAAGAGAUCUCGGUAUCUUCCAUGCUACAUACAUUAUAGGCGGUUCCCAAAUAGAAUGGUAAAGUUUAUACUCCCCCAUCACCAACAAGCACAUUCCAUGGCUGGUUCAAAACUACGGGUACCGUCCAACUAACAACAAUCCCGGGGGAGUUUUGUUUGCAAUUAUUUUUAUUUGAUCUGAGCAUGGGACUGGGCAUCCCGGUUACUGGCCAUUUUCUCGUGAAUGAUGAGCGGAGUCCACUCAUCGUGAGAAUAACCCACCUAGAAUGGAAAAUAUAGACAACCCUAGUUGAUGCAUAAGCGAUUCGAGCAUACAAAACCGAAUUUCAUUUGAAGGUUUAGAGUUUGGCACAUGCAAAUUUACUUGGAACGGCAGGUAAAUACCGCAUAUAGGUAGGUAUCGUGGACUCAUAUGGAACAACUUUGGGGUUUAUGGAAGUGGAUGCACAAGCAGUAUUCCCGCUUAUUACAGGAGAAGGCUAGAAAGAGACUGGGACACUACUGCAGGAUGCUGCUAACGCGAGACUACGAUCAGAGACCCUUCGACGAAACUGUGUGCGAUGCAAUAAUCGCAAACGGUGGUGUAAAAAACCCGUCAAAAAGGUGCAAAACGUUUGCGAUGACGGAUGCAUCAAACACGGCUCAGAUUUUGGUUGUGUGUGCGAUGCAGGGCAUACGGUUCAGUUAAAUCAACUGUUUGCAACGAGGAGGAACAAAAGAAACGGGCUGCUGAUAUGUCUCCAACGUAUCUAUAAUUUUUGGUUGUUCCAUGCUAUUAUAUUAUCUGUUUUGGAUGUUUAAUGGGCUUUAAUAUACCGUUUUAUAUUAUUUUUGGGACUAGCCUACUAACCGGAGGCCCAGUGCAAAUUGCUGUUUUUUUGCCUAUUUCAGUGUUUUGCAGAAAAGGAAUAUCAAACGGAAUCCAAACGGAAUGAAACCUUCGGGAGAGUUAUUUUUGGAACAAACGUUGUGGUGGAAUUGUCACGGCAGAUGUCCUAGUGAAAGGACUUAGUUGUGGAGCCAUCGCAACUAGGAAGCAAGAAGGGGUUAAUCGGGACAAAGGACACGAGGUUUAUACUGGUUCGGCCCCUUACGGUGAAGGUAAAAGCCUACGAUCCAGUUUUGAGUGGGAUUGUAUAUGUCUUGAUAACCAGGGAGCGAAUCUGCUUGACCUAGCUCUCGAUUUGAUGUUACUUGCCCUAAGCCGCCGCUGGGUCGUCCCCUUAUAUACACGGGUUGACGCCCUGCGGCCUACAGAGUCCCGUCCGGCUCAUAAACGGUGUCCGGCUCAGUGACUAGUUAAUCUUGCAUUAUAAUACAAGUCAUACCAUUAUGGCGGUUUAUCAUUACGGGCCUAGAGUUGCCUUUGGGCUUUGGGCCCUUAACUGAACCGCCAUCUUCAAGCUUGGUCUUGGGCUUCGAGAGUCUUCGUAGGUAUAACCCGGCCCCUCCUGGGCGGAUCAUACCUAAUAGUUAUAUCCCCAACAUUAGGCCCCGGACUGAUUUGAACUGGUUCAUGUCAAUCUUCAAUACUUAAGCAAAAUCUUCUACUCUUCUUUUGUAUAAAAUUUUUGUGACCCGCCAUGAUGUCAUCCUUUGGAUUUAUGGUGACCCGCCAUGACGCCAUCUGCCAUUAAUGCACAUUUUGCCCAACGUAUCUCAACAGAUCCUUAUCUUAAUGACCAUCCCGAGAAUCGAGGCGCCUUUGUAGUUGGAUAAUCAUGUUUUCGGCCUCCUUGUUUUUCGUGCCCACUUAUCAGUGUUCCCUUAUAAAUAGGCACAACCAGGUCUUUCCUCAUUCUCCCCUUUCCUCGUCUUCUUCCUCUCGCAAUCCUACUGCUACUCAAGCUCCACCGCCGCCACAGAGCACCUCGUCUUCCUCGACCUCGGCCGUUGCAUCAACCUGAAACAGUCCAGAGAACGGCGGCGACCCUCCGCAGUAGAUCUGCAGCUGUAAGUCUUUGCCUUCCCGCACCUCAGAUCCGCAUUAGGGUUUUCAAGUUCCUCUGUGUUCUUCAUAGUUCAUCGCAGUUUCUUCGUAGUUCCUCCACCGCAGCCUCUUUUGAGCCAAAAAGUAACAUAUAACUCAUGCGGUAGUUGUUUUGCGUCCAUUUUUGAUCAUAGCAGAUCCCUUUUUCUUGUACAGAGGCCUCAUUAGAACUCACGAACUCAUAUGUACUAGAUUUUUAGGUCUAGAAUAUUUUCUUUUCUGAACAACCAUUUGAUCCAAAAUAAUAGCUGCAACCUGUGAAACUUGUUUGUGCAACACUUAGGCAAAAACUGAAUUUGUUAUAUCCACCUAGCCAUGGCGACUCUUAUCACCGGUUUAAAAAAGGCAAUGCUCAAUCGAUAAUCCUGACCACCCAUGGCGGUUUAAAUAACUUAACUGCUUAUGACUCUCGUGGCGGCUUAAAUAACCUGACAUAAUUAGCCAUAUACCAUUAGGCCCCUUUGUAAGCCGCCACUUUGAAUAUGUAUUGUAAUACUUGUUCUCCGGCUUAAGUGUAAAUCGACAAUUUCACUCUUUGUUAGGCUUCCGUCUUCACAAUGCCGCCCAAAGCACCCAAAGCACCCAUUACAUGCAAUUCAUCGUCACAGAAAGCACACUUGCUGAUUUUGUGAAGACUGGCUAUCUGCCAAAGAAGGAAGUCAUGUCCUACCGUGCUCCUGAUCCAAUAGAGGAAAAACCUCAACCCAAAGAAGGGGAAGUCAUCCUCUUUACUGAUCACAUGAACCGGGGUUUUUAUCCACCCGGCUCAAAGUUUUUUAGAGAUGUCCUGCACUUUUUUGACCUCCGACCUCAAGACGUCGGGCCCAACUCUGUGUCUAACAUCUGCAACUUCCAAGUGUUCUGUGAGGUGUACCUUGGAGAAGAACCCAAUUUGCUGCUCUUCAGAGAAUUAUUUUACUUGAACUGCCAGAAUGAACGUGCCAACUGGCCUAGCUUGGAACUUGGUGGGAUCUCAAUCCAACGACAGAGAGACUGCAUUUUUCCGUAUGCCGAUCCACCGAGUCACCCCAAAGACUGGAACCAGACAUGGUUCUAUUGUCAAGAUACUUCUCCGGCUGGUGAGAACCCUCUGCCCGGUUUUCGCGCCCUGCGCCUUGAGUCCACUCAUCCUCUACCAGAUAAGCUGUCUCCUGUUGAACGCCAGAAGCUUGCCCCACCAUGAGUAAAGUCAAGGCUCUUUUGGGGAAUGGCUUAAAUGGCAUCGAUUUGGUCCGGGUUUGGCUGGCCUAGCGGGUUAUUACAUCGAGCCGCCGCCCUGGUUUGAUGUGCGACUAUACAGGCCAGAAGAAUGAUCCUCUGCGGCACAGUCCUGAUGAUUUACCUGACGACAUCAUUGAUGAUAUGACAAAGUCACUCCUGAAUGAGAGCCUAGAAGACUGUGGCAAAGUAGGUUUGAGUCCUUUCUGCAAAGCCAACCCGGCUCCAGUGGUAAGCUAGUAAUUUAAGCAUUUUACUCUCGUCUUUGAGGUUUUACCUUUACUCAAAACUCUUUGUUGAAAUUCACAGGCCACUGACGAAUUUUGAAAGCCAAAUAUGACCAUGAAGCUGCAAAGAAGGCCAGAAAAGCUAAGAAAGCCGCCAGGAAAGUCGUCGCCAAGAAGAAAUGACAUAAACCCAGCGCCUCAGACAUGCUUUGACUAGAGGACACCUCUGAGUCAGAGGUAGCUCUUGAUUCUCUAGGCUCCUUUUUUACUAUCUUAUUGACACUGAUUAUCAUCAAGAGGAUACAGGAGCGAGUCAUGCAGUGGUUGAAGAGGUAAGUAUUAUUUCCUCCGACUCCGAGCCUUUGCCAAGACAGAAAGUCCGAAGAGUAACCCGGAAAGUAAGAUUUUCACAUCCUUUAGCUUACCAAGAUCCUCAAUUUCUUUUGAAGCAACAGAUGCAUGAGAGCCGGAGGCAGACCCGGACCAGUAAAGAUGCAGAACUCUCCUCCGGCUUACCCACUGUAACAAGAAAAUGCCGGAACGAGGUCAUCUCCGAUUUAUAUUCCUUUUAUCCUUUGGCAGGUCUCACUCGUCAACCGCUCAAUUCUUCUGACUCAAAUUAUCAGGAAACUUCACCUUCCUCCGGCGAGUCAAUGCAGUCCAAUUUGCUGGCUUUUAAAACUGCUCCAGGGUAAUGAUAACCUGCUUAAUUUGUGCUCAGUUUGAUUUGUUGUAUUUUUACUAACCUUUUGAUUUUAUGCAGUGGUCAAGCCAAGCCCAGCAAAAGGGCGAAGAAGAACAAGCCGGCCGAAGAACCGAUCCUGAAUGAGCCGAAACUUGGAACAACCACUCCUGAAGCCUCCACUCAUGAGCCGCCGCCUAAGCCAGCCCAUGAUAUACCAAAGCCCACUGUUGAUCCGCCUGUCGAGCAAACCAUCGAUGGUUCUGGAAACCCGGAAUCCCCUAGCCCAACCAAAACGAAUGAUCGUCAAGAUCUUGACGUCGAAAUCACCAAGACCAGCUUUGUUGAGCAGGGGAGGCCAACCAUGCUAGCCAAGUGUUCUGCCAAGGAGGAACUUCUGGAACGCCGCAGAACUAGACUUGAUGUCGCUGGUUAUACUCAUAUGAGUAUCGAAGAAAUCUUUUCUGGCUAUAUGAGCCAAGUGCAUAGCAGCCGUGAUAUAGAAUUUGACAUGGUGAAGCAGAUGCACCCGAAGUUUGAGGUACAAUCCUUUCUCUGUACUUAAUUAUCCUUACUAUGCCAGCUCCCAAGUCUAGUGCUUAUGAUGAAAUAUGUUGUAGACUUAAAACCCAGCUUAACAAUAGAUGUAAGAAAUCCGGCUUAUCUGUAGCUCCUAAGGGCCGGCUUAAGCAACAUGUUUGAACCGGUCCUUCUUGUUGGAAAUAUGCCCUAGAGGCAAUAAUAAAUUGGUUAUUAUUAUAUUUCCUUGUUCAUGAUAAUCGUUUAUUAUCCAUGCUAGAAUUUUAUUGAUAGGAAACUCAGAUACAUGUGUGGAUACAUAGACAACACCAUGUCCCUAGUAAGCCUCUAGUUGACUAGCUCAUUGAUCAAUAGAUGGUUACGGUUUCCUGACCAUGGACAUUGGAUGUUGUUGAUAACGGGAUCACAUCAUUAGGAGAAUGAUGUGAUGGACAAGACCCAAUCCUAAGCCUAGCACAAAGAUCGUGUAGUUCGUAUGCUAAAGCUUUUCUAAUGUCAAGUAUCAUUUCCUUAGACCAUGAGAUUGUGCAACUCCCGGAUACCGUAGGAGUGCUUUGGGUGUGCCAAACAUCACAACGUAACUGGGUGGCUAUAAAGGUACACUAAAGGUAUCUCCAAAAGUGUCUGUUGGGUUGGCACGAAUCGAGACUGGGAUUUGUCACUCCGUGUAAACGGAGAGGUAUCUCUGGGCCCACUCGGUAUGACAUCAUCAUAAUGUGCACAAUGUGACCAAGGAGUUGAUCACGGGAUGAUGUGUUACAGAACGAGUAAAAGAGACUUGCCGGUAACGAGAUUGAACCAGGUAUCGGGAUACCGACGAUCAAAUCUCGGGCAAGUAUCGUACCACUAGACAAAGGGAAUUGUAUACGGGAUUGAUUGAAGCCUUGACAUCAUGGUUCAUCCGAUGAAAUCAUCACGGAGCAUGUGGGAGCCAACAUGGGUAUCCAGAUCCCGCUAUUGGUUAUUGACCAGAGAGUUGUCUCGGCCAUGUCUGCAUGACUCCCAAGCCCGUAGGGUCUACACUUAAGGUUCGAUGAUGCUAGGGUUAUAGGGAAUAGAUGUACGUGGUUACCGAAUGUUGUUCGGAGUCCCAGAUGAGAUCCCGGACAUCACGAGGAGUUCCGAAAUGGUCCGGAGGUAAAUAAUUAUAUAUGGGAAGUCCUGUUUUGGUCGCUGGAAAAGUUUCGGGUUUAUCGGUAAUGUACCGGGACCACCGGGAGGGUCCCGGUGGUCCACAAAGUGGGGCCACCAGCCCCGGAGGGCUGCAUGGGCCAAGUGUGGGAGGGGACCAGCCCCAGGUGGGCUGGUGCGCCCCCCUACAAGGGCCUAAGGCGCCUAGGGUUUGGGGAGGGGGCGCCUCCACCUAGCUUGGGGGGCAAGUUUCCCCCUCUCCCCCCCUUUGGCCGCCACCCUAGAUGGGUUUGGGGCUGCCACACCCCUUGGGGUGGAAACCCUAAAGGGGGAGUACCCCCUCCCUCUCCCCUAUAUAUACUUGAGGACUUUGGGGCUGCCAACACAUGAGUUUUGACCUCUCCCUGGCGCAGCCCUACCUCUCUCCCUCCUCGUCUCUUGCGGUGCUUGGCGAAGCCCUGCUGGAGUACCAUUCUCCUCCACCACCACCACGCCGUCGUGCUGCUGCUGGACGGAGUCUUCCUCAACCUCCCCCUCUCUCCUUGCUGGAUCAAGGCAUGGGAGACAUCACCGGGCUGCAUGUGUGUUGAACGCGGAGGUGCCGUCCGUUCGACACUAGGAUCAUCGGUGAUUUGGAUCAUGGUGAGUACGACCCCAUCAACCCCGUUCACUUGAACGCUUCCGCUUAGCAAUCUACAAGGGUAUGUAGAUGCACUCUCCUUCCCCUCGUUGCUAGAUUACUCCAUAGAUUGAUCUUGGUGAUGCGUAGAAAAUUUUGAAUUUCUGCUACGAUCCCCAACAGUGGCAUCAUGUGUUGGGGAACGUAGUAAUUUCAAAAAAUUUCCUACGCACACGCAAGAUCAUGAUGAUGCAUAGCAACGAGAGGGGAGAGUGUUGUCUACGUACCCUUGUAGACUGUUCACGGAAGCAUUAUAUCAACGCGGUUGAUGUAGUCGUAUGUCUUCACGUCCGACCGAUCCAAGUAUCGAAAGCAUGGCACCUCCGAGUUCUGCACACGUUCGGCUCGGUGAUGUCCUCGCCUUCUCGAUCCAGCAAGAGGGGCGAAGUAGUAGAUGAGUUCCGGCAGCACGACGGCGUGGUGACGGUGUUGGUGAAGAACAAUCUCCGCAGGGCUUCGCCUAAGCAAUACAAAAACUAUGACGGGGGAUAAACUAGAGGGGACGGGGUUGCCGGCACACGGCUUGGUAUUUCUUGAUGUGUCUUUGGUGCUAGCCCUGCCCCUCUAUUUAUAUGUUGAGCCCUGGGGUCGAAACUUGGAGUAAAAGCCUCCACAAAGUCGGUUUCACCCGAAAGGCAAGAGUCCUUCUCGGACUCCAGGGCCAGACGCCAGGGUUCCCGGCGUGUGGACCCAGACGCCAGGGACCCUGGCGUCUGGCCCCUGGACUCCACAAAACUUCCUUUUUUGCACUUUCCAAAAACCUUGUGGGCUUUCCCCUUUGGCCCAAAUAAAGUGUUCUCGUACCCAAACAUUUCGGGAAACAUCCGGAACCCCUUUCAGUGAUUUCCGGAACCGUUCCGGUGACCAAACACUAUUAUCCCAUAUAUCAAACUUUGUCUCCGGACCAUUCCGGAGUUCCUCGUCAUGUCCGUGAUCUCAUCUCGGAUUCUGAACAACAUUCGGUCACCAAAUACAUAACUCACAUAGUACUAUAUCGUCAACGAACGUUAAGUGUGCGGACCCUACGGGUUCGAGAACUAUGUAGACAUGACCGAGACACCUCUCUGGUCAAUAACCAAUAGCGGGACCUGGAUGCCCAUAUUGGCUCCUACAUAUUCUACGAAGAUCUUUAUCGGUCAGACCACAUAACAACAUACGUUGUUCCCUUUGUCAUCGGUAUGUUACUUGCCCGAGAUUCAAUCGCCGGUAUCUCAAUACCCAGUUCAAUCUCGUUACAGGCAAGUCUCUUUACUCGUUCUGUAAUACAUCAUCUUUCAACUAACUCAUUAGUUGCAAUGCUUGCAAGGCUUAUGUGAUGUGCAUUACCGUGAGGGCCCAGAGAUACCUCUCCGACAAUCGGAGUGACAAAUCCUAAUCUCGAAAUACGCCAACCCAACAUGUACCUUUGGAGACACUUGUAGAGCUCCUUUAUAAUCACCCAGUUAUGUUGUGACGUUUGGUAGCACACAAAGUGUUCCUCCGGUAAACGGGAGUUGCAUAAUCUCAUAGUCAUAGGAACAUGUAUAAGUCAUGAAGAAAGCAAUAGCAACAUACUAAACAAUCGAGUGCUAAGCUAACAGAAUGGGCCAAGUCAAUCACAUCAUUCUCCUAAUGAUGUGAUCCCGUUAAUCAAAUAACAACUCUUUGUCUAUGGUUAGGAAACAUAACCAUCUUUGAUUAACGAGCUAGUCAAGUAGAGGCAUACUAGUGACACUCUGUUUGUCUAUGUAUUCACACAUGUAUUAUGUUUCCGGUUAAUACAAUUCUAGCAUGAAUAAUAAACAUUUAUCAUGAAAUAAGGAAAUAAAUAAUAACUUUAUUAUUGCCUCUAGGGCAUAUUUCCUUCAGUCUCCCACUUGCACUAGAGUCAAUAACCUAGUUCACAUCGCCAGGUGAUCUAACAUCAAUAGUUCACAUCUUUAUGUGGUUAACACCCAUAGUUCACAUCGAUAUGUGACCAACACCCAAAGGGUUUACUAGAGUCAGUAAUCUAGUUCACAUUGCUAUGUGAUUAACACCCAAAGAGUACUAUGGUGUGAUCAUGUUUUGCCUGUGAGAGAAGUUUAGUCAACGGGUCUGCCAUAUUCAGAUCCGUAAGUAUUUUGCAAUUUUCUAUGUCUACAAUGCUUUGCGCGGAGCUACUUUUGCUAAUUGCUCCGACUUUCAAUAUGUAUCCAGAUGAAGACUAAGAGUCAUCCGGAUCAGUGCCAAAACUUGUAUCGACGUAACCCUUUUACGACGAACCUUUUGUCACCUCCAUAAUCAAGAAACAUAUCCUUAUUCCAAUAAGGCUAAUUUUGACCGCUUUCCAGUGAUCUACUCCUAGAUCACUAUUGUACUCCCUUGCCAAAAUUAGUGUAGGGUAUACAAUAGGUCUGGUACACAGCAUGUCAUACUUUAUAGAACCUAUGGCCAAGGCAUAGGGAAUGACUUUCAUUCUCAUUCUAUUUUCUGCCGUGGUCGGGCUUUGAGUCUUACUCAAUUUCACACCUUGUAACACAGGCAAGAAUUCUUUCUUUGACUGUUCCAUUUUGAACUACUUCAAAAUCUUGUCAAGGUAUGUACUCAUUGAAAAAAAACUUAUCAAGCGUCUUGAUCUAUCUCUAUAGAUCUUGAUGCUCAAUAUGUAAGCAGCUUCACCGAGGUUUUAUUUGAAAAGAUCCUUUCAAACACUCCUUUAUGUUUUGUAGAAUAAUUCUACAUUAUUUCCGAUCAACAAUAUGUCAUACACAUAUACUUAUCAGAAAUGCUGUAGUGCUCCCACUCACUUUCUUGUAAAUACAGGCUUCACCGCAAGUCUGUAUAAAACUAUAUGCUUUGAUCAACUUAUCAAAGUGUAUAUUCCAACUCCGAGAUGCUUGCACCAGUCCAUAGAUGGAUCGCUGGAGCUUGCAUAUUUUGUUAGCACCUUUAGGAUUGACAAAACCUUCUGGUUGCAUCAUAUACAACUCUUCUUUAAAUCCAUUAAGGAAUGUAGUUUUGUUUAUCCAUUUGCCAGAUUUCAUAAAAAUGCGGCAAUUGCUAACAUGAUUUGGACAGACUUAAGCAUCGCUACGAGUGAGAAAAAUUUCAUCAUAGUCAACACCUUGAACUUUGUGAAAAUCCUUUUUCGACAAGUCUAGCUUUGUAGAUAGUAACACUACUAUCAGCGUCCGUCUUCCUCCUGAAGACGAUUUAUUUUCUAUGGCUUACCGAUCAUCGGGAAAAUCCAUCAAAGUCCAUACUUUGUUCUCAUACAUGGAUCCUAUCUCAGAUUUCAUGGCCUCAAGCCAUUUUGCGGAAUCCGGGCUCAUCAUCGCUUCCUCACAGUUCGUAGGUUCGUCAUGGUCGAGUAGAAUGACCUCCAGAACAAGAUUACCGUACCACUCUGGUGCGGAUCUCACUCUGGUUAACCUACGAGAUUCGGUAGUAACUUGAUCUGAAGUUACAUGAUCAUCAUCAUUAGCUUCCUCACUAAUUGGUGUAGUAGUCACAGGAACAGAUUUCUGUGAUGAACUACUUUCCAAUAAGGGAGAAGGUACAAUUACCUUAUCAAGUUCUACUUUCCUCCCACUCACUUCUUUCAAGAGAAACUCCUUCUCUAGAAAGGAUCCAUUCUUAGCAAUGAAUGUCUUGCCUUCGGAUCUGUGAUAGAAGGUGUACCCAACAGUCUCCUUUGGGUAUCCUAUGAAGACAUAUUUCUCCGAUUUGGGUUUGAGCUUAUCAGGAUGAAACUUUUUCAUAUAAGCAUCACAAUCCCAAACUUUAAGAAACGACAACUUUGGUUUGUUGCCAAACCACAGUUCAGAUUUUGUCGUCUCAACGGACUUAGAUGGUGCCCCUUUUUAACGUGAAUGCAGCUGUCUCUAAUGCAUGAUCCCAAAACGAUAUUGGUAAACGGUAAGAAACAUCAUAGAUUGUACUAUAUCCAAUAAAGUACGGUUAUGACGUUCGGACACACCAUUACACUGUGGUGUUCCAGGUGGCGUGAGUAGUGAAACUAUUUCACAUUGUUUUUAACUGAAGGCCAAACUCGUAACUCAAAUAUUUUACUUCUGCGAUCAUAUCGUAGAGACUUUUAUUUUUGUUACCAUGAUCCACCACUUCAUUCUGAAAUUCUUUGAACUUUUCAAAUGUAUCAGACUUGUGUUUCAUCAAGUAGAUAUACUCAUAUCUGCUCAAAUCAUCUGUGAAGGUCAGAACAUAAUGAUACUCGAGCUUUAAUAUUCAUCGGACCACAUACAUCAGUAUGUAUGAUUUCCAACAAAUCUGUUGCUCGCUCCAUUGUUCCGGAGAACGGAGUCUUUAGUCAUCUUGCCCAUAAGGCAUGGUUCGCAAGCACCAAGUGAUUCAUAAUCAAGUGGUUCCAAAAGUCCAUCAGUAUGGAGUUUCUUCAUGUGCUUUACACCGAUAUGACCUAAACGGCAGUGCCACCAAUAAGUUGCAGUAUCAUUAUUAACUCUGCAUGUUUUGGCUUAAAUAUUAUGAAUAUGUGUAACACUACGAUCGGGAUCCAACGAACUAUUUUCAUUGGGUGUAUGACCAUCGAAGGUUUUAUUCAUGUAAACAGAACAACAAUUAUUCGCUGACUUUAAUGAAUAACCAUAUUGCAAUAAACAUGAUCAAAUCAUAUUCAUGCUCAACGCAAACACCAAAUAACACUUAUUUAGUUUCAACACUAAUCUCGAAAGUAUAGGGAGUGUGCGAUGAUGAUCAUAUCAAUCUUGGAACUACUUCCAACACACAUCGUCACCUCACCCAUUACUAGUUUCUGUUUAUUCUGCAACUCCCGUUUUGAGUUAUUACUCUUAGCAACUGAACCAGUAUCAAAUGCCGAGGGGUUGCUAUAAACACUAGUAAAGUACACAUCAAUAACACGUAUAUCCAAUAUACCUUUUUUACCUUGCCAUCCUUCUUAUCCACCAAAUACUUGGGGCAGUUCCACUUCCAGUGACCAGUCCGUUUGCAGUAGAAGCACUUAGUUUCAGGCUUAGGAUCAGACUUGGGCUUCUUCACUUGAGCAGCAACUUGCUUGCCGUUCUUCUUGAAGUUGCCCUUCUUCCCUUUGCCCUUUUCUUGAAACUAGUGGUCUUGUCAACCAUCAACACUUGAUGUUUUUCUUGAUUUCUACCUUUGUUGAUUUCAGCAUCACGAAGAGCUUGGGAGUUGUUUCCGUUAUUCCUUGCAUAUUAUAGUUCAUCACAAAGUUCUACUAACUUGGUCAUGGUGACUAGAGAACUCUUUCAAUCACUAUCUUAUCUGGAAGAUUAACUCCCACUUGAUUCAAGCGAUUGUAGUACCCAGACAAUCUGAGCACAUGCUCACUAGUUGAGCGAUUCUCCUCCAUCUUUUAGCUAUAGAACUUGUUGGAGACUUCCUAUCUCUCAACUCGGGUAUUUGCUUGAAAUAUUAACUUCAACUCCUGGAACAUCUCAUAUGGUCCAUGACGUUCAAAACGUCUUUGAAGUCCCGAUUCUAAGCCAUUAAGCAUGGUGCACUAAACUAUCAAGUAGUCAUCAUAUUGAGCUAGCCAAACAUUCAUAACGUCUGUAUCUGCUCCUGCAAUAGGUCUGUCACCUAGCGGUGCAUCAAGGACAUAAUUCUUCUGUGCAGCAAUGAGGAUAAACCUCAGAUCACGGAUCCAAUCCGCAUCAUAGCUACUAACAUCUUUCAACACAAUUUUCUCUAGGAACAUAUCAAAAUAAACACAGGGAAGCAACAACGCGAGCUAUUGAUCUACAACAUAAUUUGCAAAAUACUACCAGGACUAAGUUCAUGAUAAAUUUAAGUUCAAUUAAUCAUAUUACUUAAGAACUCCCACUUAGAUAGACAUCCCUCUAAUCCUCUAAGUGAUCACGUGAUCCAAAUCAACUAAACCAUGUCCGAUCAUCACGUGAGAUGGAGCGGUUUCAUUGGUGAACAUCACUAUGUUGAUCAUAUCUACUAUAUGAUUCACGCUCGACCUUUCGGUCUCCGUGUUCCGAGGCCAUAUCUGUAUAUGCUUGGCUCGUCAAGUAUAACCUGAGUAUUCCGCGUGUGCAACUGUUUUGCACCCGUUGUAUUUGAACGUAGAGCCUAUCACACCCGAUCAUCACAUGGUGUCUCAGCACGAAGAACUUUCGCAACGGUGCAUACUCAGGGAGAACACUUCUUGAUAAUUAGUGAGAGAUCAUCUUAAAAUUCUACCGUCAAUCAAAGCAAGAUAAGAUGCAUAAAAGAUAAACAUCACAUGCAAUCAAUAUAAGUGAUAUGAUAUGGCCAUCAUCAUCUUGUGCUUGUGAUCUCCAUCUUCGAAGCACCGUCAUGAUCACCAUCGUCACCGGCGCGACACCUUGAUCAUCAUCGUAGCAUCGUUGUCGUCUCGCCAAUCUUAUGCUUCCACGACUAUCUCUACCGCUUAGUGAUAAAGUAAAGCAUUACAGCGCAAUUGCAUUGCAUACAAUAAAGCGACAACCAUAUGGCUCCUGCCAGUUGCCGAUAACUUGGUUACAAAACAUGAUCAUCUCAUACAAUAAAAUUUUAGCAUCAUGUCUUGACCAUAUCACAUCACAACAUGCCCUGCAAAAACAAGUUAGAUGUCCUCUACUUUGUUGUUGCAAGUUUUACGUGGCUGCUAUGGGCUUAAGCAAGAACCAAUCUUACCUACGCAUCAAAACCACAACGAUAGUUUGUCAAGUUGGUGCUAUUUUAACCUUCGCAAGGACCGGGCGUAGCCACACUCGGUUCAACUAAAGUUGGAGAAACUGUCACCCGCUAGCCACCUUUGUGCAAAGCACGUCGGGAGAACUGGUCUCGCGUAAGCGUACGCGUAAUGUCGGUCCGGGCCGCUUCGUCCAACAAUACCGCCGAACCAAAGUAUGACAUGCUGGUAAGCAGUAUGACUUAUAUCGCCCACAACUCACUUGUGUUCUACUCGUGCAUAUAACAUCAACACAUAAAACCUAGGCUCGGAUGCCACUAUUGAGGAACAUAGUAAUUUCAAAAAAAUUCCUACGCACACGCAAGAUCAUGAUGAUGCAUAGCAACGAGAGGGGAGAGUGUUGUCUACGUACCCUCGUAGACCGUUCGCGGAAGUGUUAUAUCAACGCGGUUGAUGUAGUCAUACGUCUUCAUGUCCGACCGAUCCAAGUACCAAAAGCACGGCACCUCCGAGUUCUGCACACGUUCGGCUUGGUGACGUCAUCGCCUUCUCGAUCCAGCAAGAGGGGCGAAGUAGUAGAUGAGUUCCGGCAGCACGACGGCAUGGUGACGGUGUUGGUGAAGAACAAUCUCCGCAGGGCUUCGCCUAAGCACUACGAAAACUAUGACUGAGGAUAAACUAGAGGGGACGGGGUUGCCGGCACACGGCUUGGUGUUUCUUGAUGUGUCUUUGGUGCUAGCCCUGCCCCUCUAUUUAUAUGUUGAGCCCUGGGGUCGAAACUUGGAGUAAAAGCCUCCACAAAGUCGGUUUCACCCGAAAGGCAAGAGUCCUUCUCGGACUCCAGGGCCAGAUGCUAGGGUUCCCGGUGUUUGGACCUAGACGCCAGGGACCCUGGCGUCUGGCCCCUGGACUCCGCAAAACUUCCUUUUUUGCGCUUUCCAAAAACCUUGUGGGCUUUCCCCUUUGGCCCAAAUAAAGUGUUCUCGUACCCAAACAUUUCGGGAAACAUCCGAAACCCCUUCCAGUGAUUUCCAGAACCCUUCCGGUGACCAAACACUAUUAUCCCAUAUAUCAAACUUUGUCUCCGGACCAUUCCGGAGUUCCUCGUCAUGUCCGUGAUCUCAUCCCAGAUUCUGAACAACAUUCGGUCACCAACAUACAUAACUCACAUAGUACUAUAUCGUCAACGAACGUUAAGCGUACGGACCCUACGGGUUCGAGAACUAUGUAGACAUGACCGAGACACCUCUCUAGUCAAUAACCAAUAGCGGGACCUGGAUGCCCAUAUUGGCUCCUACAUAUUCUACGAAGAUCUUUAUCGAUUAGACCACAUAACAACAUACGUUGUUCCCUUUGUCAUCGGUAUGUUACUUGCCCGAGAUUCGAUCGUCGGUAUCUCAAUACCUAGUUCAAUCUCGUUACCGGCAAGUCUCUUUACUCGUUUCGUAAUACAUCAUCUCGCAACUAACUCAUUAGUUGCAAUGCUUGCAAGGCUUAUGUGAUGUGCAUUACCGAGAGGGCCCAGAGAUACCUCUCCGACAAUCGGAGUGACAAAUCCUAAUCUCGAAAUACGCCAACCCAACAUGUACCUUUGGAGACACCUAUAGAGCUCCUUUAUAAUAACCUAGUUACAUUGUGACGUUUGGUAGCACACAAAGUGUUCCUCCGGUAAACGGAAGUUGCAUAAUCUCAUAGUCAUAGGAACAUGUAUAAGUCAUGAAGAAAGCAAUAGAAACAUACUAAACGAUCGAGUGCUAAGCUAACAGAAUGGGUCAAGUCAAUCACAUCAUUCUCCUAAUGAUGUGAUCCCGUUAAUCAAAUAACAACACUUUGUCUAUGGUUAGGAAACAUAACCAUCUUUGAUUAACGAGCUAGUCAAGUAGAGGCAUACUAGUGACCCUCUGUUUGUCUAUGUAUUCACACAUGUAUUAUGUUUCCGGUUAAUACAAUUCUAGCAUGAAUAAUAAACAUUUAUCAUGAAAUAAGGAAAUAAAUAAUAACUUUAUUAUUGCCUCUAGGGAAUAUUUCCUUCAUCAUGAGCUAGGUCUAUGCGUAGUUUCUAUGCACGAGUAGAACACAAAGAAGUUGUGGGCGUCGAUAUUGUCAAUUUACUUGCCGUUACUAGUCUUAUCUUGAUUCGGCGGCAUCGUGGGAUGAAGCGGCCCGGACCGACCUUACACAUACUCUUACGUGAGACUGGUUCCACCGACUGACAUGCACUAGUUGCAUAAGGUGGCUAGCGGGUGUCUGUCUCUCCCACUUUAGUCGGAUCGGAUUCGAUGAAAAGGGUCCUUAUGAAGGGUAAAUAGAAAUUGGCAUAUCACGUUGUGGUAUUGGCGUAGGUAAGAAACGUUCUUGCUAGAAACCUAUAGCAGCCACGUAAAAACUUGCAGCAACAAUUAGAGGAUGUCUAACUUGUUUUUGCAGCAUGUGCCUUGUGAUGUGAUAUGGCCAAAAGGAUGUGAUGAAUGAUAUAUGUGAUGUAUGAGAUUGAUCAUGUUCUUGUAAUAGGAAUCACGACUUGCAUGUCGAUGAGUAUGACAACCGGAAGGAGCCAUAGGAGUUGUCUUAAUUUAUUUAUGACCUGCGUGUCAACAUAAACGUCAUGUAAUUACUUUACUUUAUUUCUAAAGCGUUAGCCAUAGUAGUAGAAGUAAUAGAUGAUGAGACAACUUCAAGAAGACACGAUGAUGGAGAUCAUGAUGAUGGAGAUCAUGGUGUCAUGCCGGUGACAACGAUGAUCAUGGAGCCCCAAAGAUGGAGAUCAAAAGGAGCAAAAUGAUAUUGGCCAUAUCAUGUCACUAUUUGAUUGCAUGUGAUGUUUAUCAUGUUUUACAUCUUAUUUGCUUAGAACGAUGGUAGCUUAAAUAAGAUGAUCCCUCACUAAAAUUUCAAGAAAAGUGUUCCCCCUAACUGUGCACCAUUGCGAAGGUUCGUUGUUUCGAAGCACCACGUGAUGAUCGGGUGUGAUAGAUUCUAACGUUUGAAUACAACAGGUGUUGACGAGCCUAGCAUGUACAGACGUGGCCUCGGGACACACGCAAUACACUUAGGUUGACUUGACGAGCCUAGCAUGUACAGACAUGGCCUCGAAACACGGAAGACCGAAAGGUCGAGCAUGAGUCGUAUAGAAGAUAUGAUCAACAUGUAGAUGUUCACCGAUGUUGACUGGUCCGUCUCAUGUGAUGAUCGGACACGGCCUAGUUGACUCGGAUCAUGUUUCACUUAGAUGACUAGAGGGAUGUCUAUCUGAGUGGGAGUUCAUUAAAUAAUUUGAUUAGAUGAACUUAAUUAUCAUGAACAUAGUUUGAAUUGUCUUCGCAAAUAUGUUGUAGAUAAAUAGCUCACGUUGUAUCUCCCUGUUUCAAUACGUUCCUAGAGAAAGAUUAAGUUGAAAGAUAUUGUAAGCAAUGAUGCGGACUAGGUCCGUAGUCCGAGGAGUGUCCUCACUGCUACACAAAAGACUUACAUCUUUGAUGCAUCGCUCGAUGUGCAAACCCCUACAACAUCGUCUGUGGAUGUUGUGAACACCUGACAGACACAUCCUGAUGACUACUUGAUAGUUUAGUGCACCAUACUUUAUGGCUUAGAAUCGGGAUUCCAAUGACAUUUUGAACGCCAUAGAACAUAUGAGAUGUUCCAAGAGCUGAAGUUGGGAUUUCAGGCUCAUGCCCGUGUUGAGAUGUGUGAGAUCUCUGACAAGUUCUUUUGCCAACAAGAUGGAGGAGAAUAGCUCAACUAGUGAGCAUGUGCUAAGAAUGUCUGGGUGCUACAAUCACUUAAAUCAUGUGGGAGUUAAACUUCCAGAUAAGAUAGUGAUUGAUAGAGUUCUCUAGCCACUAUCACUAAGCUACUAGAUCUUCGUGAUGAACUAUGACAUGCAAGGGAUGGAGUUGAUCCCGGAGCUGUUUGCGGUGCUUAAGACCGCAAAAGGUAGAAAUCAAGAAGGAGCAUCAAGUGUUGAUGGUUUAACAAGACCACUGGUUUCAAGAAGGGCAAGGGCUAGAAGGGAAACUUCAUAUGGAUGGCAAACCAGUUGCCGCUCCAGUGAAGGAACCCAAGGUUGAACCCAAACCCGAGACUAAGUGCUUCUAUUGUAAGGGGAACGGUCACUAGUAGCGGAAUUACCCCAAAUGCAUGGUAGAUAAAAGGCUGGCAACUUCAACAAAGUAUAUACGUGUUAUUAAUGUGUACCUCACUAGUACUCCUAGUAGCACCUGGGUAUUGGAUACCGGUUCAGUUACUAUUAUUGGUGACUUGAAGCAAAAGCUACGGACUAAACGGAUUCUGGCUCAGGGCGAGGUGACGAUGUGUGUUGGAAGUGUUUCCGAAAUUGAUGAGAUCACCAUUGCACGCUCCAUCUGCCUUCGGGAUUAGUAUUGAACCUAGAUAAAUGUUAUCAGGUGUCUACGUUGAGCAUGAAUAUGAUUAGAUCAUAUUCAUUGCAAUACGGUCAUUCAUUUAAGUUAGAGAAUAAUGGUUAUUAUAUUUACAUGAAUGAUACCUUUCAUGGUCAUGCACCCUAUGUGAAUGGUUCAUUGAAUCUCGGUCGUGGUAAUACACAUGUUCACGCCAAAAGAUGUAGAGUUAAUAAUGAUAGUACCACUUUCUUGUGGCACUGCCGCUUAGGUCAUAUUGGCGUAAGAUGCAUGAAGAAACUCCAUAUCGAUGGAUGUUUGUAGUCACUUGAUUUUGAAUCACUUGACACAUGCGAGCCAUGCCUCAUGGGCAGGAUGACUAAGACCCCGUUUUCAGGUACAAUGAAACGGGCAAGUGACUUGUUGGAAAUCAUACAUGCAGAUGUGUGUGAUCCAAUGAGAAUUGGAGCGUGCGGUGGAUAUCGCUAUUUUCUCAUCUUCACUGACGAUUUGAGUAGAUAUAGGUAUAUUUACUUAAUAAAGCACAAGUCUGAAACGUUUGAAAAGUUCAAGCGAUUUCAGGGUGAAGUUAAGAAUCAUCAUAACAAUAAGAUCAUGUUCCUACGAUCUGAUCAAAAGGGGAUUUUCUGAGUUAUGAGUUUGGCAAUCACUUAAGACAUUGUGGAAUUGUUUCACAGUUGAAGCCACCUGGAACACCACAAGGUAAUGGUGUGUCCGGACGUCGUAAUCGAACCCUGUGAGAUAUGGUGCGAUCUAUGAUGUCUCUUACCAAUCUACCGUUUUCGUUUUGAGGUUAUGCGUUAGAGACAGCUGCAUUCACUUUAGAUAGGACACCAUCUAAGUACGUUGAGACAACGUCAUAUGAACAUUGGUUUGGCAAGAAACCAAAGUUGUCGUUUCUUAAAUGUUUGGGGCUGCGAUGCUUAAGGCUUCAGCCAGAGAAGCUCGAACCCAAAACGAACAAAGACAUCUUCAUAGGGUACCCAAAGGUGACAGUUGGGUAUACCUUCUAUCUCAGAUCCGAGGGCAAAUUGUUUGUCGCUAAGAAUGGGUCCUUUCUCGAGAAGGAGUUUAUCUCGAAAGAAUUGAGUGGGAGGAAGAUAGAACUUGAUGAGGUUGUCGAACCUUUACUUCAACCAGAGAGUGAUGCAACACAGAAAGAUGUUUUCUGUGGCGCCUACAUCUAUUGAAUAGGAAGUUAAUGAUAGUGAUCAUAAAGCUUCAGAUCAAGUUGCUAUCGAACCUCGUAGGUCGACAAGGAUAUGUACUACUCCUAAGUGGUACGGUAAUCCUGUCUUAGAUAUCAUGUUGUUAGACAACAAUAAACCUACGAGCUAUGGAGAAGCGAUGGUGGGCCCGUAUUCCGACAAAUGGUUAGAAGCCAUGAAAUCUAAGAUAGGAUCCAUAUAUUAGAACAAAGUAUGGACUUUGGUGGACUUGCCCGAUGAUCGGCAAGCCAUUGAGAUAAAUGGAUCUUUAAGAAGAAGACGGACGUGGGCGGUAAUGUUACCGUCUAUGAAGCUCGACUUGUGGGAAAGAGUCUUUUCAUAAGUUCAAGGAGUUGACUACGAUGAGAAUUUCUCACCCGUAGCGAUGCUUAAGUCCGUCGGAAUCAUGUUAGCAUUAGCUGUAUUUUUCGAUUAUGAAAUCUUACAGAUGGAUGUCAAAACAAGUUUUCUUACUAGUUUUCGUAAGAAAAGUUGUAUGUGAUACAAUAGAAGGUUUUGACGAUCCUAAGGAUGCUAAAAAGUAUGCUGGCUCUAGCAAUCCUUCUAUGGACUAGAGCAAGCAUCUCGGAAUCGGAAUAUAUGUUUUGAUGGAGUGAUCAAAGCUUUUAAGUUUAUACAAUGUUUGCUAGAAACUUGUAUUUACAAGAAAGUGAGUGGGAGCACUACAAAAUUUCUGAUAAGUAUAUGUGGAUGACAUAUUGUUGAUCCGAAAUAAUGUAGAAUUUCUGGAAAGCAUAAAUGGUUGUUUGAAGAGUACUUUUUCAAAGGAAGACCUGGAUAAAGCUGCUUACAUAUUGGGCAUCAAGAUCUAUAGAGAUAGAUCAAGACGCCUGAUGGUACUUUCAAAGAACACACACCUUGACAUGUUUUUGAAGGAGUUCAAAAUAUAUCAGUCAAAGAAGGGGUUCUUACCUGAGUUGUAAGGUGUGAAGUUGAGUAAGACUCAAAGCUUGACCACGGCAGAAGAAAGAGGAAGGACGAAGGUCAUCCCCUAUGCUUUUGUCAUAGGCUCUAUACGGUAUGCCAUGCUGAAGUACCGCACCUGAUGUGUGCCUUGCCACAAGUCUGGCAAGAGGGUACAAAGGUGAUCUAGGAGUAGAUCACCAGAUAGCGGUCAAAAUCAUCCUUAGAGGAAUAAGGAAAUGUUUCUCGGUUAUGGAGGUGAUAAAGAGUUCGACAUAAAGAGUUACGUCGAUGCAAGCUUAACUCCUAUCCGGAUAGCUCUGAGUAGAGAUACCGGAUAUGUAUAAUGGAGCAAUAAUUUGGAAUAGCUCCAAGUGGGACGUGGUAGCAGCAUCUACGAUGUAAAGUUUUGCGAAAUACAUAGGGAUCUGAAUAUGGCAAGACCCGUUGACUACAACCUCUCUCACAAGCAUAACAUGAUCAAACCCAGAACUCUUUGAGUGUUUAUCACAUAGUGAUGUGAACUAGAUCACUGAGUCUAGUAGACUCUUGGAUGUUGGUCACAUGGCGAUGUGACCUGUGAGUGUUAAUCACAUGGCGAUGUGAACUAGAUUAUUGACUCUAGUGCAAGUGGGAGACUGUUGGAAAUAUGCCCUAGAGGCAAUAAUAAAUUGGUUAUUAUUAUAUUUCCUUGUUCAUGAUAAUCGUUUAUUAUCCAUGCUAGAAUUGUAUUGAUAGGAAACUCAGAUACAUGUGUGGAUACAUAGACAACACCAUGUCCCUAGUAAGCCUCUAGUUGACUAGCUUGUUGAUCAAUAGAUGGUUACGGUUUCAUGACCAUGGACAUUGGAUGUCGUUGAUAACGGGAUCACAUCAUUAGGAGAAUGAUGUGAUGGACAAGACCCAAUCCUAAGCCUAGCACAAAGAUCGUGUAGUUCGUAUGCUAAAGCUUUUCUAAUGUCAAGUAUCAUUUCCUUAGACCAUGAGAUUGUGCAAGUCCCGGAUGCCGUAGGAGUGCUUUGGGUGUGCCAAACAUCAAAACGUAACUGGGUGGCUAUAAAGGUACACUACAGGUAUCUCCGAAAGUGUCUGUUGGGUUGGCACAAAUCGAGACUGGGAUUUGUCACUCCGUGUAAACGGAGAGGUAUCUCUGGGCCCACUCGGUAUGACAUCAUCAUAAUGUGCACAAUGUGACCAAGGAGUUGAUCACAUGAUGAUGUGUUACGGAACGAGUAAAAGAGACUUGCCGGUAACGAGAUUGAACCAGGUAUCGGGAUACCAACGAUCGAAUCUCGGGCAAGUAUCGUACCGCUAGACAAAGGGAAUUGUAUACAGGAUUGAUUGAAUCCUUGACAUCGUGGUUCAUCCGAUGAAAUCAUCGUGGAGCAUGUGGGAGACAACAUGGGUAUCCAGAUCCCGCUGUUGGUUAUUGACCGGAGAGUUGUCUCGGCCAUGUCUGCAUGACUCCUGAGCCUGUAGGGUCUACACACUUAAGGUUCGAUGAUGCUAGGGUUAUAGGGAAUAGAUGUACGUGGUUACUGAAUGUUGUUCGGAGUCCCGGAUGAGAUCCCGAACGUCACGAGGAGUUCCGGAAUGGUCCGGAGGUAAAGAAUUAUAUAUGUGAAGUCCUAUUUUGGUCGCCGGAAAAGUUUCGGGUUUAUCGGUAAUGUACCGGGACCACCGGGAGGGUCCCGGUGGUCCACCAAGUGGGGCCAGCAGCCCCGGAGGGCUGCAUGGGCCAAGUGUGGGAGGGGACCAGCCCCAGGUGGGCUGGUGCGCCCCCCCCACAAGGGCCCAAGGCGCCUAGGGUUUGGGGAGGGGGCGCCUCCACCUAGCUUGGGGGGCAAGUUUCCCCCUCUCCCCCCCUUUGGCCGCCACCCUAGAUGGGUUUGGGGCUGCCGCACCCCUUGGGGUGGAAACCCUAAAGGGGGAGUACCCCCUCCCUCUCCCCUAUAUAUACUUGAGGACUUUGGGGCUGCCAACACAUGAGUUUUGACCUCUCCCUGGUGCAGCCCUACCUCUCUCCCUCCUCGUCUCUUGCGAUGCUUGGCGAAGCCCUGCUGGAGUACCAUGCUCCUCCACCACCACCACGCCGUCGUGCUGCUGCUGGACGGAGUCUUCCUCACCCCCCCUCUCUCCUUGCUGGAUCAAGGCAUGGGAGACGUCACCGGGCUGCAUGUGUGUUGAACGCGGAGGUGCCGUCCGUUCGGCACUAGGAUCAUCGGUGAUUUGGAUCACGGCAAGUAUGACUCCAUCAACCCCAUUCACUUGAACGCUUCCGCUUAGCGAUCUACAAGGGUAUGUAGAUGCACUCUCCUUCCCCUCGUUGCUAGAUUACUCCAUAUAUUGAUCUUGGUGAUGUGUAGAAAAUUUUGAAUUUCUGCUACGAUCCCCAACACUUCUCAUGUUUGAAUCAGAAAAAAUACUUGUAACAGCAACAUGCAUUAGUCCCCAAGUGCCAAGUAUCUUUGCUUGCAAAGUUCUUGGGACUUACUGUCAUGAACUGCCACUGUAAGCAAAAUUCUUCAGCAUACAUUAGCCCCCAAGUGCCAAGUAUCUUUGCUGGCAAAAUGCUUUGGGACUUAAUAAUGCAUCAUGAUAAUCCUGAUUUUGACCCGGUAUUUGUACAGGCCACCAAUAGUCAAUUUGAAUCGGAAAUAUCUGACUUGAAGAAUCGCCUGGAAGCAUAGGAGACUGAAACCCAAAAAGCCAACUCCAAAUUGGAGUUCAACGUAUCUGAACAAGAAAAACUGAAAAAAGGCUUUGAAGUGGAGAAGAAGGCCUGGGCUGAUGAAAAGAUCGCCUUGAUCAACCGGGCUGAGAAGGCAGAGGCGACUCUUGCAGAAGCAACCGCCGAAUUAUCCGGUUUAAAACGCCAUAUAUCUCAGAUGGUCUCAACAAUCUUUGGUAAGUCACUCUGCAAGUGUUAGACAUUUGAAUCUUUCUAAUAAGCAUAUCAAUUGUCAUCAACUCACCUGACAUUGGAAUGCAAGCCCCCGGAGCUCAAAUCUUGACCAGAGCAUGCUGAUAAAGCUAAAGGCGGUUUACACGCUGGUGGGGCAACUCUACACCGGGUCUUAGCGUGCCUUAGCCGCAGUGGCCCUGUCGAAUGAAGUUCCCACCCUCCUGUCGGAUGUAUUAAAGUGGCUUGCUGUGCUACCUCAGCGGUUUAAUGAACUAAGGCGAUCUUCUGCGAGAGCCGGAGUCGUAGCUGCAUUAAGCCGAGCCAAGGCGUGGCUACCGGAGCUAGACCCGGCCGAUAUCGCCAUUGGGUAUCCAACCCUAAAGGAGGACAACACACCUUUUGGACAUGAGGACUUCACCAUUGUGUUAAGGAGAUACGCCCUAUGGCCACCCUGAUUGCUGAUGACACGGAUCUUACCAAGUAUCAUCCGGGUUAUGAUGCCGAAAAUCAGAGGAUUCCAACGCCGCAUUAUGAAGUGAUCAGUCUGAUCCCUCCAAUUCGUAAGCAUACCUUCACCCCUGAAGUUGACUCGGCCGGAUUAAUUGAUGAUGAAGCUGAAUUUGAAGCUUUGAAUGGCAUUGACUGGUCAUCAUCAACCUUCUAGGAUAGGGAACAAGAUGGAGGAGCGGAAAGGGAUGAUCCGGAAGCUUCAGGACACCAACGCAAUUGAUCCGUCGGGCGGCUCAUAUUUAUGAUUUGCUGAAAAACAAUGUUAAUCAUUUGGACUCGGGGAGUCAUGUAAUAGGGUAGAAAAAACACUUGGUUUUAUCGUGCCAUCGUGCACGUGUUUGGUGCUCAACACUGUUUAAGCCGCCAUGUUAUAUUCACCCGUGUUAUACUUAUCAUCUGUUUUCCUUACGCUGAAGAACGCUUUUAAACUGUCCUGCAUAUAGGAAUAAAUCACAAGACCCUUGGCGGCUUACCGCAGGGCGGGUUAUAUAUCAUACAUAAAACCCGGAACAUGAAAAAGAAUCAUAGAUAAACUUGUUACCCAUUAUAACUACAUAACUAUAAUAUCAUACCUGUGAUCCUUUAACUUGUACUGCCGGUUUAUAUAACCCGAACAAUAAGGGUGAUGACCCAAUCCUGCAGAAACCAGUGCUUCCACAUAGAUGAUGAUUGUCAUAAGCUGACGACUUAUCGUCUAAAGUCAAUCCAGCUUAAAUAUAAACCACUCAUAUAUACUAUAGAUAUGAUCAAAAAGGCCUUAAGUAAAAUCCAAAAUAUCGUUUGCAAAAAUACUUAAAAAAAUUGGGCUUCUGAUUCGAAUAUGAUCAGAAAACCAUUCCAAAGGGGUUAAGCUAAGAUUCAAAUACGAUCAUAUAGCCCCCAGUGGCUUUGGCGUUGCGUCGAUCAAGAGGGUACCGGCAGCUAUGUUAUCUUUGGUUCAAAUACGACCUAUGUUUGAACAGGAAGCCCCCAAAUGACCUUGAGAGGUUUUUAACGACCCUGAUUCGAAUACAAUCCAAGUUGGACCCAAAGGGGUUGAGCUAUGAUUCAAAUACGAUCAAGAAGCCCCCUAGUGGGUUUGGCAGUGUGCCAAUCAAAAGGGUACCGACAACUAUGUUCUCUUUGGUUCGAAUACGACCUAUGUUUGAACAGGAAGCCCCCUAGUGAUCGUGAUGUUUUAACGGCUAGAUUCUAAUACGAUCAUGAGCCGGAUCAAAAGGAGAGCUAGAUUCAAAUAUGAUCAGCCCCCUGUUGGUCAUUUUUAAAGACAUAACAAUGAAGACAUAAUAACUUUGAGGAUGAAAAGGACAGAGGUCCUGCUUUAUUACUUAACAUAAUAUAUACAUCGUCAAAAUAUGUACAUCAUGAGAGCCGGUGGCUCAAGUGUAGUAAGGCCGAAGAUGAGCAAUAUUCGACGGCCGACGGGUCUCCUCCUCCGACUUACGUGAGUCUUUGUGCUCUCGAACAUCGAUAAGAUAGUAUGACCCAUUGUUCAAGUUCUUGCUGACCACAAAGGGUCCUUCCCAAGGUGGGGAUAGCUUGUGCGCAUCAGACUGAUCCUGGAUGAGCUAGAGCACCAAGUCACCUUCCUGAAAGGUUCUGGACUUAACCCGGCGGCUGUGAUAACGGCGCAAGUCCUGUUGGUAAAUCGCCGAGCGGGCUGCUGCUAAGUCGCGCUUCUCAUCUAACAGGUCAAGUGCAUCCUGAUGGGCUUGCUCAUUAUUAGCUUCAACGUAAGCCUCCACACGGGGCGAGUCAUGACGGAUGUCACUCGGUAGAACCGCCUCUGCUCCGUAAACCAUGAAGAAAGGUGUAUAACCCGUAUAUUUGUUAGGUGUAGUAUUGAUGCUCCAUAUCACAGAAGGCAACUCUUCUAUCCAACAACCCGACGUCUGCUGCAAAGGAACCAUAAGCCGGGGCCUGAUGCCUUUCAAGAUUUCCUGAUUGGCUCUUUCAGCCUGCCCAUUGGAUUGGGGGUGAGCUACUGAUAAAACAUCAAGCCGGAUAUGCUCACGUUGACAGAACUCCUCCAUGGCACCCUUGGACAGAUUAGUACCAUUGUCAGUUAUAAUACUGUGUGAAAAACCAAAGCGAAAGAUCACCUUUUUCAUGAAUUGAACCGUUGUGGCUGCAUCACACUUACUGACUGGCUCUGCCUCAACCCACUUUGUGAAUUUGUCAACCGCCACCAAGAGGUGGGUCUUUUGUCUUUGGACCUUUUGAAAGGCCCAACCAUGUUGAGCCCCUAGACUGCAAACGGCCAAGUAAUUGGAAUCAUCCGCAAUUCUUGAGCCGGUACAUGAGCCCGUCGUGAGAAUUUCUAACAACCGUCACAUUUACUGACCAGAUCUUCCGCGUCAGCAUGAGCCGUCAGCCAAUAAAAUCCAUGACGAAAAGCCUUGGCCACAAGGGAUUUUGAACCAGCAUGAUGGCCACAAUCUCCUUCAUGAAUCUCACGAAGAAUUUCUUGACCCUCCUCAGGAGAGACACAACGUUGAAACGCCCCAGUGACACUGCGGUGAUGUAACUCCCCAUUGGCAAUCGUCAUUGACUUAGACCGCCUGGUUAUCUGCCUAGCCAAGGUUUCGUCCUCCGGCAACUCGCCCCGGGUCAUGUAAGCCAAAUAUGGCACUGUCCAAUCUGGGAUAACGUGAAGAGCCGCCACCAAUUGUGCUUCCGGGUCAGGAACAACCAAGUCUUCCUCUAUAGGCAACUUGACAGAAGGGUUAUGCAAUACAUCCAAAAAGGUGUUAGGUGGCACCGGCUUGCGCUGAGACCCCAGCCGAUUUAAAGCAUCGGCUGCCUCGUUCUUUCUGCGAUCAAUGUGUUCCAUCUGGUAACCCUUAAAGUGUCCAGCAAUUGCGUCAACUUCAUGAUGAUAAGCCGCCAUGAGAGGAUCUUUAGAAACCCACUUGCCUGAGACUUGUUGAGCCACCAAAUCUAAGUUGCCAAAGCACCUUACCCAGCUCAAGUUCAUCUCCUUAGACAUCCGAAGACCAUGGAGCAAGGCCUCAUACUCAGCUGCAUUGUUAGUACAGGGAAACAUCAACCGGAGUACAUAACAGAAUUUAUCAUCUUGAGGGGAAGCUAAAACAACUCCAGCCCCCGAGCCCUCCAAUUGCCUGGACCCAUCAAAGUGAAUAGUCCAAUAUGUGUUGUUCGGCUUCUCUUCAGGCAUCUGCAACUCUGUCCAAUCAUUCAUGAAGUCCACCAGUGCUUGGGAUUUAAUAGCAGUGUGUGGCACAUACUUUAAGCCAUGAGGCCCAAGUUCAAUGGCCCACUUGGCGACUCGUCCUGUGGCUUCUCUAUUCUGAAUGAUAUCUCCCAAAGGAGCAGAACUUACCACAGUGAUGGGGUGACCCUGGAAGUAUUGCUUAAGCUUCUGGCUUGCCAUGAACACCACGUAAACGAGCUUCUGCCAAUGUGGAUAUCUUUGCUUGGACUCAAUAAGCACCUCACUGAUGUAGUAAACCGACCAUUGAACCGGAUGCUCCUUGCCAGCCUCUUUGCGCUCCACCACAAUUGCAACACUGACAACACAUGUGUUAGCAGCCACAUAUAGCAAUAAGGGCUCCUUACAAUGGGAGCAGCAAGGACUGGCGGCUUAGAUAACUGUCUCUUCAAAUCUUCAAAGGCAGUGUUAGCAGCAUCACUCCAGACAAAGUUGUCUGUCUUCUUCAUCAUCUGAUACAGCGUUAUGGCCUUCUCACCUAACCGGCUUAAAGCAGCAAUACAACCCGCCAGUCGCUGAACAUCAUUGACGCAUGCCGGCUUAGCCAAAGAGGUGGUUGCCUUGAUCUUCUCCGGGUUAGCCUCAAUACCUCUGUUACAAACCAGAAAACCCAAAAGUUUACCUGCUGGCACUCCAAACACGCACUUUGUCGGGUUAAGCAUCAUCUUAUAAACCCGGAGAUUAUAAAAAGUUUCUUUCAGAUCAUCUAUCAAGGUCUCCUUCUCUCUGGACUUCACCACAAUGUCAUCCACAUAAGCAUGAACAUUACGCCCAAUCUAAUUAUGGAGACAAUUCUGCACACAUCGCUGAUAAGUCGCCUGGGAACUUUUAAGCCCAAAAGGCAUAGACCCAUAACAGAAGGCUCCAAACGUAGUGAUGAAAGCUGUCUUCUCCUGGUCCUUAACUGCCAUCUUGAUCUGAUGAUAACCAGAAUAAGCAUCCAAAAAGCUCAAACGCUCACAACCCGCCGUAGCAUCAAUGAUCUGAUCAAUACGGGGGAGAGCAAAAGGAUCAGCCGGACAAGCCUUGUUUAAGUCCGUGUACUCCACACACAUAUGCCAGGCGCCGUUCUUUUUAAAUACAAGCACCGGGUUAGCCAAUCACUCCGAGUGAAAAACUUCAACAAUAAACCCGACCGCCAAGAGCCGGGCCACCUCCUCACCAAUAGCUUUACGCCUCUCCUCAUUAAACCGCCGAAGAAAUUGCCUGACCGGCUUAAACUUUGGAUCAAUAUUAAGAGUGUGCUCAACGAGUUCUCUCGGUACACCCGACAUGUUAGAAGGUUUCCAUGCAAAGAUGUCCCGGUUCUCACGAAUGAACUCGAUGAGCGUGCUUUCCUAUUUGGGAUCCAGAUUGGCACUGAUACUGAACUGCUUAGAUGAGUCGCUGGAACAAAAUCAACAAGCUUGGUGUCAUUGGCCGGCUUAAAUUUCAUCACCGGCUCAUGCUCCGUGGUUGGCUUCUUCAGUGACGUCAUGUCCGCCGGGUCAACAUUGUCCUUAUAUAACUUCAACUCCUCUGCUACACAGACAGAUUCAGCAUAAGCAGCAUCACCUUCCUCACAUUCUAAAGCUAUCUUCCGACUCCCAUGGACUGUGAUAGUGCCCUUGUGACCCGGCAUCUUGAGCUGCAAGUAAACAUAACAUGGCCGCGCCAUGAAUUUGGCAUAAGCCGGCCGUCCAAACAGGGCGUGAUAUGGGCUCUUGAUGUUGACCACUUCAAUGGUUAAUUUCUUAGCCCUAGAAUCAUGCUCAUCUCCGAAGGCUACCUCCAGUUCAAUCUUACCAACUGGGUAUGCUGACUUACCAGGCACCACUCCAUGGAAAACAGUGUUAGAUGUCUUAAGAUUCUUAUCUGUCAACCCCAUACGACGAAAGGUCUCAUUAUAGAGGAUGUUGAUGCUGCUGCCUCCAUCCAUGAGUAACUUAGUGAAUUUAUAUCCACCAACCUGAGGUGCCACUACCAGAGCCAACUGACCCGGAUUGUCAACCCGAGGAGGGUGAUCUUCCCUGCUCCACACAAAAGGUGCUACCUCUUGAGCACUGAGUUGGAUUUCCUUAAAGAGGAAAGGAUGAUGCAUCAAAGUAGCGUAAGUAUUUCCCUUAGUUUUUGAGAAACAAGGUAUCAAUCUAGUAGGAGGCUAUGCGCGAGUCCCUCGUACCUGCACAAAACAAAUAACUCCUCGCAACCAACGCGAUAAGGGGUUGUCAAUCCCUUCACGGUCACUUACGAGAGUGAGAUCUGAUAGAUAUGAUAAGAUAAUAUUUUUGGUAUUUUCGUGAUAAAGAUGCAAAGUAAAAUAAAAGCAAAGUAAAAAUAAAAGGAAAUAACUAAGUAUUGGAAGAUUAAUAUGAUGAAGAUAGACCCGGGGGUCAUAGGUUUCACUAGUGGCUUCUCUCAAGAGCAUAAGUUUUUUACGGUGGGUGAACGAAUUACUAUUGAGCAAUUGACAGAAUUGAGCAUAGUUAUGAGAAUAUCUAGGUAUGAUCAUGUAUAUAGGCAUCACGUCCGAGACAAGUAGACCGACUCCUGCCUGCAUCUACUACUAUUACUCCACUCAUCGACCGCUAUCCAGCAUGCAUCUAGAGUAUUAAGUUCAUGAAAACAGAGUAACGCUUUAAGCAAGAUGACAUGAUGUAGAGGGAUAAAUUCAUGCAAUAUGGUAAAAAAACCAUCUUGUUAUCCUCGAUGGAAACAAUACAAUACGUGCCUUGCUGCCUCUACUGUCACUGGGAAAGGACACUGCAAGAUUGAACCCAAAGCUAAGCACUUCUCCCAUUGCAAGAAAGAUCAAUCUAGUAGGCCAAACCAAACUGAUAAUUCGAAGAGACUUGCAAAGAUAACCAAUAAUACAUAAAAAAAAUUCAGAGAAGAUUCAAAUAUUGUUCAUAGAUAAUCUUGAUCAUAAACCCACAAUUCAUUGGUCUCAACAAACACACCGCAAAAAGAAGAUUACAUCGAAUAGAUCUCCACAAGAGAGGGGGAGAACAUUGUAUUGAGAUCCAAAAAGAGAGAAGAAGCCAUCUAGCUAAUAACUAUGGACCCGAAGGUCUGAGGUAAACUACUCACACUUCAUCGAAGAGGCUAUGGUGUUGAUGUAGAAGCCCUCCAUGAUGGAUGCCCCCUCCGGCGGAGCUCCGGAACAGGCCCCAAGAUGGGAUCUCGUGGAUACAGAAGGUUGCGGCGGUGGAAUUAGGUUUUUUGCUCCGUAUCUAAUCAUUUGGGGGUACGUAUGUAUAUAUAGGAGGAAGGAGUACGUCGGUGGAGCAACAGGGGGCCCACGAGGGUGGAGGGCGUGCCUGGGGGUGGGGUGGGGUGGGGGGGUAGGCGCGCCCCCUACCUCGUGGCCUCCUCCUUUGUUUCUUGAUGUAGGGUCCAAGUCACCUGGAUCAUGUUCGUUCCGAAAAUCACGUUCUCGAAGGUUUCAUUCCGUUUGGACUCCGUUUGAUAUUCCUUUUCUGUGAAACCCUAAAAUAGGCAAAAAAACAACAAUUCUGGGUUGGGCCUCCGGUUAAUAGGUUAGUCCCAAAAGUAAUAUAAAAGUGGAUAAUAAAGCCCAAUAAUGUCCAAAACAGUAGAUAAUAUAGCAUGGAGCAAUCAAAAAUUGUAGAUAUGUUGGAGACGUAUUAAGCAUCCCCAAGCUUAAUUCCUACUCAUCCUCGAGUAGGUAAAUGAUAAAAAAGAUAAUUUUUGAUGUGAAGUGCUACUUGGCAUAAUUUUAAUGUAAUUCUUCUUAAUUGUGGUAUGAAUAUUCAGAUCCGAAAGAUUCAAGAUAAAAGUUUAAUAUUGACAUAAAAAUAAUAACACUUCAAUCAUACUAACAAAGCAAUCAUGUCUUCUCAAAAUAACAUGGCCAAAGAAAGCUAUCCCUACAAAAUCAUAUAGUCUGGCUAUGCUCUAUCUUCACCACACAAAGUAUUUAAAUCAUGAACAACCCCGAUGACAAGCCAAGCAAUUGUUUCAUACUUUUGACAUUCUCAAACUUUUUCAAUCUUCAUGCAAUACAUGAGCGUGAGCCAUGGACAUAGCACUAUAUGUGGAAUAGAAUGGUGGUUGUGGAGAAGACAAAAAAGGGAGAAGAUAGUCUCACAUCAACUAGGCAUAUCAACGGGCUAUGGAGAUGCCCAUCAAUAGAUAUCAAUGUGAGUGAGUAGGGAUUGCCAUGCAACGGAUGCACUGGAGCUAUAAGUGUAUGAAAGAUCAACAAAAGAAAAUAAGUGGGUGUGCAUCCAACUCACUUGCUCAUGAAGACCUAGGGCAUUUUGAGGAAGCCCGUCAUUGGAAUAUACAAGUCAAGUUCUAUAAUGUAAAAUUCCCACUAGUAUAUGAAAGUGACAACAUAGGAGACUCUCUUAUCAUGAAGAUCAUGAUGCUACUUUGAAGCACAAGUGUGGUAAAAGGAUAGUAGCAUUAUCCCUUCUGUCUUUUUCUCUCAUUUUUUUAUUUGGGAUUCUUUGGCCUCUUUUAUUUAUUUAUUUAUUUAUUUUCGUACGGAGUCUCAUCCCGACUUAUGGGGGAAUCAUAGUCUCCAUCAUCCUUUCCUCACUGGGACAAUGCUCUAAUAAUGAUGAUCAUCACACUUUUAUUUACUUACAACUCAAGAAUUACAACUCGAUACUUAGAACAAGAUAUGACUCUAUAUGAAUGCCUCCGGCGGUGUACCGGGAUGUGCAAUGACUCAUGAGUGACAUGUAUGAAAGAAUUAUGAAUGGUGGCUUUGCCACAAAUACAAUGUCAACUACAUGAUCAUGCAUAGCAAUAUGACAAUGAUGGAGCAUGUCAUAAUAAACGGAACGGUGGAAAGUUUCAUGGCAAUAUAUCUCGGAAUGGAUAUGGAAAUGCCAUAAUAGGUAGGUAUGGUGGAUGUUUUGAGGAAGGUAUAUGGUGGGUGUAUGAUACCGGCAAAAGGUGCGCGGUAUUAGAGAGGCUAGCAAUGGUGGAAGGAAGAAAAGUGCAUAUAAUCCAUGGACUCAACAUUAGUCAUAAAGAACUCAUAUACUUAUUGCAAAAAUCUACAAGUUAUCAAAGCAAAGUAUUAUGCGCAUGCUCCUAGGGGGAUAUAUUGGUAGUAAAAGACCAUCGCUCGUCCCCGGCCGCCACUCAUAAGGAAGACAAUCAAAAAAAUAAAUCAUGCUCCGACUUCAUCACAUAACGGUUCACCAUACGUGCAUGCUACGGGAAUCACAAACUUUAACACAAGUAUUUCUCAAAUUCACAACUACUCAACUAGCACAACUUUAAUAUCACCAUCUUCAUAUCUCAAAACAAUUAUCAAGCAUCAAACUUCUCAUAGUAUUCAACACACUCAUAAGAAAGUUUUUACUAUUCUUGCAUACCAAGCAUAUUAUGAUUAUUUAAGCAAAUUACCAUGCUAUUUAAGACUCUCAAAAUAAUCUAAGUUAAGCAUGAGAGAUCAAUAGUUUCUAUAAAACAAAUCCACCACAGUGCUCUAAAAAAUAUAAGUGAAGUACUAGAGCAAAACUAUAUAACUCAAAAGAUAUAAGCGAAGCACAUAGAGUAUUCUAACAAAUUCCGAAUCAUGUAUGGCUCUCUACAAAGAUGUGUACAGCAAGGAUGAUUGUGGUAAACUAAAAAGCAAAGACUCAAAUCAUACAAGACGCUCCAAGCAAAACACAUAUCAUGUGGUGAAUAAAAAUAUAGCUCCAAGUAAAGUUACCAAUGAAAGUAGACGAAAGAGGGGAUGCCUUCCGGGGCAUCCCCAAGCUUUGGCUUUUAGGUGUCCUUAUAUUAUCUUGGGGUUGACAUGGGAAUCCCCAAGCUUAGGCUCUUGCCACUCCUUGUUCCAUAAUCCAUCAAAUAUUUACCCAAAACUUGAAAACUUCACAACACAAAACUUAAAGUAGAAAAUCUCGUGAGCUCCGUUAGCGAAAGAAAGCAAAAAGACCACUUCAAGGUACUGUAACGAACUCAUUAUUUAUUUAUGUUGGUGUUAAACCUACUUUAUUCCAACUUCUCUAUGGUUUAUAAACUAUUUUACUAGCCAUGGAUUCAUUGAAGUAAGCAAUAAACACACGGAAAACAGAAUCUGUCAAAAACAGAACAGUCUGUAGUAAUCUGUAUCUAGCGCAAGAUCUAGAACCCCAAAAAUUAUAAAAUAAAUUUAUGGACUUGAGUAAUUUAUCUAUUAAUCAUAUGCAAAAAGAAUUAACUAAAUAUCACUUUUGACAUAAAAAUGGCAGCAGUUCUUGUGAGCGCUAAAGUUUCUGUUUUUUACAGCAAGAUAACAAGACUUUCCCCAAGUCUUCCCAACGGUUCUACUUGGCACAAACACUAAUUAAACACAAAAAACACAACCAAAACAGAGGCUAGAUAAAUUAUUUAUUACUAAACAGGAGCAAAAAUCAAGGAAUAAAAAUAAAAUUGGGUUGCCUCCCAACAAGCGCUAUCGUUUAACGCCCCUAGCUAGGCAUAAAAAGCAAGGAUAGAUCUAGGUAUUGCCAUCUUUGGUAGGCAAUCCAUAAGUGGCUCUCAUAAUAGAUUCAUAAGGUAAUUUAAUUUUCUUUCUAGGAAAGUGUUCCAUGACUCUCCUUAACGGAAGUUAGAAUCUAAUAUUUCCUUCCUUCAUAUCAAUAAUUGCACCAAUCUUUCUAAGGAAAGGUCUACCAAGAAUAAUAGGACAUGAAGGAUUGCAAUCUAUGUCAAGAACAAUAAAAUCUACGGGCACAUAAUUCCUAUUUGCAAAAAUAGGAACAUCAUUGCUUCUUCCCAUAGGUUUCUUAAUAGUGGAAUCCGCAAGGUGCAAGUUCAAAGAGCAAUCAUCAAAAUCACGGAAACCUAACAAAUCACACAAAGUCUUUGGAAUCGUGGAAACACUAGCACCCAAAUCACAUAAAGCAUAGAACUCAUGAUCUUUAAUCUUAAUUUUAAUAGUUGGUUCCCACUCAUCAUAAAGUUUUCUGGGGAUAGAAACUUCCAACUCAAGUUUUUCUUCAUAAGAUUGCAUCAAGGCAUCAACGAUAUGUUUUGUAAAUGCUUUAUUUUGGCUAUAAGCAUGAGGAGAAUUUAGCACGGAUUGCAACAAGGAAAUAAAAUAUAUCAAAGAGCAAUUUUCAUACUUAAAUUCCUUGAAAUCCAAAAUAGUGGGUUUAGCAACAUCUAGGGUUUUGAUCUCUUCAAUCCCACUUUCAUCAAAUUUAGCAUCAAGAUCUAAAAACUCCGAAUUUUUGGAACGCCUUCUAGGUAAAGGUGGAUCAUAUCCAGUCCCAUAAUUAUCAAGAUUAAUAUUUCAAAACAAAGAUUUAAUAGGGGACACAUCAAUAACUUUUAGAUCUUCAUCUUUAUUUUCACAGGAACUAGAAGAACAUGCUCUUAUAAAGGCAUCUUUCUUAGCACGCAUCCUAGCGGUUCUUUCUUUGCACUCAUCAAUGGAAAUUCUCAUGGAUUUGAGAGACUCAUUGAUAUCAUGCUUAGGAGGAAUAGAUCUAAGCUUUAAAGAAUCAACAUCAAGAGAAAUUCUAUCAAUGUUCCUAGCCAAAUCAUCAACUUUAAGAAAUUUCUCUUCAAGCAAAGCAUUGAAAUUCUUUUGCAAAUUCAUAAAUUCCUUAACACUAUUCUCAAAUUCAGAGGGCAUCUUAUUGAAAUUUCCAUAAGAGUUGUUGUAGGAAUUUCCAUAAUUAUUAGAGGAAUUACUAGGAUAAGGCCUAGGAUUAAAGUUUCCUCUAUACGCGUUGUUACCUAAAUUAUUCCUACCAACAAAAUUCACAUCCAAAGAUUCAUUAUUAUUCUCAAUCAAAGUAGACAAGGGCAUAUCAUUAGGAUCAGAAGAAACACUCUUACUAGCAAAUAAUUUCAUAAGUUCAUCCAUCUUUCCACUCAAAACAUUAAUUUCUUCUAUCACAUGCACUUUUUUAUUAGUAGAUCUUUCAGUAUGCCAUUGAGAAUAAUUAACCAUAAUAUUAUCUAGGAAUUUAGUAGCUUCUCCUAAAGUGAUUUCCAUCAAAGUGCCUCCCGCGGCCGAAUCUAAAAGAUUUCUAGAAGCAAAAUUCAAUCCGGCAUAAAAUUUUUGUAUAAUCAUCCACAAAUUCAAACCAUGAGUAGGGCAAUUAUGUAUCACUAAUUUCAUCCUUCCCCAAGCUUGUGCAACAUGUUCAUGAUCAAGUUGCUUAAAAUUCAUAAUAUCAUUUCUUAGAGAGAUGAUCUUAGCGGGAGGAAAAUACUUAGAGAUAAAAGCAUCUUUGCACUUGUUCCAAGAAUCAAUACUAUUUUUAGGCAAAGAUGAAAACCAAGCUUUGGCACGAUCUCUAAGCGAAAAAGGAAAUAGCUUCAAUUUAACAAUAUCAUUGUCCACAUCUUUCUUCUUUUGCAUAUCACACAAAUCAACGAAGCUAUUUAGAUGGGUAGCGGCAUCUUCACUAGGAAGGCCGGAAAACGGAUCUUUCAUGACAAGAUUCAGCAAAGCGACAUUAAUUUCACAAGAUUCAACAUCGGUAAGAGGAGCAAUCGGAGUGCUAAUAAAAUCAUUGUUGUUGGUAUUGGUAAAGUCACACAAUUUAGUGUUAUCUUGAGCCAUCAUGACAAGCAAGCAAUCCAACACACAAGCAAACAAGAAACGGGCAAAAAGAGGCAAAUAGAGAAAGAAAGAGAGGGUAGAGAGAGAGGGCGAAUAAAACGGCAAGGGUGAAGUGGGGGAGAGGAAAACAAGAGGCAAAUGGCAAAUAAUGUAAUGCGGGAAAUAAGGGUUGUGAUGGGUACUUGGUAUGUUGACUUUUGCAUAGACUCCCCGGCAACGGCGCCAGAAAUCUUCUUGCUACCUCUUGAGCACUGCGUUGGAUUUCCUUGAAGAGGAAAGGAUGAUGCAGCAAAGUAGCGUAAGUAUUUCCCUCAGUUUUUGAGAACCAAGGUAUCAAUCCAGUAGGAGGCUACGCGCGAGUCCCUUGUACCUGCACAAAACAAAUAACCCCUCGCAACCAACGCGAUAAGGGGUUGUCAAUCCCUUCACGGUCACUUACGAGAGUGAGAUCUGACAGAUAUGAUAAAAUAAUAUUUUUGGUAUUUUUGUGAUAAAGAUGCAAAGUAAAAUAAAAGCAAAGUAAAAAAGCAAAUGAAAUAACUAAGUAUUGGAAGAUUAAUAUGAUGAAGAUAGACCUGGGGGCCAUAGGUUUCACUAGUGGCUUCUCUCAAGAGCAUAUGUAUUUUACGGUGGGUGAACGAAUUACUGUUGAGCAAUUGACAGAAUUGAGCAUAGUUAUGAGAAUAUCUAGGUAUGAUCAUGUAUAUAGGCAUCACGUCCGAGACAAGUAGACCGACCGUUGCCUGCAUCUACUACUAUUACUCCACUCAUCGACCGCUAUCCAGCAUGCAUCUAGAGUAUUAAGUUCAUGAAAACAGAGUAACGCUUUAAGCAAGAUGACAUGAUGUAGAGGGAUAAAUUCAUGCAAUAUGAUAAAAACCCCAUCUUGUUAUCCUCGAUGGCAGCAAUACAGUACAUGCCUUGCUGCCCCUGCUGUCACUAGCAAAGGACACCGCAAGAUUGAACCCAAAGCUAAGCACUUCUCCCAUUGCAAGAAAGAUCAAUCUAGUAGGCCAAACCAAACUGAUAAUUCAAAGAGACUUGCAAAGAUAACCAAUCAUACAUAAAAGAAUUCAGAGAAGAUUCAAAUGUUGUUCAUAGAUAAUCUUGAUCAUAAACCCACAAUUCAUUGGUCUCAACAAACACACCGAAAAAAAGAUUACAUCGAAUAGAUCUCCACAAGAGAGGAGGAGAACAUUGUAUUGGGAUCCAAAAAAGAGAGAAGAAGCCAUCUAGCUAAUAACUAUGGACCCGAAGGUCUGAGGUAAACUACUCACACUUCAUCGGAGAGGCUAUGGUGUUGAUGUAGAAGCCCUCCGUGAUGGAUGCCCCCUCCGGUGGAGCUCCGGAACAGGCCCCAAGAUGGGAUCUCGUGGAUAUAGAAGGUUGCGGCGGUGGAAUUAGAUUUUUUGCUCCGUAUCUGAUCGUUUGGGGGUAUGUAGGUAUAUAUAGGAGGAAGGAGUACGUCUUUGGAGCAACAAGGGGCCCACGAGGGUGGAGGGCGCGCCUGGGGGGUAGGCGCGCCCCCUACCUCGUGGCCUCCUCCUUUGUUUCUUGACGUAGGGUCCAAGUCUUCAGGAUCAUGUUUGUUCCGAAAAUCACGCUCCCGAAGGUUUCAUUCCGUUUGGACUCCAUUUGAUAUUCCUUUUUUGUGAAACCCUAAAAUAGGCAAAAAACAGCAAUUCUGGGUUGGGCCUCCGGUUAAUAGGUUAGUCCCAAAAAUAAUAUAAAAGUGGAUAAUAAAGCCCAAUAAUGUCCAAAACAGCAGAUAAUAUAGCAUGGAGCAAUCAAAAAUUAUAGAUACGUUGGAGACGUAUUAAGCAUCCCCAAGCUUAAUUCCUGCUCAUCCUCGAGUAGGUAAAUGAUAAAAAAGAUAAUUUUUGAUGUGAAGUGCUACUUGGCAUAAUUUUAAUGUAAUUCUUCUUAAUUGUGGUAUGAAUAUUCAGAUCCGAAAGAUUAUAAAUUAUAGAUACAUUGGAGACGUAUCAAUAGGCUGCUCUGACCACCUCAGAUAAUGGGGGACUGCCGGCUCAAUAGCGUUCACAGCCCUUUUGUGAAGCUUCUUGCCCAGUUUGCACAAACUGGUGGUGAACACAUGAUACUGUCCACUAUUCAGCUGCUUUGGAUUACUCUGAUAACCAGAUUGCUGCUGUUGCUGACCUCCCUGGCCAGACUGUUGAUUAUAACCGCCCUGAUUUCUUUGAAAGCCGGAUUUGAGCCGCCGCCCGGGCCAUGGAACCGCCUCCACCUGAGCCGCCACCCGGCCCAUGGUUGUCGUCAAACAUAUUAGAAUUUUUGAAAGCUUUCAUGAUCGUGCAAUCCUUCCAUAGGUGAGUGGCUGGCUUCUCCCGAGUGUCGUGCCUUGGACAGGGCUCAUUGAGCAACUGCUCAAGAGUAGGACCUAACCCACCAGACCGAGGGGGCGGCCUCCCCUUGCGUCGUUGAUUGUUGCCCUAUGAAUUGGUGUUAGCCACAAACUCCGGGUUACCGUCAGCCUUACGUCUAUUGCCUCCCUGAUUCACCGGGUUAUGCUGAUGACCCUUUCCGUUGCCGUUCUUAUUUCCCUUCCCUGUCUUAUCCUCAUCAGACUCGGGAUCCUUGGUACUAUCAGAAUCGGCGUACUUGACCAGAGCCGCCAUGAGCUGAAUGAUGUCGUUACAAUCACGCUUGAGCCGCCCCAACUUCUGUUUCAGAGGUGUAAAACGGCAAUUUUUCUCCAACAUUAAAACUGCAGAGCCGACAUCCAUUGUCGAACACAUUACAGACUAAUGUCACUGCACCACUGAUCAAACAGUUUCGGAAUAUUAGAACCGUGAUGCCAACGCAAAUAGGUUUCUUAUUAUACUGUCUGGAGAACAAACCAAGUUUAGCUAGUAGAAACACAACAACUGCUUGGUUUUCCUGAACCCAUAUCUCAGUGAAAGGAACUGGGUUCUAAUGUGCCGCAGUCAUACCCAAAAUAUACAAUACUUGUGCCCUGUUUUAGGGCAACCCAAAAUAAAAUUCAGCAACUUUUGGUUUUUGGGUAACUGUUUUGGCCGAAGAGGGACUUCAUCAAAUUCAUAUUGACACAGAUUUUGUUAGAUCUGGUAUAGGAGGCACUGCGGUGGCUGUAUGCAUGGACUCUUCUGGAAAUUACUUGCGAUCAUGUAUGCUGGUAAUUCAUGGUAUGAGAGAAGUUUCACCUCUAGAGGUACCGCUUGCAGGGAAGCUCUAUCUUUGCGGAUGAUCUUCUACUUCACAAUUUUCUAGUGGCUACUGAUUCUAAGCAGGUGGCUAAUCAUAUCAACAUGGGCUGCACUGGUAUUCAUGGUCUGAUUGUAGCUGAGAUUAAGUUAAGGACUACCAAAUUUAAUUGUAGUUUUUGUUUCUGAGGGUCGGGCCUUGAAUAGAGAAGCCCAUUUACUAGCCAAACUUUUUGAUUCUUUAGAUUGUGGUAGACAUGUCUAGUUGGGACAGCCUCAUGAUCACAUUUAUUUUCCCACUUUUGUGAACUAUGAGUAACAAAGUUUGGUGGUUCUUAAAAAAUGAAGUUGCUGGAGCCAUUUUUUGCGCUCCAAGUAGUCAAAAAGCGACUGAGAUGCUCUUACUGAGCACGAACAACACUUUGUACAGAUACCAGAACCAGUGUACCCCAAAUGGCUAGGAUUGUCAGGUAAUAGUACUGAAACAUGUUAAUCAGAAACAUGUAAAGAUACCCUAAACAGUUCAACAGUGUCCACGUACAACUCACUCUAGACUAUUGACCGGGUCUUGGCCCAUUCCUCGGACACAACUUUUCGACAAACUUUAUUCAAGCCCUACAAUAAGCCUGGUACGCAGAGUCGACCAAGUCACCUUCACUGAGAUC